CGGCGCCGACCUCCGUCGCCGCUCUAACGGCCCUCUCUCUCUCUAACGGCUCUCUCUCUUUCUCCCUACCCUCUCUCCCACUCUCUCGCCCCGGUCCCCGGCCCCCGUCGCCGUCGCCGACCUGACCCGACCGCCGAGAAUAACCCAUUCGUAAGCAACUAUUCUCUUCAUUUUCUCCUCAUCAAGAAUUAUGGUAAAUAUUUUUUUAAGCAUUAAUAGGCGUGCCGGAACUUCUCUGACUUUAACGGCCCUCUCUCUCUAACGGCUCUCUCUCUCUCUCCCUACCCUCUCUUUCUCUCGCCCUGAUCCCCGGCCCCCGUCGCCGUCGCCGACCUUCGGCGCCGACCCGACCCGACCUCCGGUCCCCGGCGCCGACCCCCGUUGCCGCUCCCCGCCGCCCUCUGUCGCCGACCUACGGUUCUAAGCCGUCCCCCCCCCUCCGACGCCGGCGGGGUACAACAGCCCAACAACCGAAGCUCUGUCUUCAGCCGCAGCUCCGUCUGCACCCGCCGCCCGGUAGCCAGCAGCCGCAGCACCCAAACGACGACCAUUUCCAACCAGUUCCCUCGGUCUCCAGCAGCCGCAGCUCCAUCUCAGCACCGGAACUCCCCGGACGCCGGUCAACGCUGGGCUUGGUUUCCGGCUUGGUCUACAAGCGUAAUCCGGUGACCUCUAACCUUUGUUAUUUCAUUGUUUAUUCUGCAUUCUUUCAUUCUUCGUAUUAUGCUAGUAGUAGCCCCUGUACCUUGACUUGCGUGGGAUUUGUAGAUAUUGCUUGUUGUCUGUUGUUGCUGUGGUCGUUUCUUGCAUUGCUUGGAUUGGGUUAUCGUCUUGGGAAUCUGUGUUUGGGGCUGUGGGUGUUGAGUCUAGUGGUGUUUGCCUCCUAAUUGAGUAUAGUUUUGUUCCUGGAGUAUUUCUUUGAAUUUGUGUGAGCCUUGUAUUUCUUGCUGCUGCUUUGCUACUACCAUCGUUUAUAUCUUUAUAUUUUCUUAUACUUUCGUAUAGUUGUGGCUGUGGGCGGUAAUGGGUGGAUAGGGUCAGGUCCGAGGGGGUUGGGGAGUGGGGCCGUGGUGGGGGCGGGGGAUGAGGAGAGGGCGGGAGGGGGAGGGGGGCCAAGGUUUGGGGGGGGGGGGUAGUGAAGGGNNNNNNNNNNNNNNNNNNNNNNNNNNNNNNNNNNNNNNNNNNNNNNNNNNNNNNNNNNNNNNNNNNNNNNNNNNNNNNNNNNNNNNNNNNNNNNNNNNNNNNNNNNNNNNNNNNNNNNNNNNNNNNNNNNNNNNNNNNNNNNNNNNNNNNNNNNNNNNNNNNNNNNNNNNNNNNNNNCCCAUAUUGACUUUUUGUUGCUUAGGAAAGGGGAUAAGGCGUUGUGUAAGGACUGUAAGAUCAUCCCGAGUAAGAAUCUUUCGACCCAGCAUAGGCUCUUGGUUAUGGAUUUGGGUAUAAAGAAGAAUGGAAAGAGGAGGAGUAAAGAGUGUAGACCUAGAAUUAAAUGGGGCAACCUGACGCCAGUGAAUGCGUGGGAGAUAGGGGAGAUGUUGGCGGGAAUGGGGGUGUGGGAGUGUAGGGAGGACGUGGAUAGUAUGUGGGAUAGGGCGGCUAGGUGCAUCAGGGAGAAUGCAAGUGAGGUGUUGGGUGUUUCUAGGGGCCGGGCCAGGCACCAUCGGGGGGAUUGGUGGUGGAAUNNNNNNNNNNNNNNNNNNNNNNNNNNNNNNNNNNNNNNNNNNNNNNNNNNNNNNNNNNNNNNNNNNNNNNNNNNNNNNNNNNNNNNNNNNNNNNNNNNNNNNNNNNNNNNNNNNNNNNNNNNNNNNNNNNNNNNNNNNNNNNNNNNNNNNNNNNNNNNNNNNNNNNNNNNNNNNNNNNNNNNNNNNNNNNNNNNNNNNNNNNNNNNNNNNNNNNNNNNNNNNNNNNNNNNNNNNNNNNNNNNNNNNNNNNNNNNNNNNNNNNNNNNNNNNNNNNNNNNNNNNNNNNNNNNNNNNNNNNNNNNNNNNNNNNNNNNNNNNNNNNNNNNNNNNNNNNNNNNNNNNNNNNNNNNNNNNNNNNNNNNNNNNNNNNNNNNNNNNNNNNNNNNNNNNNNNNNNNNNNNNNNNNNNNNNNNNNNNNNNNNNNNNNNNNNNNNNNNNNNNNNNNNNNNNNNNNNNNNNNNNNNNNNNNNNNNNNNNNNNNNNNNNNNNNNNNNNNNNNNNNNNNNNNNNNNNNNNNNNNNNNNNNNNNNNNNNNNNNNNNNNNNNNNNNNNNNNNNNNNNNNNNNNNNNNNNNNNNNNNNNNNNNNNNNNNNNNNNNNNNNNNNNNNNNNNNNNNNNNNNNNNNNNNNNNNNNNNNNNNNNNNNNNNNNNNNNNNNNNNNNNNNNNNNNNNNNNNNNNNNNNNNNNNNNNNNNNNNNNNNNNNNNNNNNNNNNNNNNNNNNNNNNNNNNNNNNNNNNNNNNNNNNNNNNNNNNNNNNNNNNNNNNNNNNNNNNNNNNNNNNNNNNNNNNNNNNNNNNNNNNNNNNNNNNNNNNNNNNNNNNNNNNNNNNNNNNNNNNNNNNNNNNNNNNNNNNNNNNNNNNNNNNNNNNNNNNNNNNNNNNNNNNNNNNNNNNNNNNNNNNNNNNNNNNNNNNNNNNNNNNNNNNNNNNNNNNNNNNNNNNNNNNNNNNNNNNNNNNNNNNNNNNNNNNNNNNNNNNNNNNNNNNNNNNNNNNNNNNNNNNNNNNNNNNNNNNNNNNNNNNNNNNNNNNNNNNNNNNNNNNNNNNNNNNNNNNNNNNNNNNNNNNNNNNNNNNNNNNNNNNNNNNNNNNNNNNNNNNNNNNNNNNNNNNNNNNNNNNNNNNNNNNNNNNNNNNNNNNNNNNNNNNNNNNNNNNNNNNNNNNNNNNNNNNNNNNNNNNNNNNNNNNNNNNNNNNNNNNNNNNNNNNNNNNNNNNNNNNNNNNNNNNNNNNNNNNNNNNNNNNNNNNNNNNNNNNNNNNNNNNNNNNNNNNNNNNNNNNNNNNNNNNNNNNNNNNNNNNNNNNNNNNNNNNNNNNNNNNNNNNNNNNNNNNNNNNNNNNNNNNNNNNNNNNNNNNNNNNNNNNNNNNNNNNNNNNNNNNNNNNNNNNNNNNNNNNNNNNNNNNNNNNNNNNNNNNNNNNNNNNNNNNNNNNNNNNNNNNNNNNNNNNNNNNNNNNNNNNNNNNNNNNNNNNNNNNNNNNNNNNNNNNNNNNNNNNNNNNNNNNNNNNNNNNNNNNNNNNNNNNNNNNNNNNNNNNNNNNNNNNNNNNNNNNNNNNNNNNNNNNNNNNNNNNNNNNNNNNNNNNNNNNNNNNNNNNNNNNNNNNNNNNNNNNNNNNNNNNNNNNNNNNNNNNNNNNNNNNNNNNNNNNNNNNNNNNNNNNNNNNNNNNNNNNNNNNNNNNNNNNNNNNNNNNNNNNNNNNNNNNNNNNNNNNNNNNNNNNNNNNNNNNNNNNNNNNNNNNNNNNNNNNNNNNNNNNNNNNNNNNNNNNNNNNNNNNNNNNNNNNNNNNNNNNNNNNNNNNNNNNNNNNNNNNNNNNNNNNNNNNNNNNNNNNNNNNNNNNNNNNNNNNNNNNNNNNNNNNNNNNNNNNNNNNNNNNNNNNNNNNNNNNNNNNNNNNNNNNNNNNNNNNNNNNNNNNNNNNNNNNNNNNNNNNNNNNNNNNNNNNNNNNNNNNNNNNNNNNNNNNNNNNNNNNNNNNNNNNNNNNNNNNNNNNNNNNNNNNNNNNNNNNNNNNNNNNNNNNNNNNNNNNNNNNNNNNNNNNNNNNNNNNNNNNNNNNNNNNNNNNNNNNNNNNNNNNNNNNNNNNNNNNNNNNNNNNNNNNNNNNNNNNNNNNNNNNNNNNNNNNNNNNNNNNNNNNNNNNNNNNNNNNNNNNNNNNNNNNNNNNNNNNNNNNNNNNNNNNNNNNNNNNNNNNNNNNNNNNNNNNNNNNNNNNNNNNNNNNNNNNNNNNNNNNNNNNNNNNNNNNNNNNNNNNNNNNNNNNNNNNNNNNNNNNNNNNNNNNNNNNNNNNNNNNNNNNNNNNNNNNNNNNNNNNNNNNNNNNNNNNNNNNNNNNNNNNNNNNNNNNNNNNNNNNNNNNNNNNNNNNNNNNNNNNNNNNNNNNNNNNNNNNNNNNNNNNNNNNNNNNNNNNNNNNNNNNNNNNNNNNNNNNNNNNNNNNNNNNNNNNNNNNNNNNNNNNNNNNNNNNNNNNNNNNNNNNNNNNNNNNNNNNNNNNNNNNNNNNNNNNNNNNNNNNNNNNNNGUGGGAAUACACUGGGUUUGUUGUUGUUGUAAAUGUAAAUUAAUAAUUGAAAAUUUAGUAUUUUUAGUUAUGUUUAAAUAAGGAAAGAUUAACAACCUUGAAAAUUAAUAGUAUUUUUAACUAUGUUUAAAUAAGGAAAGAUUAAUAACCAAAUUUUAAUGGGACACCUAAAAUAUUAUAAAAUAAUUAAAUAAUAAUUUAGUAAAAUGAUAAAUGACAGUUUUGUCAAUUGUGAAGUCUUUUAAUGAAGGGCAAAAAGUUCAAGUCACUUUUCUAAAGGUCUUUACACUUUUAAUAUAUUAUAGAUAUAGAUAUAGAUAUAGAUAUAGAUAUAGAUUAUAGAUAUAAGACACAUGUCUCUAUAACAAAAUUGACAACUAUAUACAUAUAAAUAUAGGUAAUCAAAAAAUACAUGAUAUAUAUAUAUAUAUCUUAAACAGUAAAAAAUAUAAAUAAAUACAUAUGUUACCCUCUAGAAUAACAUAAAACAGUUCAAAGACAAAUCCAACGCAAUACAAAAAUACAUAUGGAUAUGCAUUUGUAUUACAAAAUACAAAUACAUGCACAUGCCCCCCAAAAAAUUACAAUACAUUUGUGACAUAAUACAUCUGCCUAAUCGUGUUUGAACUACACAUUUCUUCUUCUUCAUGUAGACACCACAAAUAUUCUUAUGACAAAAAUCUUGUAUUGCUCCUUUGAUAACACCGCCUUAAUACAUUCUUCGAUAUCAUUGACUGUGUGACAUUCAAUAUAUGGUGCAAACCUUGAAAGUACUCUUGUCGUGAAUAUAUGAUCACGCGACACCUAUAGAAUAAAAUAAUGACAUAAAUCUAUAUUACAUGUACUUUUAACGAAAAAAGUAAUACAAAAUAUAUACUAGCAUAUGUUUGCUUUUACAUAAUACAUAUUACAUUACAAAAAAUACAUAUAGCUCUGCAUAUGUAUUUACAGAAUAGAUGUUUGAUCCAUAUGUAUAUUACCAUACAAAAAAUAUAAAUAUGUCUCUGAUAUGUAUUUACGAAAUAAAUAUCAGAUUCAUAUUAAAGAGUAACAAACAUAACUAUACUAUAUAUCUUCAUAUGUAUUUGCAAAAUACAAAGGUGACUCAUAUAAGACAAAAAAAUACAAAUGUAUAUCUUAAAUAGUAACAACUACAACUAUAUACAUAUACAUAUAACUAAACCAAAAAAUACAUCAUACAUAUCAUAGCAUAAUAAUAUGUAUCUAAAAAAUACAUAUACAUGCACAUGACCCAUAAGCUAAUAAAAUACAAAUACAAAUACCUCUUCAACUUUAUCUUCUCCGAAUUCAUAUUCAGAAGAAUUUUGACCAACAGGACUUGCAAUUUUACUUGAUUCUCCCAUUUUCUUUGACUUCCUUUUUUUCUCAGAUCUUUGCAUUUUUGGGAGGUUUGGAGAUGAAGGUUUUCUCAAUCUUUUUUAUUUCAUAAUUUUCGCAUUCUUCUCCGGAUCAUUACGAUGCUUUCUAUCUCACCUCUUCUAUGCUCACUUUUUUCUUCGACCGAAUAGGCGUAGAAAUCAAUUUAAGAUCUUCAUAUUGUGUUAAUCUAAGACUAAAAGAUGGUGGAUUAUCAGAAACUAAAUUAACAGGUGGUAUACUUCUAUUUGAACUUCUAAAAUAUGUGUGUUCUGCCAUUAUAGCAGACCUCCACUAGCAGACCUCCACAAUCUUACGAUAAAAAAUCCACAAAAUUCCUCCCAAAAAAAAAAUGCAAAAACAACGUUGAACCAAAAAAUAUUUUUUUUUAUAGAAUAUAUGGAAGAUUUAACUUGCAAUAACUGUAAUUUGAUAGUUACCUUAUUUGAUGAAACACAAUAUUUAUCUACAGUAUGAGAAAAAUUGGAUAAUUUUUUUUUUAAAAAAAGAAGAUACUUUUGAAUUGGAGAAAGGUAAAAUAAUGGAGUGAAAAUAGAAAAAAAGUAAAGUAAAUGGCGUGAAACACGCCUGUGUGGAGUUUAUGGGCAAAAAAAAUGAUAUUUUUGUUAUCAAAUGUAAUUUUGUGAAAGUGUUGUUAUUUAUUAUAAUUAUGGUCUUAAGUUUGUCAAUUCCUGUAAUUUUUCCAUAAUAAUAAUAAAAAAAGAUUUUGGCUAUAUGGGCUUUUGGAGUUUGGACAAAUAAUAAUAGUAAUAGUAAUAGUAAUAGUAAUAGUAAUAGUAAUAGUAAUAGUAAUAGUAAUAGUAAUAGUAAUAAUAAUAAUAAUAGUAAUAGUAAUAGUAAUAGUAAUAGUAAUAGUAAUANNNNNNNNNNNNNNNNNNNNNNNNNNNNNNNNNNNNNNNNNNNNNNNNNNNNNNNNNNNNNNNUUUUCACUAUUUUCUUAAAUUAUUAUUUAAUUAUAUUUAUAAUAUUAUCUCCUAAAAUAUAUGCGAUCAGGAGUUUAAAAUAUAUGAUAAGACUUUUUCUUAAAUUAAAAGUCCUAAAAUAUAUGAUAAGAGAUAAUUUUAUUUAAUCAUAGUUUACCUUAAAUAAAAAUUGUAUCUUAUUAUUAUUAUACUCACUAUGAAGAUUAGCACCAAUUUUAGAAGUAGGAAUCUACUCUUUUUUUUCCUUCACAUGAGUAAUAACUUUGGGGUAGAAUCUUUACUAAUAUUCUUACUUAUAAUCUAUAGUUUAUAUUUAUAUUUAUAAUCUAUAUCUAUAAUUUAUAAUCUAUAAUCUAUAAUCUAUAUCUAUAUCUAUAUCUAUAUCUAUAAUCUAUUAAAAGUGUAAAGGGUCUUAAAAAUGUUGUUUGAACUUUUUGCCCUUCAUUAAAAAAAUUUGUAAUAGACAAAAUUGUCAUUUCACUAUUUUUUUAUUAUAUUUGAAAAAAAAAAACCUUUUCAUUAUUUUUGAUAAACUAGACAUAUAAUAGGAGUACUAAAACAUUGCCUUAUUUUUUGGCAAAAGAAAAAUGUUGGAGUAUAUUUGGCAAAAUUUAAAAGUUGCCAGUACCUUUAACAACAAAAACACUAUGGUAACUUUUUACCAACUAUCAUAAAAUUAUAUUUUUGGCAAAAUAAAAUUACCUUAUUUUUUGUAAAAAAAAAAUUAUUUUUGAAAAUAAUUUUUUGCUAAAUAAAAAUUAACAUGAGAGUCCUUUUUAUUAUAAAUAGGAGUCCUCUUUUCUCUUUGACAAUCAAUGGAUGAUAUUCUAAAAUAAAUUAUAUAGGAGUCUAAAAUUAACUUCUUUUUUAGUUUAUGAAUACUCCUUUCAUAAAGGAUAUGUGGUGAUUAAAUCAUUACAUAAAUAAAAAGUAUGAAGAAAUAGUUAUGUUAUCCUUUAAUUUUUUCGUUUCUUUAUGAUUAUGUUUUUAAUUGUGUAUUUGGACUGAUAAUAAAUCAUUACAUAGAAUAACAUAGAGUUAACAAGUUUUUAUAGUUAUUGAGUUGUGCUAUAUGUAUAGAUAUUUGUUUUUGCAAUCAACGGAUGAAACAAGGGUAAUAUGCCAAAAUCCGUUUGUAUGAUCCUUCGAAAUUAUUUUUCAGCAAUUAAUUAGGUACUGUUAUUUUAUUUAAAAAUUUUAUUCAUUUAUUUUAUAAAAGGUCUUAUCAAUUGUUCAACAUAUAUUUAAAAAGCAGGAAAUGAUACCUUUAAUUUGCAAUAUGUAGCAAUUGAAUUAUAACAUAUAAGAUCAAGAUGAGGACUUGAAACUUCGAUUAUUAAAUAAUUACAGAUUUCUGACUUUUUUUAUAAUCAUUUUUACUUGGUUUCAAGUUCUAAAUUUGAAUAUCAGUUUGCAAGCAUUCAUAAAUUCAUCUAUGAAUUUUUAAAUUUGAUUCUCGACAUUAUAUUUGCAGUUAAAAUUUUGGAUCGAUAACAUUUUCCAAACUCUUUUGUUUUGAUAAUAUUAAGUCUCAUGCAUAUUGAUUUUUUUUCCUUGGCACCCAUAAUCUUGCUUGAUAUUUGGAGAAGAAUUUGGAUAAGUAAUUGUAAUUAGUCAUGGUGCAAAAAGAACAAUUAAAAAUGGUACAGUUAAUUCUAAUUGAUUGUAUAUUUAAAUUAUUCUUGACUUUAUCACUUAAAUUUCAUUACAAAUCUACAUCUAUCUAUAUUAUAUUAAAGUGUGAAGGAAUCUAUCUAUAUUAUAUUAAAGUGUGAAAGGUCUUAUAAAUAUUGUUUAAACCUCUUGUCUUCAUUAAAAUACUCUCUUUUAGACAAAAUCAUCUUUUUAAUAUUUACCUAAUAAUAUUUACUUAAUUUAGAACUUCAAAUCUAACUAAAAUCAAAUUCUCCCCCCCACCCCCUUUUUAGGACUUCAAAUCAUGCGUAUAUAAUUUUUUUUUAAAACAAAAAACUAUGAAUUCUAUCUUAUAUUAAAUAAAAGGGAAGCAAAAGUUUACCAAAAUUUUAAAAAGUGCAGUAGACACCUUUAAAAAAAUCUAAUAUUUGUUUUAGUUUAGUUUAUUUGAAAUUCAGAAAAUUCUAAUAUUGAUAAAUAAUUUAUGAAAAAAGUAAAAUCUACCAUAUUUAGAUAAUUUCUUUACUAAAGAAAAAUAUUUUGAACUUUCAUAAAUUGAGAAUUUUUCUAUAACAAUACAAUAAUAUAUAAUAUGAACAUAUGGAAUAAGAUUUAUUUAUUUUUGUUCUUAAAUGAUUCUUUGUCGUCAAGAAAUAUAUUUUUGUAAUAUUUAUUUUAUUUACUUUUAUGCAUUNNNNNNNNNNNNNNNNNNNNNNNNNNNNNNNNNNNNNNNNNNNNNNNNNNNNNNNNNNNNNNNNNNNNNNNNNNNNNNNNNNNNNNNNNNNNNNNNNNNNNNNNNNNNNNNNNNNNNNNNNNNNNNNNNNNNNNNNNNNNNNNNNNNNNNNNNNNNNNNNNNNNNNNNNNNNNNNNNNNNNNNNNNNNNNNNNNNNNNNNNNNNNNNNNNNNNNNNNNNNNNNNNNNNNNNNNNNNNNNNNNNNNNNNNNNNNNNNNNNNNNNNNNNNNNNNNNNNNNNNNNNNNNNNNNNNNNNNNNNNNNNNNNNNNNNNNNNNNNNNNNNNNNNNNNNNNNNNNNNNNNNNNNNNNNNNNNNNNNNNNNNNNNNNNNNNNNNNNNNNNNNNNNNNNNNNNNNNNNNNNNNNNNNNNNNNNNNNNNNNNNNNNNNNNNNNNNNNUAAUAAUAAUAAUAAUAAUAAUAAUAAUAAUAAUAAUAAUAAUAAUAAGUUUAUUAUUAUAAAUUAAAAAACGGCUGUUGAUUUUGCAAUAUUACCUUUUUUUUCUCCUCACAUAUAUAUUAGGAUUUCUUACUUAUUCUCUUACUAAGUAUUUUAGGAUUCUUUAAUUAAAUAUUUUAUAUAAUGAUAUAAUAAUUGAGAAAAAAUAGUGAAAAGACGAAUUUAUCGAUUACAGAGAUUUUUAAUGAAGAACAAAAAGUUCAAAUAACUUUUUUAAGACCCUCACACUUUUAAUAUAGUACUAGUUUAGUUGUACGCACCUCGCGCAUGUAACUUAUUUUAUUGAGUUCAAACGUUAUAUCAAAUAAGAUAUUUAUUUAAAUAAUAAAGAUGAAUACAAUAAUUAAAUUCAACAUCUUCUGAAAAAUUUAUUUAAUUAAACCAAUCUUUACCAAAAUAUUUGUUAAGCCGAUCAACAUUCAUCUACCACCUAUAAAUUAUAACAAAAUAAUACGAUAAUAGAGACAUCAAAAUAAUACAACUAAACUUAAUCUUUACACAAAAAUAUUCUCAAAACAGAGAUAUAAAUACAAUACAAUUAAAACUAACCUUUAUCUAAAAAAUUUCUCAAAGCCGACUGACAUUCAUCUACCACCUGUAAAUUCAUCUACGACCUGUAAACUGCAAUGAAAUAAUAUAAUAGUGAUCACAAAGCUUCAAUUUUGAUGAAAAUAAAUCUUGUAUGAGCUAAGAAUUUGACCCUAAAGAAUGACUUGAAUGAAAACAAAGAAUAUGUAUAUAUAUACACACACGUUGAAUUCUAUUAUGUUGACAAAAACAGUGAAGAAGUUGAGGGUUAGAAAAUUAAGCAUCCACCAAUCUAGACAUGCAACUGAAUCAAGUUAGAUGAGCAUCAAUCAUAUUUUUUCAAUAAGUAAAUCGGUUUCUUCUCUAGUUUAAUGUGCAUCUAUAUUUAUAGAAAUAUUUCUUUAAUAGAAUCCUAUUUUAGGAGUAUUUUUCUAUCUUAUUUUAAGAGUAUUUUUCUAUCUUAUUUUAGGAGUAUUUUUCUAAUUGAUCAGUACAAAGAAAAAUAUUAUUAAUUAAUUAUCCUUCUAUAUAUUUUAGGAGUUUAGUUAAAAUAAAAAUAAUUAAAUAAUAAAUUGAAGAAAAUAGUGAAAAGACAUUUUUGUCUAAAGAAGAGUCUUUUAAUGAAGGACAAAAUGUUCAAAUCACUUUUCUAAUGGUCUUCACACUUUUAAUAUAUCAUAGAUUAUAGAUUAUAGAUAUAGAUUGUAGAUAUAGAUAUAGAUUCCCUAUAAAUAGACCAUCUUUCUUCAUUGUAAAUAAUCCUCAAGUAAGAAUCUUAUGAUCUCUUAUCCCUCAAGAGAAAUAAGAAUUACUCUCCAUUCUCUCUUUACUCUUCGUCUUUGCUUUAUAUUUCAUAAUAAGAUAAACUUAUUUGCAAUCAAAAGAAAACGUUGAAUUAUAGAUAUAGAUUAUAAAUAUAGAUUAUAGAUAUAGAUUAUAGAUUAUAGAUAUAGAUUAUAGAUUAUAGAUUAUAGAUGUAGAUUAUAGAUUAUAGAUUAUAGAUUAUAGAUAUAGAUUAUAAAUAUAUAUUUUACACAAUAAUAAUACAAUUUCUAUAUAUAUCUUAUACCAAUGCAUAUUUCAUACAAUACAAUUUUUAUAUAUAUUAUAUACAAAUAUGCAAUAAUUAUAUAAUUUUUUUUACAACUUUUAGCUACAAUCAUUUUAGAUAUAUAUUUUAUAUAUUACUAAUAUAUUUUUUAUACACAUUUUAUACAUGUACAUACAAUAAUUAUACAUUUUUUAUAUAUAUUCUAUACGUAGAUCAUAAAAUUUGCAGUAUGAUAAGUAGAAUAAAAGAAAAUAGAAUUAGGAAAAAAGAAAAUAAAUUUAAUUUAAAAUCAAUGGCAAUGGUCUAUUAUAGCUUAACCGCCAUUAGGUAGCACUCACAUACUAGAUGGACUCAAAUUCCCGUUAAUUGUAUACCAAAAGAAUUUAAAUUUGUUAUUGACAAUAAAAGUUUUAAUUCCAUGUAACUUUUGUUUUCCAUAUAUGGCUAUGGACGUAUCUUUGCUGAUCCAAUUUUAAAUUGGAUUCAACUUUAUAUAAAAGAAAAAUAGUGAAAAAAGUUUUUCAUAUAUGGCCAUGGACUUGCCUUUGCUUAUCCAAUUCUAAAUUGGAUUCAAUAUAAAAUAUUUUGCUUAUUAUUUAAAUUUUUAAUGAAGGAUAAAAAAUUCAAACAAUAUUUUUAAAGUCAUUCACAUUUUUAAUAUAGUAUAGAGUACAGAUUUAGAUAUAAAUUUUCAAAUGGAGUAACAAAUUUGAGUUAAAAAAUCACACGAAUUUUUCUCCAGAACAGAAAUAAAAGAUCACGAAGAUUUAGUCUCCUGAAAACAUAAAUUAAGAUGAGUACAUGAAAUUAUUAACAUAAAAAUAAAAUUUAAUUUCGAACCCUUUGAAUGCGUAAUAUUGAGAAAUUUAAUUCCCCCAUUGUUAUACAGGAUUUUAGAAUAAUUUCUCCUAAAAUAGAACAAAGCAAGUUGUUUUGUAAUAGCGGCACUUCAAAUACCCAACAAUUACUUGUUUCUUUGGCUGCUAAGGACCCCUUUGGUUUGGCUAUUGAUAUCCCAAGUAAUUUGUUGGUGAAAUGAAUUUACAAAAAAUAUUUGGUCAUACAAUUUAUUGUUAUUUGAUAAAUAUUUUUGACAAAUAAUUCAAAUUCUUAAAAACUAGAAGAAAGAAAAAAUUAAUUGUUGGGUCAAAUUCUAUUAUUUGGAAGCUUUUAAAACUUUAAACUUUACCCCACAUUUUUAUAUUUUUAUAAAAAUACUCCAUCUUUUUUUAAGCACAAGUUGUAUCUAUUUGUCAACCACCCUCAUUAAUAAACCUUAUUAUUUGACUCAAGUAUGCAAUAGCAUGUUGCAUGAUACUUAUUAAAAGUAAUGUAAAUAGAAAAUUUAAAUGCUCCUUUGUGAGUUGAGAAAACUUCGAUUGCUCCUACGUCAACGUGUAAAAUUACAUAUAAGCAGAUUAAAACUUAUAAUUCACGAGUUUAACUUUGAUUCUGGGACAUGUUCGUUUUAAAAUGAUAUAAAAUUGUGGAUGAUUUUAAUAAGUUUUAGAACUUAUGGGUAUAAAUCAUAUUACUUUAAAAAAUCAAAUGUUUUUUUUCAAAAAUUAUGACCAAACACAUAGAAUCUUCAUCCAAAAUUCAUCAAAAAUAACUUGUCAAAUAUAUUUGGACAUUUGUGACGAAAAGCUAGUUAGGUCACAGGUACAAAUACAACCUGGUAAUUACAUCGUGGUCAGGAUUGUGCCAUAUAUUAAUUUACUUGCAUUUUGAAAUUUCAUCUCAAUUCAAGCGACAAUUUGCCCAGUCAACACAGCUAGUAUAUUUUAUGAAUACAACAAUAAUUAGGUAGAAAAGUGUCAAUUUUUUAAAAUCUAAUUUGAAAAGUGUUUAUUGAAAAAGUUUUUCUUAAAAAAAAAUAAUUUUAGUGAGAAUUUUUUUUUGGUGUUUGACCAAUAAGUUUUUAAAAAUAUUUUUGAGGAACAAUUAGUAUUUGCUCAAGUUUUCAAAUGUGUUUUUAAGUGUAUUUCUUUUUUAAAAGUAGUUUUAGGAAGAAAUUUCUUUUUUUCUAGCUUAUAAAAGAGAACGUUUACUACUAUCCGGAAGCAUUUGUUUUCUCUCAAAAACUUGAUCAAACACCUUAUUUGAAAAAAAAAUACAAAUCAGUUUUGAGAAAAAACUAAAUAUUUUGAACAAAAUAAGUUUGGCCAAAUAAUUUAGGAUAUAUAACAAAUGGAGUCUAAUUAGCGCAUUUAGCGCAAUUGAUUUGUCAUUCUGUACGUUAGCUUUCUGCUAUUUAGGACAUUCAGUAGAAAUGACCUUAACUUUCCAAUUUUAUUUAUUUUAUUACUAUGCUUUAAAAUAACUGGAAAUCUAGAAUAAUAAUUUAUUGCAAAGUGUCAACUGAGAUCUUAUUUGUUUUAUUAAGAUUAAAAUGUCUAAAUUUGGAUACAUAUAUAAAUUUUAAGGUGUUAUAUUAUAAGAUCUAAAUAUUAUACAAUAAAAACUAUUUAUUUCUUUAACAUCAAAAUUUUCGUUGUUUAAAAAAUUAAUAAAUAUAAAAUUCCACAAAAUACUACUCCUAUCAAAGGUGGCUGUUGUUGGUAAAUGGUACUAAUAGCUAAUAGCGGUGGAUGUAAACGCGACUGCGAAUAGUAGAUCGGAGUAUUAGAUAGUAAUUAGUGAUGAUCAUGCCAAGCACUGACAGUAGAGGUUGAUGAAGGUAGUUGGUGGUGGCGUUGAUAGCUACGAUGGAUGGAUGAUAGAGAUAGCUAAUGGUAGGAUUGUUAAUAAUGACACAAUGACUGGUGAUGUAUAAUGUGGUGACUAACGGUGCAGUGAUUGAUGGUUGUUUUGGUAAUGGUAAAACUCUGUGUUGAUUAAUUGUAAAUAGUGACUAUAAUAGUUGUGACAACUGAUGAUGAUGUUAUAGUGUGGUUGACGAUGUUUGUUGUUGAUGACAUGUAGUUGAUAAUAUUGGUCGACAACAACAAUAGUUGAUAACGAUAGAUGUCGAUAGUAACAAUGAACUGAAAAACUAUUAUUUUUAUAAAAAUCUUGAAAUAAAUAUUUUCAAUGAUAUAUCGUAAGUGAUUGAAACAUAUACCAACAAUUAAUAACUAAAAUCUAAAGUAAAAUCAAGAUAUAUAAAAUAAACAAAUUUAAUGACUAAGAUAUAAAUAAUGAAGAUGAAAAUCUUUAUUUAUUAAAUAUAAAUAAAUGAGACCAAAUAAGGUUUUUUUUUUUUUUUUUUUCAGAGAAUGGGGGUUGUCAUUAUAGAUAGUGGUUCUAAGAGUCAUGAUGGGUCGAUGACUAAUGAAAUUGAGAUUACAUUUUUCAAGAAUAAUGGAUUAGACUGAAUAAAUUAAUUUAAAUAAUUUUUCUAAGAUGAAUUCAAGCUAUAAAAAGAUGAUUACACAUUUGAUCCCUUUACUAUUGGUGAAGUUUGGUCCUGUGUGAUACUUAUAUAAUUAUAUCUAAUUAAUUACAUAUAAGUUAUUAGUUCUUUUAUGUAAGGAAUAUGUUAAUUUUAGAAUAUAUUAUCAUAAAAUAUGGAGUAAUAUUAUAAAUUCAUAACAUAUGAUUAAGUAAAAAAUUAACAUCAAUUCAAUUCGAUGGUUUUGCUUUAAGAGUUAGUGGUGAGUUUAGUGGUGAAUUGGAUAACAUUCAUUCAAGUGGUGAGUUGGAUAACAUUCAUCCACCCUUAACCAAAAAUUCAAAUUUGGAACUCAUUUAAAUCAUGAUCUAAAUUCAUAAUUUUCUUUUAAGUUUAUCCAUCUUAAAUCUAUGAGACGAAUAAGUUAUAAAUAUUUACGUUGAAAUUUUCAAAUUUUAUCUAAAUUUUGAUAUGUUAAUUGUGGAAGCAACUUAUGACAUAUAUAUUUGAAACUUAGCUUACCAUUCGAAAACUCCUAAGUAUUAUUUCCGAAUGAAGUUUUGGUUGACAGUCCAAAACUAUUUAUACAAAUAGAUUAUUUAAAUUAAAAGGGAAUAGCCCAUUAACAUAAUUGAUGGUAUAGAAGAACUAUUACAUCAUCACCAUAUACUUAAGAAUCAAUUGCACAAACUAAUUGGCUCGAGAAGAGUAUAAAUGACUUACCAAAAAGCUAGAAAAAGAUCCGAUCUAUUUAAGGAAAACAUGAUUUGACCAAAGAGAAUGUGCAAGCUUGAAGUCUUUAUUCUUUUUCUGUUUAAGCACAAACACAUCUUUUUAGUAAGUACAUUUCAUGCAUAAAAAGAAAAAAGCAACCAGUAAGACUGGCUGAGAUGAGGAAGGGUCAAAGAUCAAUUCGGUCAAACUCAUCGUAUUUAACUUUCUCUAAUGCGGUUUAUAUCUGUUAUGUGAUUUUUGACCUAUUGUACAAGAGCUGGCCAAAUUAAAAAAUUUUAUUUUUAAAAGUAAAAUCAUUUAAAAAGCAAAAAAUUAUACAGCUAAAAAAGAAUUUAAAUAAAUGUUUGAAAGCAAAAGCAAUCCCUGAAUUCACGUGCCUCUAUCAUAGAAUUCAAAGUCAUAAAAACUCUUCUAUUUUUAGAAUUUUUUACUUAUAUUGCUUUAUCUUUACUUUAAUUAGUUGUUCAAAAAGCCAUUCUUUGAUUAUGUGCAUGCAUGGCUCAUUAAUUUUCCCCUCAAUAUAAUAUAAAUACUUAAAAGGGGACUCCUCCUCCUUUCUGCCUUCUUUAUAUUUUCCUUCUCCCUCCGUCAGUUUCUAUCUAUUCAACUUAUAGUAUGUACUAUGGGAGAGAUGCAACAUUUUUUUCUUAUAGGAUUUGGGUUAAUUAUUAUUUUGAAUAAUGGGAUUAAUGGAUAUCCAAUAGAAGAUCUGGUGGAAAAUUUACCAGGGCAACCAAAAGUUGGAUUUAGACAAUAUGCUGGAUAUGUGAAUGUUGAUGAAAAAGCUGGAAGAAGUUUGUUUUAUUAUUUUGUUGAAGCUGACAAAGAUGCUCACAAACUCCCUCUUACUCUUUGGUUAAAUGGAGGUUUGUGCUUUUCUUCUUUGAAAUUCCUUCGUUCUUUUGGAGUACUUUUCAAUUAUUCUAAUUGAAGUUUUCGAUAUUCAAGCUCAAGAUAAGGUCCGCGUACAGUACUCUAUCAUCCCAAAACUCCACCAUAUGAAAUUUCACUGGAUAUAUGUUGUUGGUGUUGUUUGAGAAUUUGGAUUUAUGUCAAUUGAUGAAAGGACAAAAUUGAGUUUGAUUAAUUUUUUAUAAUUGAAGCGGGAUAAUUAUUGAUCUACAAAAAGAUGACUUUGUAAAGUCUUCAAUAUGAGUAAUGAUCAUAUUAUCUGUUAUCAUCAGCAACGAAAAAGAAAAUAUAAAAUGACAUGAGGUAAUAAUUUCAUAUUAAUUCAAAUUAAUCCAUAUAAUUUCAUUUUUAAUAAGUUUUUGACUAGAACAUACAAGUACUGUAACGUGCUUCUCCAUGAAUAUUGGUUAAUCAUGUGUAGGGGAUCAUGGUGAUUUGACAGCAAAAGUGACAAAAAAUUCAAUAUAGAAAGAUUAUUUUUUCAUUGUGAAUUUUGUUCUAAAAUGUUCAUUGUUAUGUGUAUCAUAUACUUUAUCGCAAGAGAUUAUGUCUUAAUUGAGUUUUUUUUUUUUAUUGUUGGUAAUUAUAUGCAAUUAAUAAUCUAAAUCUUAAAUUCUACUUGAUCUGCAUGUAUAAAUUAGCAUUUUAAGUCUUUCCUUAACAUUGAAGGAACGGUUUCUCUCUUUGGCCCAUUUUUUAAUGGCACACUGAAUGAUUUUAAUAAUUAUGUGGGGGAUAAUAUGUAAGAGCAUUCAACUUUCAACUUUUCCAUUAAUCACCAUUUUUUUUUUUUAAUAUUUAUAUAAUUAUAUAUAUUGAAGAUAUAUGCUCUGGACUGUACUAGUUGACAAUUAACUUGGUUGGUUGGUGAUAUUUGCAGGUUUCGGGACCAAUCUGUUUAAUGAUUUAUUUCUUCAAAACGUGUGAACAAUUCUUAUUAAAUUUUUUAUGUAUAUAAAAUAUAUAAUAAGAAAAAGCAUAAAUUCAACCUUAUUAAGUCAUGUUUUAAAAAAUUACCUAAAAAGAUAUUGUCUAGUCACUCGCCGCAUGUAGGUCGUCUGAGGUUAGGGGACAACUAGACCAAAUUAUUAUAGUACCAUUUUGAAUGUCAUUUACGUAAUAUUCUUUAUAAUUUCACUUUGAUGUCAAAAGUAUUUUCAUUUUAAAUUCGCUAAUGUAUGGUAGUUUUUUAACCAUUAUUUAUUAUGUAUGUUUCCUUAUUUCAGUAUGUUUUUUUCCUUAUUGUUUUGAUUUGCAAUUCUUGAAUCGAGAGUCAUUUGAAAACUACCUUUCUAUCUUCACGAGGUAGCAAUAAUAUUUCUAUCUUCACGAGGUAGCAAUAAUAUUUACAUACAUUUUGCCUCUCCAAACCCUAUGAUCUGAAUUUGUUGUUGUUGUAGUAAGCAUUGAUGAUUCUCAUACAAUGGAGCAAUGUGCAACAUCAUUACUCUAACAUUUGAAUUAAAAGCUUUUUCUCUAAAGUAGUCAUUUGAUUAAUACUAGCUACUCUAGAAAUUAUUAUCUUUUUUAUUUUUAAAUAAAUUUACCAGGUCCUGGAUGUUCAUCAAUUGGAGGGGGUGCCUUUACAGAACUAGGACCUUUUUUUCCUAGAGGUGAUGGCCGUGGUCUAAGAAGAAAUACUAAAUCUUGGAAUAAAGGUAUAUAAUAUUAUAUUUCCUUAAUUAUACAACAAUAUUACAAAAAAAAAAAAAAAAAACGCUCAGUAUUUAGCAUUACUAUUUCUUUAUUUUGAUUGAUUUAUAUACAGCAUCAAAUCUGCUAUUUAUUGAAUCUCCUGCUGGGGUUGGAUGGUCUUACUCAAACACAUCCAGUGAUUAUACUUGCGGAGAUGACUCCACUGGUAUAUCUGUUUAAUAUCUUAAACUUUAAUUUGGUGAAAAACCUAUGGUUAAUUAUGAAAAAGAGAUCAAAGAAAAAUAUUAAUAUUCUCAUUCGUUGUUUUUUUUUUUUUUUUUUUUUCCAGCCAAGGAUAUGCUAACUUUCAUGCUUAAAUGGUACGAAAAGUUCUCAGAAUUAAAAUCUAAACCCUUGUUCCUUACAGGUGAAAGUUAUGCAGGUACGACAUAUAUACACCCUAUACGUAGAAUUAUAUUAUAUACUCAUUGUUCACCUAUUUCGCGAACUUUGUCUAGAGUUAAAUUAAUGUAAAAAGUAAUCAUUAUAAAUGGAGUAUGGACUACUUGUUGAUGGUCACUGUAUAAUCUUUCAUCCUUUGAUUCACCAAUUCUAAUGUAUUUAAUUACAUUGUAUACUCUUUCUGUCCAAAAUAGUUGUCACUUUUAGCUUCUCGAGAUUCAAACUAUAUUAACUUUGAUUAAUAUUUUAAGAUGUAAAAGAAUUGUAAUUAUGUAUUACAGUAUUUUUUGUAUAAGCAAAUCGUGACAAAUAGUUGGAAGGGAUAGAGUCAAAAUGAGGACAUAUUUAUAAUAUUCUACAUCAUUUUUACUUGCUAACUAAUGUCCAUAUUUUUGAUCUGGUGAUAGGACAUUACAUACCACAGUUGGCAAAUGUCAUACUAGACUACAACAAGCAGUCCAAAGAUUUUAAGUUUAACCUAAAGGGAGUAGCGGUAAGAAUACUCAAAAAUAUAUACUUUGAUUCUUCCUUCCUCUAUAUAUUAAAAUCAUUCCUCCUAAAUUCGAAGUCAUUUUUUUUAUUUAUUCAAUUUGUAAUGUAUAUAUCUACAGAUUGGAAAUCCACUUUUGAGACUAGACAGAGAUGUUCCAGCAGUGUACGAAUAUUACUGGUCACAUGGAAUGAUCUCAGAUGAAUUAUAUUUAAGAAUCAAAGAGAAUUGUGAUUUUGAUGAUUAUGAAUUCCCAGUUCCUCAUAAUGUGUCAACUACAUGCAACCAAGCUACUGAUGAAACAUACAAAGUAAUUUCUGACUAUGUUAAUGUCUAUGAUGUUAUUUUGGAUGUUUGUUAUCCUUCUAUCGUCCAGCAAGAGCUUCGUUUACACAAACAAGUAGGCAAUCAAAUCUCUUUAAACUAUAUAUACGUGAAAAUAUAUAUGCUUAAUGUUUGUAAUUAACUUUAUAUUAUAUGUUGGAGGAUGUACUAGGUAACUAAGAUGAGUGUGGGAGUAGAUGUUUGCUUGACAUCAGAAAGAUACUUCUAUUUCAACCUUCCUGAAGUUCAGAAGGCUCUUCAUGCUAAUAGGACUAAUUUGCCUUAUGAAUGGACCAUGUGCAGUGAGUAUGUAAUCAAAAUUAUUUUAAUUUUGAAAAACUUUUGUUAGAAAAUUAAUGACCCCAUUUAUUAGUACUACUUUAAUUUGUUUGUGUUUGAAAUGAGACAGUGUGCUGAAUUACUCUCAAUCUGAUGGUGAUAUUGAUAUCCUUCCAACCCUCAAAAACAUUAUUCAACAUGAUGUUCCUCUUUGGAUAUUCAGGUAAACAAGUUAGAACAUUUUUCUUCCUACAGAACACACCCAAUGUGACACAUCAAAUAUGGAUUCAGAAUUUUAAAUUAGUGAACACAGUACAAUUUCCCCCUUCUAUCACUAUUUAUUUAAUCAUCGUAAUAAUAACAAUAACAAUACAAUACCAUGCUACUGUACUCCCUUCCCAAUUACCUCCUAUUAAUCUUGAAUUCGCUUUAAUUUAUUGUUAUUCACAUGCGCGAUGAUUCUAAGCAUCUGUACUGUGUAUAUAUAAUUACAACAGCGGAGAUCAAGACUCAGUGGUGCCACUAAUAGGGUCAAGAACAUUAGUACGUGAAUUAGCCCGGGAUCUAAAGUUCAAGACCACCGUACCCUAUGGAGCAUGGUUUCACAAAGGGCAAGUAGGAGGAUGGCAAGUUGAAUAUGGGGAAAAACUCACAUUUGCUACAGUGAGAGGAGCAGCUCAUAUGGUACCAUAUGCACAACCAUCAAGGGCUUUGCAUCUUUUCAGUACAUUUGUUCAUGGAAGACGAUUGCCUAACACCACUCGUAUUCCUAUUAAUUCAUCAUACAAUUUGAAAAAUUAAUCUUCUUCUGCUGGUUAAAAUAUAAACUUGAAGUUGAUUCAAGAGGUUAGUUGUCUAUUUUUGGUACUUGUGUUGUUGUGCAGAAAUGUCAAAAUGAAAUGAAAUGGAAUGGAAAGAAGUUGAAUGGAUACAUAAUUUUCAUAUAAUUACACCAAUUAACUUGAAAUUGAGUCGUGUUCGAUUCAUUGAUACUAAGUACUUUUAUAAGUUUUGUAUAUCGAUGGUGUAUACCGGCUGAGUUGCUGCACCGAGAACCAAAAAUAAUUGUUGGGAUAAGUUUAGUAUAUUGUUUCUAUUUUAUCAGCCUGCAAUAUAAUUGUGUUACGUUGCAAUUAUUCCACUCGUACGAGUCACUUUAUCCGUAUAUAACAACGUAAUAAAUAACUACAGAUGGAGUCGAUAGGGUUUUUAUUUCCCGAAAAAUGCAGCCCCUACCAUUAGUCCUUUAUGGAGAUAUGAAAUUCGACAUUGUAUCAAUCGUGAAUUUCAUGCCAUUAAUCAAUCAAGCACGAAGCCCUUGAACACUUUAACGACAAAUAGCACAAGUCUAAAACACUCCGCAGUAUCAAAAGCCCAAAAAAUUCAGCUACUGAGUGUGCAUUACUAAAAUCUAAUGGAGUAAUAAAACUGGAAACAUGUUAAAAGAUAGUAAAGUAAUCCACAUUUAAUUAAAAAAAAAAAAAAGAAAAGGAGGGUGUGAACAUGUAAUAUUAACUGCGGCAACCACUAUAAAGAAAAAGAGAAAUUUAAAUGGCUUCAUCCAUAAAAGUCCAAAAAUUCCAAAAAUUUGUAUGUUUUAUGUAUCAACACGUGAAUCGCUACUUACAGUUGUAUUUAUAAUUUGUUCAUCUAUUUCGUCACUUGUUCGAUGUUUACAACAGUUCACUCAAUAACAAUAAUGAUAAAACAAAAAUGUAAUCGGUACUCUAUUUUUUAUACAACACUUCUGUAUUUAAAACUCUUUCUUAAAUUUCAUUCCUUAAAUACUACUUUUACAAUCAUAGAAUUAAAUGUUAUACAUGUAUAAAUUUUUAAGGAUAAUUUUGACAUAUAGUACAAGAAAAUCUCUUUCUUAAAUAUUCUGCCUAAGGUGUUAAGUGGGCCGGGCCGGGUCAACCCGGAAUCAGCCCGUGAAGUUUAAUCGGUUAGUGGUUGGUCCGGAUCCGAGCCUGGUUAAACGGGCCGGGCCGGUUUCGGGUCCAACAGAUUUUUUUUUAAAAACAAUCCUGAACCGACCCACUUAACCUAACCCGAUCCAAUCCACCUAAACCCGGCCAAAACCCCCCAAAAAAAAAAAAAUUUUCUCCAAUAUAUACUAUAUAUACCCACAUUAGAAUUUAAAAAAUAUAUACACAUACACACAAUUACACAUAUAAUCGUGUAUACGACUAUACGUUAGUUAAAUAUAUAUACUACAAGAUAUAUACUACAAUAUAAUGACAUAUAUACUAAUUUAUAAAACAUAUACACAUGUAUACAUUAAAUAUAUACUAUUUUAGAGUCUAUAGAAGAUAUAUACACAUAUAUACGUACCAUUCAAUAUAUCUACUACUUUAAAUAAAACAUAUACUACAAUAUAUAUACUGCAAUAUAUACACACACUAUAUAUAUAGUUAUAACUAAUUUAUAAAACAUAUACAUGUGUAUAAAUUAAAUAUAUUCUACUUUAGAGUCUAUAGAAGAUAUAUACACAUAUAUACGUACCAUUCAAUAUAUAUGUACUACUCUAAAUAAAACAUAUACUACAAGAUAUAUACUACAAUAUAAUGAUAUAUAUACUAAUUUAUAAAAUAUAUACACAUUAAAUAUAUACUACUUUAGAGUCUAUAGAAGAUAUAUACACAUAUAUACGUACCAUUCAAAAAAUCUACUACAUUAAAUAAAAUCUAUUACAAUAUAUAUAUUACAAUAUAUAUACACACUAUAUAUAUAUAAUUAUAUACUAAUUUAUAAAACAUAUACAUAUAUAUAUACGUUAAAUAUAUACUACUUUAGAGUCUAUAGAAAAUAUAUACACAUAUAUACGUACCAUUCAAUAUAUUUGUACUAUUUUAAAUAAAAUAUACUACAAUAUAUACACACACUAUAUAUGUAAUUAUAUACUAAUUUAUAAAACUUAUACACGUGUAUACAUUAAAUAUAUACUACUUUAGAGUCUAUAGAAGAUAUAUACACAUAUAUACGUACCAUUCAAUAUAUUUGUACUAUUUUAAAUAAAAUAUACUACAAUAUAUACACACACUAUAUAUGUAAUUAUAUACUAAUUUAUAAAACUUAUACACGUGUAUACAUUAAAUAUAUACUACUUUAGAGUCUAUAUUCUAUAUAUACACAUAUAUACGUAUCAUUCAAUACAUAUACUACUUUAAAUAAAACAUAUACUACAAGAUACAUACUACUUUACUUUAGAGUCUAUAGAAGAUAUGUACACAUAUAUACGUAGCAUUCAACAUACAUGUACUACUUUAAAUAAAACAUAUACUACAAUAUACACACACACUAGAUAUAGUUAUAUAUUAAUUUAUAAAAUAUAUACACAUGUAUAUGUUAAAUAUACACUCUUUUAGAGUCUAUAUUCUAUAUAUACACAUAUAUACGUACCAUUCAAUAUAUCUAAUACUUUAAAAAAUAUGCUACAAGAUACAUACUACAAUAUAAUGAUAUAUAUACUAAUUUAGAAAUAUAUACACAUGUAUAUGUUAAAUAUAUACUACUUUAGAAUCUAUAGAAAAUAUAUAUACAUAUAUACGUACCAUUCAAUAUAUGUAUUACUUUAAAAAGUAUGCCACUUAAUAUAAUAAAUUAAUAAUACUUGGUAGUAAAUUAGUAAUAUAUUAAAACUAAGUAUUUAAUUUAAAUUAGAAAUUCAAUUUAAAUCAUUAAAUGGAAAAAAUUACAAAGUAAGGACUAAGGAGUGAAUGAAUGAUUGAAUGUUGAAUUUUAUUGAUUGCAAAAUGAUCCAAAAUUUAUAAUUUACAUUAAUGAAAAAUCUACAAAUUUUGCAUCAUUUUUUCCAACUCAUUCAUGUUAAUAUUAACGGGAACUUGCAUAGGAUAGUUAAAGUCAAUAGGGGGCAAAACCAUGCAUUGGACUUGAUUCUGCUGAGUUCUCCCGUGAAGUCAUAAUUUCUUCAAGUCUCUGGUCGUCCUUCGUCUCCGCCUUCAUUCCUUGAUUUCUUUGUUCCGCUCUAAUUCAAUCUCUAAGACAAACUAGAACAUUCAUUGCAUUACUUCUCAAUGAGUGUUGGUUGUCUCCAAGCUGUUGUCGUCCCUGACUAAAAACGCUCUCCAAUGCAACGGUUGACAUAGGAACAUUCAAGAUAUCUCUAGCUAAUCUUGAAAGCACAGGAUAUUGUGUUUCAUUAUUCCUCCACCAAUCCAUCACGUUGAUCCGUCGUCUGCGAUCCUCUAUCGUCGUUCGAAGAUAAUACUUAAGCUCUCCUCGAUAAGUUGUUGUGUAAGCUCCCGCCUCAAUACUGUUCCAACAAUUCAAAUCAUAAAAGUAAUCAGGAAUACCACUAUAUGCCGGCCUUUUAGAAGAUGAUGACUCCUCGGGAGGAAGAGGAGCGACAGUUGGAGUGAUAUUUGUCGGUAUAGCUAAAUCAACUAAAUCAGCAUAAUGGUUAUAUAAUUUAUCUAUGUAAGCGUUUGCAUCGGCCAUAGCCGUCCACAAAUCAGGUUGUUCUUGUUCUUCAUCAUCAGAAUCAUUGUUAGUAUUUAUCUCUAAGUUAGCAAGAGUACUAAAGUGACACAUAAUAUUAUAUUUCAUGCACGAAUUUAGCAUAGCACCAACCAAGUAAAUAAGGGGAAUCGGAAAAAAAUAUUUUUAAAAUUUAGCAAACAUAGCACCAACAACUUCUUUGUAACCUUCUUUAUUUUUAUAUUCUUUGAGCAAACAAAAAAUAUCGGCUAUAUAUGCCAAAAUAUUACAAACAGUAGGAUAAUAGCACCGAAAAAUUCAACUGUAGCUAUAUAAUUUUUUUUCUAAAACUUAACAAGAUCAUCAAUUACAGUCCAAUCAGAAUCAUGCAGCAUACAUUCAGCCGAAUCAACAAAUGAACCACAAUGUUGGUUAAAAGAUAGUGUAAUAGGAACUCUAUAUUUAUAACAAUUUUGUAAAAAAUCAUACGUAGCAUUCCAUCUAGUAUCACAUUCUUCAGGCAUCAGUAUCGGUGCAGGUCCAUUUUAUUCACAUUUAAGUUUAAAGUCUCUAAAUCUUUUUCUUCGAUUAUUUCCUUGAAUAAAACCAACAGCAAGCCGAAUUUUUUCAAUAUAAAGCUUAAAAAACUUAAGACUAUCUCUUACGAUUAAAUUAUAUAUAUGACAAGCACACUUAACAUGAAAUAUUUCAGAUAAUGGCGGAGAUAACUUAGAUUUUAAUUUUCUAAUAGCAGUCUUGUUGUUAGAAGUAUUAUCAAAAGCAAUACAUAAGAUUUUAUUUACAAUGCCAUAAAAUUCUGCAACUUUAGCAAUCGAAUCAACAAUAAAAUCUCCAGUAUGUUUACGAUCUUCAUCAUACCAAAAAGCUAGAAUAAGUUUUUGCAUAACAAAAUUGCUAUCUAUCCACUGACAAGUAAUUGUUAAAUAAUCAUUUUUAUUAACAGCACGACCAAGAUCAGAAGUUAGAGACAUUCCACAUUGAAUAUUUUUUAACAAUGUUGAUAAAUAAAAAUAAUAUUGUGAAUGAAGUCUAAAAAUAUCGGCCCGACAAGUACUUCUAGGAAUACCAUUAAACAUAGGAUUAUAAAUUGCUUGAAUAUAAUGAAUAAAAGCAUCAAAAGAAUGAAAACUAAAAGACAAACAACCCACAACUAUCAUUUUUGCUAUUUCUUCCCGGUCCUUCAAUUUAUUAUACUUCUUCAUUACCUAAUCGGUUAUUGGGUUCAUUCUAGUUUAUGUUGGCCCACCAACAUCCGCACCACCUUUUGCAAUAUUUAACUCUCUUGCGUGAUUAUCACUUAUAUGUCUCGUUAAUGUACCCGUACCCCCUUACUUGCCUCCCUUUUUUAUGCUUAUAUAUUUGUUGACAAAUAUUGCAUUGCACCUCAGUAUCUGAUAUACGUGUAAAAAAUUGUCAGAUCUUGGGGCAGGGGGAGUACGGGGAGGGCGAUUAAUCGAUUCAGACCUAUCGUUAGCAUUUCCUACUGCUGGUGUCUCACCAAUAUUUUCAUCAUCUUCGUCUAAAUCAACCGCAUCUACUUCAUUUUCUUCUUCUAUAUCAUAAUUUUUCUGAGCUUCUACAUAAUCCAUAUCGUGAGCACGUACACCUAUUUCUUCCUCAAAAGGUUGACUAAGCGGUACCGAAGGCGGAGGCACACGGGUAUAUCUACUACUUGAAGUACCUCUACCGCUAGUAAUUCGAUUUUUACUCCCACUACCACUUCCCGGAUAAAUUUUUUUUACACCUUUAGUGGCUAGGUUUCUUAAUUUAUCCUUAAUAUAAAUUAAACUAAAAAAAUUCAAAAUACACAAAUAUAAUAAAAUUAAAUAUUCAACAAUUAAUACACUAAUUAAAAAUUAAAAAUAAAAGAUGGAACGACAAUAUCAAAUUUUGAAAGUAUCCGAAGGUUGCGACUUUAGAAACUUUCACUCGUACUUUGUAAUUGCAAAAUUAAAAAAUUAAAGUGAACACUUUAGAAAAUAUAUAGAAUAUUUGAGAAUUGAGAAUUGAGAUUUGAGAGAGAAUGAGAUUUGAGAGAAUGAAAAAUUGUGUGGAAAGUGAUUUGAAAGUGUAGGGUAUUUAUAGGAUUUUUUUUGGAUUCAAAAAAAUAUUUUUAAUGAUUUUUUUUUUUUAAAUAUAAUUGGCCAUUAUAGCCAUUUUGGGCUCCCAACGGUCAUAUAGCCGUUGGGCCCCACGAACCAUUUUUUAAAAUCCCGAAACUUGGUUUUUUAAAAAAAUUCAUUAUUCAAGCCUGACCGAUUAACCAACGAACAUGGACCUAUUUUGGUACGGACCGAAUUAAUCGAGCCAAAAAAAAUUAACUCAACCCGAAAUCCGGUACCUUACGGAUCAAACCAGGCCGGGUUUGUUUAGUGGAUCGAUUCGGGCCGGGUCAACCCAACCCGUUUGCCAGGCUUAAUUGUGCCUAGUGAAAAACCAAUCUGAUAUAUCAUGGAUCAUUGACGGAGGGAAUAUUAUUUAUUAAAUUAAAUUAAUGCAUUUCUACAGUGAGAUGUAUAGGGAAAACAAAAAUUGAAAAGAGAAAAGAAACAAAAGAAAACGAAACCUCCAAAAUCAGGCAAUUUUGUGCUUGACACAUUACCAACUCUUCAGUUAAGUGUGGGAAGAGAAAAAAAAGCCAAAGAUAAAAAGAAAUCACAUAUACAUAUACAUAUACAUAUACACAUACAUAUACGUGGUGACACAAGUGAAUAGGUGCACUACACAAAAAUCACCAGCUAAUUCUCUAUUUUCUCUUCAUCUUCUUCUCUUUUUCUCUUUUUUUGUGCUACCAAUUCUUGAACCAAAAAAAAAUUAUAUAUGUACUCUAAGAAUUCACUGUACUUACCCAAUUAAACACUUCACUUUGUCUAGUUUAAAAAUGGUACUUGUAUUUUUCAUUGUAAUUUUAAGCCAUCUAGCAGAGAUCUCCCAAGGGGAACUAAGAGUUGGUUUUUAUAACAGUAGAUGCCCUACUGCUGAGACCAUUGUUAGUAAUGUUGUCCGUCAAGUUGCUGCCUCCAAUCAAAACAUUGCUCCUGUCUUGCUUAGGCUUCAUUUCCAUGACUGUUUUGUUCAGGUCAGCUAUUCUCCCUAUCUAAUAUUUUUCAUUAGGACAUCAAUUAUAUAUAGUCAGAGAUGAUCUCAGAAAGUCACCUUCAUUCUUGAUUCCAAUUUUAUUCGACAAAGAAAGUGACUUUUUGAGAUAAUUACUGUUAGUUGAGAAAUCAAACACAUAAUCUUACAUACGUAUAAGUGAGCCGAGCUGAAAGUAAUGAGUUCAAUUGACCUGACGGUAUAUGUUGAUGAUGAUUAAUCAGGGGUGUGAUGGAUCAAUUUUGAUAGAGAAUGGAGCAAAUGGAGAAAGACAUGCAUUUGGACAUCAAGGAGUUGGAGGUUUCGAAGUGAUAGAAAGAGCCAAAUCUGAAAUAGAAGCUGUUUGCCCUGGCAUUGUUUCUUGUGCUGACAUUGUUGCUUUGGCUGCUAGGGAUGCUGUUGUUUUGGUACUACUGCUACUAGUGUUUCAUUAGUAUAGUUCUUUCUUCUUGGAAUUCUCUCAUCAGUUACGUUUCUCUUCAUUAACUACAUUGUUGAAUUUUUUUUAGUUAGACAAAUUUGUUGUUUUUUCUUUGUUUUAUGUAUGUAUAUAUAAUAAAGUUGAAAUUGGCGGCCAUUGAUUAAAUUACAGGCAAAUGGACCAUCAUAUGAGGUGGAAACAGGAAGAAGAGAUGGAAUGAUAUCGAAUUUGUCAUUAGCAGAUAACAUGCCGGAAGUGAGUGAGUCAAUUCAGAUACUCAAAGCGAAGUUCUCCCAGAAAGGCCUUUCUGAGAAAGACCUCGUUGUGCUCAGUGGUAAUUUUACCUGUAACAACUCUAUAUAACUCCUCGUAAUAUAUUUAAUGUUGAUGAUCUGAAAAAUACAUAGUAACCUUACUACUAUACAUAGUCAUUGUGACGGAGUCACUGUCAGUGUAUAUAAGUUAGAUUUGAUUUUUAUUUUAUAUGCUAUCCCCACACCCCUUAGCUACGGAUCAAGGGUGGUGAGAGCGCCUUCCCCGCGAAACCAAUAAUUUUCGUGCAAGGCUCUCUAUUUAUAUUGAGAAAUCUAUUGAAUAUAUUUAGAAUAUUCAAAUCUUAAAUCUGCCUCUGAGCCCCUUUAUGUUCCAUCUUCUCCCAAGAAAAAUGGAGGCGAAAAAUCACACACACACACGCACAACACAUAGUCACACUUGCAAAUGUGUGGUACAUGCAGAUUUUGUGGGUUUUCUAGUUUGGUAGACAUUGUUGAAGGGAUGUGAACAUUGUCAUUAGCUAAGACACGAUGUUGGAGCUAGGUCCUCGAUCUUUUUACUCUUUUUGGGGUUCGUUAAUUAGAUCCUUAAUUAAUCCUAUUUUAAGGUGAUUGUGAUUUAUUUGUGUUGUUGUAUAUUGCUUAGACUCUUCAAAAAUGCUAUCGUGCAUCGGAUCGUCCAAAAGUGGUGUAUACUUUUGAGAGAACAUUUAGAAAGUCAUAGAAACAUUACUCAUAGGUUGGUCUUUUUGCUAACCAAGUCACCGAGCGGUGAAAAUGGGAUAUAAAGUUAGUGUUUAGUAAUUGAAGAUCACGAGAUUACUCGAUUAGGAAAUGGACCACCUAAAAGUCCAUAUCCACAUUACUAAAUGCAAUCACCAAUUUUACACAUGAUUCUUUGUGUCAUUCAACACUUUAAUUUGCUUUAACAGGAUAAAUUUCGUUAAUAAUCUUUUAAUUCUUUACACUGUCAGUGCCAUAUGCGUGACUUCAAUCCUUAUUGUGAUUAAGCGAGCGAAAUUAAAUCAUGAAUUUGCAGCUGCACAUACGAUAGGUACCACGGCAUGUUUCUUCAUGACAGAUAGGCUGUACAACUUUUCCCCUGGAGGAGGUUCUGAUCCAUCCAUACACCCCAGUUUCCUCCCUGUAUUGAUGGCAAGUUGUCCGCGGAACGGGGAUGUUAAUGCGCGAUUACCGAUGGAUAGGGGCAGCAGCGGGGAGUUUGACGACAAUAUUUUGCAAAAUGUAAGGAGUGGCUUCGCAGUGUUACGAUCAGAUGCUAGUUUAUACGAAGAUGUGGAGACGAGGAAUAUUGUGGAUUCCUACUUUGGGAUUUUUAGCCCAUUUUUUGGGACAUCUUUUGAAGAUGAUUUUGCUAAUGCAAUGGUGAAAAUGGGCAGAAUUGAUGUGCUCACUGGAUUAAAAGGGAGAAUUAGACGUCAAUGUUCCACAUUUUGAUUGCAUUGUUAAUUCUAAUUACUCCUCGAGUAUUUGCUUACAACAUUUUACUUUUGUUGCUAGAGUGGGUUACAGUCCCACAUUGGCUGGAAAAUGAAUCGGUGCUUGUAUGGACUUGGACAAUUACCCUCAUGAGCUAAUUGUUGAGGGUUGAGUUUGACAUAAAUGUAUAUCUUACCGUUUUUAUUUUUGAGUGGUGAGUUCAUUAUAGAAUCAUUAAUCUUCCUAUCCAGGGUGAAAAAAUUGAACCCAUUUUUAAUAACUUGUCCAAGUUCAAACCGGUUAAGUUAUACCUCGUACAUUAACUUGAUUUAAUGAGUUGAUCCGAAAUUGACCAGCCAAAUUAUUGAGUCAAACCCAAGCUCAAACAUUUAUUAUCAAACUUCAGAAAAAUAUAUUAGCUUUCACACCAUCUUUUUUUUUUUUUUUUUUUCCCAGAGCAAGAAAGGAGACGAGGUUGGAUCACGUUGGGCCGGUUGGAUUAUGACUCGUUUAUUGAUUUGAGUUUUUUUGACCUGUCCAAAUUUGACCCCUGCCCAUUUACUCUCUCUUUGUUAUCAAAGGGCAAGCUACCGCUAUGUGCGGGUCCGGGGAAGAGCCGGACCACAAGGGUUUUUUCUAUGCAACCAUACCUUGUUACUCCAUGCAACUCAUGUGAGUUAAACUUGUUUAUAUUCCUGCAAUCGUAUCUGCAAUUCUGCUAAAAGUUCACGAGAAGCCUAGUCUCUACACUCUGCCUUAGUUGAAUGAUGAAGAAUUUUAUUCAAUACAUUAAAGUUUGUAACACAACCUAUAUUGAGCUGGCAAUUCAGUUCCUCCAAAAUAUAAGUAGGAUGCAUCUGGCUUUUGUAGUUUCUCACUGUCCACAUUACUAAACACAAACCAAAUUGACACUACUUUUUUUUUUUGUAUCUAUAUGCCAUUUCUUGUAUGUUCUAUUUCAGAGUGAAAUUAUUGUUCUCAAUUUGGAUACGGCUUCUUAACAACAACUUAAUAAGCACAACAAAAGAGGAAAAAACAGCAAGACAAAUUAAAAGCACUUCAACACCGCUAGCUGUUUUCGUCAGCAAAAAUCUGUGUAGCAAACCCAUUUUUCAACAUAAAAUUUUGUCCAAUUCAUACUAAAUGUCCUAGGGGAAUAUGUUGUAGGUCCUACGUUCUUAGGAUUGAAAUGAAAAAAUGGAAUAAAGAAAACUUGCACCGAACAAAUGAAUUUAAUUUGUAUAUAUCUAGUUAGGGAGUAAAGAUGUUGUUAAAUAAAUGUACCAGCUACCCGACAAUUUGUCAUAUAUAUCAAUCAUAAUAUAUUUCUGGUGGUUAGAUUGUUGUUAUUAAAAUAAAAUCACAUAAAAAUCAAAUGAUAAAAAAGUAACUGGAAGUGACGCACGAAGCUUUUUAUGCGGUUUGGACAAACAUACCUUUUGUCAAAUUUGAUAGGUCGUGUAAAAAAAAAUAAUGUUUGAUAAAAUUAUACAUUAUUUAUUUAUUAAACAAUAAGUUCUAGUGAUAAAAGAAAGUAACUUUAUUAUAAGUUCAAUUCUUCCUUUCCUUUUUUUUUUUUCUCCCUUGUGUUAUUAAUAUAGAACAAAUCAUUUCUAGCGUUAAUUACGAAAUGUUCAAUAUUCUCUGAAGAGAAUUCAAUUCUAUUCCAUGACAUAGAUAUAUACAUGUAUACAUAUAUAGAAAUUUGUCGUGAAAAUAUCUUCAAUUCGCUUGCUUUAGAUCUCCACUGAUAAUUUAUGUGCCAAUACUAUAAGCCAUGAACACCAUUCAUUCGAUCAUUAUGCAACGCUCUAAAUCUUUCAUUAAAUUUACAACUAAACAAAAUAAGAUCGUAAAAAUGAAUAAUAAUUUUUCUCUUCAUUUUCAUGUCUUUCUAUGUCAGUCCAUUAGUUCUCGUUAAGUUUUGAAGUAUAUUUAAUUAAUUUUCUAUAAGUUAAAUGAGUAAAAUAAUACAACUAUAUGCUAGUUUUAUUAAAUUAAAGUGGCAUAUAUGGUAAUCGAUCCUACGUGAGUCUCCGAAAAAUUGGUACUGCCUUAAGAUCUUCAAUAAUAAUAGUUUCUUUUCAUACAAAUUUAGAAAGAAAAAAAAAGGUUUGUAAGACAGAAUUACAUUGAUCGCAAGUCAUAUCUAUGUUUUGGAAAAAUAUAUAUUUCCAUUAGCCUCCCGAAAAUGAUGCUAAAGAACAGAAUAUUUCUAUGGUCAUUGGAUUCAGGGAAUUAAGCUGAGAAAAAAGCAAGAGGGAGAAACAUAAAAUUUAAUUAGAAGAGAAGAAAAAAAAAAGAGCUGCACAUACCUCGUUUCUCCCAUUUCAUUUUCUUUCUCCAAGUCCCAAUAUUUCUCAACGUAAGACUAGUCAAUUUGUAAUGAAUAUGUUUAUUAGCUGGAAGCUGGUUUGGGAUUUUACGUAACAUUUCAUGCAUGCACGUUUUCAAUCUUCGUUAUAAUUUAAGGGUUUUUUUUGUUUAUUUCUUCAGGUUAACACAGCCAUCGUUGUCAAUAAUUCAAGAGAAAAAAACGUACUUUUAGCCUUACGAUUCAUGGGUCCAAGUAAGCUUAGAAAGGCAAUAGGGGCAGUGAAGGACCAAACUAGCAUAAGUUUGGCCAAAGUAGGUAGCAGCGCCUCCUUAUCUGAUCUUGAAGUCGCCAUCGUAAAGGCGACGCGACACGAUGAGUACCCACCGGAGGAGAGACAUAUAAGGGAAAUUCUAAGCUUGACUUCUUAUUCUCGAGCCUAUGUUGGUGCAUGUGUUGGUUUCCUUGCCAGACGCCUUAGCAAGACCAAGAAUUGGAUUGUGGCUCUUAAGGCACUCAUGUUGAUCCAUAGGCUGUUGUGCGAUGGGGAUUCAUCCUUUGAGGAAGAGAUUUUCUUUGCCACAAGACGAGGGACAAGGCUUCUUAACAUGUCUGAUUUUCGUGACUCGAGAUCUAACUCAUGGGAUGGUUCUGCAUUUGUACGGUCGUAUGCUUUAUACCUUGAUGAACACUUGGAAUUCAGGAUGCAGAACCGCAGGGGAAAACGCAGUGCAUUUGCGUACAGCGAUGAUGAAGAGGAGGUUCGUCAUAAUGCAAGGGGAGCGAAAGCCACUCCGUUGAGGGAAAUGAAAGAUGAUCGUGUUUUCUCAAGGAUUCAUCAUCUCAUGCAGCUCCUCGAGAGAUUUUUAGCCUGCCGACCUGCAGGUUUGAUAUUUGUACUUCCAAACUCCCAACUUUGCUUCAAUAUUUCUUGCCAAUUGCCAAAAUAUUUAUUCAUCAGCAAUGCGCAUUUGAUAAAAGAUACAAAAUGCUACUGUAUGUUUCAGGUACGGCAAAGAACAACAGAGUCGUGAUUGUGGCUCUAUAUCCAUUAGUGAAGGAAAGUUUCCAGCUAUAUUAUGACUUAACAGAAAUCACGACUAUGAUGUUUGAUAAGUUCAUAGAACUGUCAAUUCCAGACUCUAUAAAGGUUCUUGAGAUAUUCUUCAGACUUAACAAACAAUAUGAGGAGAUCGAGCAGUUCUAUGAUUGGGGUAAAGCGGUUGGAGUAACACGCACUACUGAAUAUCCAGAUAUUGAGAUCAUUCCACCAAAGAAACUCGAGCGUAUGGAUGACAUAAUACGGGAAAAGUCCUUCAGGGAACAGACCAGGAAGGCAAUGCGGAAUGAACCAACUACUGAGAACGUUCAAGAAACUGAAAUGCAGGAACCAGAAACUGAACCGGAAGAGGACAUGAAUGCCAUUAAGGCAUUACCAGCACCAGAGGUCUUCCCCGAAGAAAAGACACAGGAAGAGGAAAAGAAAGAGGAGGUGAAAACCCAAGAAGUAGGAGACUUGUUAAACUUGAGUGAAGAUGUUCCAACUUCCGAAGAACAUGGAGAUCAACUAGCAUUAGCAUUGUUUGAUGGUGGUCAAGCGGCGACCAAUCCUGCAACAAGCAUUUCGCCAUGGCAAGCAUUCAACGAUUCAGGAGAUUGGGAGACAGCACUGGUUCAGUCUGCGAGUCAUUUGUCAAACCAGAAGGCCUCCCUCCCUGGAGGCUUUGACACAUUAAUGCUCAAUGGCAUGUACCAACAAGGAGCAGUUGCUCAGGCAGUAGCCUGCUCAGGUGUUGUGGCUACUGGAAGUGCAAGCAGCGUAGCACUUGGCUCAGCAGGACGGCCGGCAAUGCUAGCAUUGCCUGCACCUCCAACUGCAAAUGGUGGAGCUAAUACAGCCGCACCAGGCACAGAUCCUUUUGCAGCUUCACUGGCAAUAGCUCCACCAGCAUACGUUCAGAUGUCCGAGAUGGAGAAGAAACAGAAACUACUAACAGAAGAGCAGUUAAUGUGGCAGGAGUAUCAGAAAAAUGGAAUGCAAGGACAGGUAGGAUUUCCCCAGGUGCAGCCAUACCCUUACCCAUAUAACAUUGGUGGUUACAGGCAAACCUUCUAAAGCUUUCACUAACAAGAUACACAACAUUGUAAUGUCAUUUUUCCUGUGGUCAGUCGUAUCUCAGUAAUAAGAUAAGUCAUGAAAUUGUACAGAAAGAAACUGGCAUCUGGAAGAAGAGCUAUGCAAGUUCACAUCUAACCAAUGCCUGCAUUGCCAGCUUUCUGAGAAAGUCAGCUUAGCUACAAUAUUGAAGUAUGAGAAUUGCAAAACUACAUGUAGACAAGCUCCGUUAUCAGUGUACAGAAUGUAACAUUUUUUCAAAACAAAUUGCUAGUGGAGUCUUAUUCUUUCUACAGUUUGAAGUGGUUACUCAAGCUGAUAUAUAACAUACCAUGCAUUUUACAUCAUAAGAAAUGACAAACAUGAAUGAUAGCAAAUACGAAUUCAUGUUAUUAGCAUCUCCAUUCAUGGAAAUGAAGGAAAAUACUAAUUAACACAGAAUUUAGCAGACAAGCCCUAAAAGGUACAAACUAAGCACAAUAAUCAGCUUGAAUAAUUCGCUCACUCAUCUAGGACUAAUCUCUACACAGUUAACGAAGAUAUCAAACUCAAAACGAAAGGUUACUUAAAUUGGGCAGCUUCACGUCAUCCUGCUUCUUUACGGAGACACCCAACUGCAUUCCUACUGAUACCAAGGUCUCCAGUGAUCUUCCACUAUUUUCCAAGAGAUCCUCAUCUACCCUUAUGGAAUCCUGUAUAUUUCAACAGAUUAGAUUCCAAAUCACUGAACAGCAACAGGAUAGUUAAAUUUCAUAAAACAAAAUAUUUCCAUAUUUUUGUUUACUACUCCCUCUAAGGAAUGUCACUUCCAAAUGUACACUUAGAUUGGACGUAAUAGACAAAAAGGAGAGAAGGAAAGGGCGAAGAACUCUAUGCAUAGACCCACAAAAUGUUUGAUUUUCGAGAUAACAUCGUGAGCUGGCUAAUAUUAUGAGGCAAAUAAUUCACUAUCAGUCCCUAAAAAGUUCAUGACCUCUAAAUUCUGUGAAUGCGGUCGUUUUAAUCUGUCAAAUCUUGUGACUACAUUUCCAUCUUAGUAUUCAGAUCUUUGUGGCACUGACGUUUUGAUCCAACAUUCACUCUCAUAUAACAUUUGUUGGACUUGCAACUGCUCUAUAAAACUUGACUUACACUUUCGCAAGUAUCCUUCUGAAAUAACACUCAGGCAACACUUUCUAUUUUGGUUCUGUAUGUAGCAUUUUCAUCUAUCAUAUGGUUCUUCUUGAACAUCUAGUAUAGAUAUAUAAACUAUUCGAAUUUAGGUACCAGAAUCCCAUCUGUUCUCACCUCAAUUUCACCCUUUAUUGAUUAAACUUGCAAUGCAUAUACUGAAUCUUACUUCAACUUAUAUUAAAACCUUUCAAUUUUAGAGUGCUCCUCCAUAAUUCAAGCUUUAGGUUAACACCCUCACUGGUUUUGUCAUUAGCACAAUAUUGUCUGUGCAUAUAGCAUGAACCAUAUGAUCUCAUCAUGUAUAGUAUUAGUUAGCUCAUCCCUAACUAGUUUAUAUAAAUACGGCCUUCUGAUCCCUGGUGUAAACUUACGGUUAUGGAAAUUUUUUUAAUCUCCUACUACUGACCUUACACUAGUGAUGGCUCCUGAUACAUAUCCUUUAUGGCAACAAAAUAGAUAUAUUAUAGGAAACAAAUUUUCUAAUAGACGAAACUGAACAGAUUUUCAAAUAAGUACACACUAUUUAUUACAAUGAAGGAUAUAUUCGCUAAAAGGUACAUAUUUACUAAAAUUAUUCAGGGACUUAUCAUAAAUAUAAUCCAUGUAUAAGUUGUUUUCGACCAAAUCAACCAUAAAUGAUCUGAUACUCAUUGGAACAUAAGGCACGUAUAUGUUAUAGCUUAAAGUUAACCCAAGAUGUAGUUCUACAAGAGGAUUAUCAGAAAUAUUUGCCCAUUGAAGUGUCCGGAGAGUCUUUUUAAGUUACCACUGACAUUAGAUAGGCUUGCAAGUAAAACCUACUCUCUCUCUCCAUAUUUUUCUUUUUCUCGGGGCAGGCACCUAAAUCUUGGAAACGAUGCACCAACUUAUACCUGUUCCAAUUUAUGGAACUGUCCUGUGUCUUUAUAUUAUUGAAAAUAUGAUGGAUCUAUUAGUCAUUAGUUCAAUACAAUAAAAAGAAAAUACUUCCACUAAAUUAAAUUAGAACCUGGCUGGACAUGUGUUUGUGUCGGAGACAAUCUAAUCUCCGUAUCUUCUACUUGCAAAGUAGAUCAUCAUGUUUCCUAUGAUGACAUUUUUUGGCUCAAGCCAAAUCAGUCAACUAAACAAAUAUGUUUAACUUCAAGAACAUGCAAUGAGAUAUCACCAUGACAGUGUGCGCCCACAAUGAAUCCACUAGAUGGGCAGAUACUACUGUAUCAGUAAAAGCAUUCCACAAUAUGAUUUGCAUAUAUUCGAGUAAUAAUAAAUUGUAGGUUUAAAGGUGCUUGCUUGAAAGAUGUUGCACACAACCAACAAAACCAACACUUCAAUCAAAGUGAUUACUGCAUCAGGAUUUGAUAGGGGAAGGAGAUCUCAUUUGAAAGCUUCAGAUGAUAAAAAGAAGCUUAAACAUCACAAAAUAGACAGACUAGAACAGUUCUACAGCUACACUUCACAAUGUCACUGGCAAAAUAAAAUUUUUUAAGUAAAAGGGAAAAGCUUGGUGACCUACCUUUUCAAAGACACAAAUUACGGUACUUCCACCAAAAGCAAAAUAUCCAAACUGUAACCAUGAAAAAAGAAAUACAAAUCAGACAUCAAACAAGAUUAUUUAAUUCUAAGACAGCAAAACCUCGCAUCAUAAGCACCAAACCUCAUCCCCUUUUUUCACAUAGUCGCCCUUAUUUCUGGAGAAAUUAAUGCUACCAACCAUUGUUGCUCCAAUUGCAACAAAUGCAACCUGCAGUCAAUUAAGCAAAGCUUCUUUCACCAAAUUGAGCAUAUUGAAACACGUAAGGUCAUAGAGUUCAAUGUCUGAGCCAACAAGUCAGAGUUGUUGAAUCAACUUAGAAGGUUACAAGCAAUUAAGCAUUAGUAACAAGUAUAGUUAGAGCUCCUACAGAAGGAUUGAAGCUUUAGUGAGAACAUCAACUCAACACCUUAGACACUACACACAUUGAUGACUUAAAAUAGCCGCAAGGAGAUGAUAUCAUGAUAGAGUGUCGUGUUAUGCCCAUGUGGAGAUUUUCAAAAGAUCAGCUAAUCCAUCUAAAAAUGAAAUUCAAAAUAGAAGUCACACAAAUUGGCCUAUGGAUCUGAAUUCUGACAAUUGUGUCAAUGAGAUAUGUCACUACUCACUAGAUCCAUUGCUUUGAACCAAACACAGCCUAAUGAGAAACACGUUAUUAGAUAAUAAUCAGACGCUCCAUUCUGAUAAAGAGGAUAUUAGAUGUAUCACUCUGAAUUUUCUGAUAUUCAUAUUGUCCACUUUGGAUGGGGACAUCAAAGGGAUCCUGGUUACUUCCAGUGCUUUAAGGCUUUCGUUUGGAUGCUAAUAUAUAUAAUCUCAGACAUCCAUUUUUCUCUCAACUUCUGCCUAAUGGUAUAUCCUAGUAUAUCAUUCUGUUUUUCAUUCUCUCAACUCAAUCACUACUCCAGCCACUUCCUCAGCCUGUUCAACUCACUCUCUGCUCUAGACCUAUUAUCAACCAAUUGAACCAUUUGUACUCAUGAAUUUAAGCCCUUUGAAUUUUUAUUUUUUUUAAAAAAAAAAGAAAUAAAACUAACAUAGGGAAAAACUGCAUUCCACAUGUAAAUUAAUAAACCACUUUACACUAAUUGGAGGUAUUAAAAUAUCAAGCACAAAAUUUCCAAAGGUUUACAAUGACAUGCUACCCACCUAUCAUCUUUUAGAUUUGACGGUUACAUUUCACAUGGUAUCCAAGCAAAUUUAAGGUCGUUUUCUUAGCAUAAGUCUGUUUUCCCACCCUUCAUCUUCAUACUUUCUUUCCUCCAAAACCAACACUUACUCAUUCAGCCUGUUAGUUAAUUCUCUCAAAUUUAGGGCCACUCAUGAACCUGGCAAACCCACUUUCUUAGCUCCAUGAAAACUCCAUAAUCUAUCAUAGAAUUACCAUUGGCCCACUCUUGAGCCUGUUACACCAUUUCGGGCUCCUAAGAAUUAAGUUCAUUACCUUUCAAAACAUUUAAAGAGGACAGAAUAAAACUUCAAUCCAUGUGUGAACUCUUGGAUCUGGAUACAAGCAUAGGAGGGAGUUAGAGAUAUACAAUGCCCUACUUCAGUUGUAAAAGAAUUUAAAAGGGUUCAAUUGUCCUAAACUACUCUACCCAUCAACUUAAAGUUUUGGGUGAAUGCUUAAAUUCAUUUCAUAUUACUGAUACCGAUUAUCAGAAGUGACUUCUAAAUUAGCAUGGCCAAUAAAGGAUAGCAGGACAUAUAACAAAGUAGUACAUCAAUUUUUCAUGAAAGGAGAAUUAUUUUUAAAACUAGCAUGAAAUGCAUAAAAUGGCAUACCUUCCCAAAGUGUUCUGUGGAAAUUAUAGACACAACCCUCUUAUUCUCUGUGAAGACAUUGCAGUAUUUGCUAUUCACAGCAAUAGGAUUCACCUAGAAGAAAGAGAAGAAAAGGGGAGUGGGGUGAGAGGAAUAACAUGCAUCAUUUAGGAGGGUUUAAAAAUUACUCUGAUAAAGAAGCAGAAAUACACUGCCAAGAACAAAUAAGCCACUUUCAAAGAAGCACUACAUUUCACAUACCGUAUACAGGCAACCAGGUAUUUCAAUAAAUUUCUCGAUAGUUCCAGACACAGGAAAGUGGAAACGAUGAUAGUCCUGUAUUUGGGUAUAGCAUACCCAGAAGAUGUAAAUCAGAAUAUAAUAAUGGAAAUUUACUUAACCAGAAAUAAUUUAAUAUUGAGGAAUUUUUACAGAGAUAUUUAAUAGUGUGAAAUAGCUCCAACAAUGAAGAAAGUUCACAACAGUCCCACCUGUGGUGCCAAGCGAAAUAUCACUAGAGCUCCAUUGACAAAUUCACUAGAACACGUUUCAUCCCCAAGAAGACCUUGGAUGGAAAACUUUCGACCCUGAGGUAAUCCAUAAGAUACCAAGGUAGUUUGCAUUACAAAGUAAACGAGCAUAAGCUUUUGAAACUUCUAAGAUAUCACAGUAGCUCAAAAUGAUUUAGCAUUUCCGUAAUGGAUGUUACAAUAAAUAUCACACACACAAAGGUGAAAUAAGAGAAGCAAAAUCAAUUCGGAUAAAUGUCUACAAGGGUUAUAAUGUUGUGCCCAUGUGAUAGAAAGUUGAAACAUUUAUUUUAUGUUGACCAACCGGAUAGGCUCUACAAAUAAUCUGCACUAGGCGAUCAUUACUGGUAUCAUGAGAAACAGCAACAUUUACCAGAAAUAUGAAAAAUAGACAUUUGUUAACAAUAGAUUUACCUUGAUCCAACAUCUUAUACUAUCAGCAACACUGUUGAAUGCCAUCAGACGGCAAUCAGCAGCACAUACAGCAAUAUCAUCACAUUCUUCAAAAGCAAUAGGUCUUGCACCAGGCUUCAACUCUCUAAUGAAAAAUUCGUUGAAUGUCUGGAAACCAAAUUUACGAGACCAUCAAAGAAUUGAUAUGCACCGCUAAAGAGAACUUUAUUAAAACUUUACAAUAUCAGUAAAUUAUGUGAACAAUAAUCAAAUACAAAUAAAGUGCAUUGGGUUGAUCAAGAUACAAUACAUCCAAGUGACCGGUAAUCUUCCUCGCUGUAUAAAUUAGCUGAUAACAAACAUGAGAAAUGAUUUAUAAUAGUGUCCCCUUUUAUAUAAAUUGGAACUCCCAUGUUCCUUUGCUAAUAUUGAUAGGUUUCCAGAUAUAGAUUAUUUUCUGGUAUGAACUCAUCAAUCGAUCGUAUGUCCAUGUCUAAUAACCAACAGUCAACUGAAACAAGUAAUAUACCACAAACAUUUAGCACAUUACAUCUUUGACUUAAGGUAUGCUAAUAAUUGUGCUCUAUUUCAAGUUACCAUCUCAAAGUUACAGCUACUCACUAGCGGAAACAAUACUAUGACACGAGAAAAGAUUGCUUCGGUUUAUCUACUUCUACUAUAUGUAAGACCAAAUUGAAGCAUAUGAGAGGAACAGACUGAACCAUAUUCAUUCUUUUCGUAAUUCAUAGCACUGCAAAUAUCAGUUCAUUCCUUUGCAACCAGUCCAAAGACCUAGUUGGAACUUCUUUAAUCUUCAGAUCAAGUGUUACUUCAUUGAUAAUGGGAAGCUUCCAUAUACAAGGAGCACACCGAAUUGAAGUGAAGCAAGAAAGAACAAACUAUACUCUCUCAAAUGAAAGCGAACAUUGCCUGAAGGACUUAGCGCACCUUAAAAUGCUCCAACGGAUACUUGACUUCAUCCAUAUUUAUUUGAUCCUGAAACAGAGUUAUUGAAGUCAAUCACAGCAAGUUACAAGAACAAGAGAUUUUCUGUGUACUUGAAAAGGAACUAUACGUAGGCAUAGCCAAGAAAUAUAGAAACUAUAAUAAACACAAGCACAGAACAUGCUCAUCACAAAAUAGCCAUGCAGCCAAAUCACCAAACAAAUGAUCUCAUGUUCAGCAUCUAAAGAUUGGGGCUUUUAAUAUAAUAAUGAGGGCAAAACAACUGGUUCUCAUUACCCAUUUCAGAACCAUGAAACUGUUCAGUCAAGGACCUUGCAAUUCAGUUUUCCCUCUUUCACAAUUUCACUUCGUCUAGACACAUAAGGAUCAAGAGUAUAAUUCAAAUCUCAUAGUACUUUAUACAGAAGUAGGCCCAAGAAUAGAGUAUAAAGUUGUAAUUUGGAUAAUUCUAGAAUAUUUAUUAGGAUAAAUGUCCUAUUUGACAAUUGAAUUCUUGCAAUGAUCACAUACUAAGAUUCCGCACUCCGAGAAAUCUUUUAAUAUGCAUAUAAACGUGACUAUAUACUGUAAUAUCAGAAGUAAAAAAGCGUUGAAGCAAACUUCUUCCGAUACGAGGAGGAUGAACAACAUUUCAGGAUAAAGGAUAAGUGUCCUUUAAGGAUAGAGAGGAUAGCUUUUUGUACAUGACACGUGGAAGGGAAGUUGCAUUUAAUCAAAAGAAGUAAUUUUUGUCAUUCAAAUCUCUUCCAGGCACCUACAAUAUAUUGCAACAGUACCCAGAGAGAAAUAAAUGGAGAAAGCAACAGGAUAAUAAUUUUAAUUCUCCAAAAAGUAGAACUUCUUUCCCAAAGUUGGCUGUAAGACAUUACAGAAAAAUUGGUAUAUUGAAGAAAAAGUACAGAAUCUAACUGUAGUUGGCUUAGGCUAGCUAGUGAUUCUACUAGGAUGAAAGAAGAACCAUGUAUAAUCAGAAUUAAUUAUGACAUCAUAACGAUGAUCUUGAUGUUUAACUUGGAUGAAUACCUUAAAAAAUUCAAUGAAGUUAGGUAUUUCUUUAGCAGAUUCAGCAGAAUCCAUUUUCUUGCCCUGUUUUUCAGAGAGGCUCCGCAAGAUUUCUUUUGCACCUGUGCUACAGUUAAAAUGGUAAUAAUCAGCAAAAUGGAACCAUUAUCUAUGGACCAAAAACUGAAACAAAUCAAUAUCAUCGUGGUGACUAGAUGGAUAUACAUAUAUAGGCUCAUAUAUAGAUACAGUGUGUAUACGAUAAUUGCUUCUUACAAUUAAAGAUCUUAACAAGUGAUUCAGUCAAAAGCAUACCAUUAUCCAUAAGGCCAAGGCCAAAUUUAGACUGAUAUAUAGCUCUCAUGGACAAGACUAUCUUCCGAUCAAUUAUUUCCUCCACUAGCCUUUUCUUUUGGCGGUCAUAAACCUAACAAAGCAAGGAUGCAACAUCAGAGGACAAAAGAACCUUUUCUUCCAGCAUGUUCUAAUUCUCAACCUUCUCUGCCAGAAAAUGCUGUUAGGCAAAAGAAAGAGAGAAUGAACGAAGAAAAAAUAAACAGAUAUCCAGUUGUUCUUUAUAAAUAUUACAUGAAUGCAGUAAAUGACCAUGGAGAAAUAGGUAAGCCCUCAGACAUUGUUAGCAAUUAAUUUCAAAAAAAAAUAAAUGUGAAGAUCAAAAGAAGGUGAAUCUCAAAGAAAGAAAUGAUACAAGAUCUUCAGCUAAUUCAAAAUAAUAAUCUUUGCAAGCAAUUGGAUCAGAUAAGGCACUUCAGAAUCCUCAAGAGAAUCCCAAAUUGAUAAAACAAGAGAAAAAUACAAAUAUAAAGGAAUUGGACACCAACAGGCUUGCCCAAGAACUAGAAUAAGCACUUCUAUGCAACAGCGUGUAGGAGUCUACUUAAUUUACCAUCUGAAUAUCGCCAAGGAAUCUACAGUGAUGUUUCAAAAUAGGCCGAGUUGCCAAUAGGUAUCCAACACUCUUUUACUACGAGGUGAUAAUUUCAAGAAGGCCCAUUUCAUCAGCUUUAUGAAGCAACAUGCCAAGAUGGUUUAGAAACAGAAUCUGUAAUGAAAAUGUGAUACCAGAUCCAGAGAGAAAACACAGAGGAAGAGUUCUCAUUUGUAAAACAUAUGGUCCUGGCUCCAACACCGCACCAUGUCAAUUUUGCAUAAUAUUUCAAAACAGUGUUAAAGCAGUAUCUGAUCGCCAUGCAUAUGGCUGAAGUCAGCAAAAAAGGAAAAGCCAAUUGGUCUUUCUGAUAAAGCAUGUAAGAAGACAAGACACGUAAACACACUUUAGUGUCAAAGAUCCUUCAUCCAGUUUCUACAGAAAAAGGAUGUUCCUUCCAUAUAUGCAUACCAGAGAGGAGAGAAACAUUUCUUGUGGGGGAUGGCGUAAGGAUGAGAGAAUACCAAGAUAUGCGAUGCACUUGAACCAGACCUUAAACCGAUAUCAAAAGUUGAAAAAUGGGCCCAUUCACUCAGUUUGAACAUCCAUCUACACAGAAAUUGUAUAAGUAUGUGAACUUCAGUAUUUCAUAAUAAAAAUCAGAAGAAUUUCAAAAAAUAAUAUAACAAUAAAGAGGCAUAUAAUUUUAUUAGGAAUAAUUAGACUCAGAAAAGUUGCAUAAUUCUCACCCACUUGAAGCCUCCUUAUCAGUCAAGAAUCCUCCUGUCAUAACCUGAUUCCCAGUCCCCUCAUCAAAACACAAGGUCAUAUGAAUCAUGUUAUUCAACCCAUCCGAAACUUCAAGAACUUCGCCACAAACUGGACAGCAAUUGAUUAUGGGUUCCCUGAAAGAGAAGAACAUUAAGUCAACAGGAGAAAAGACCACAACAGAAGGAUUAAUGUCUUCCAGAUUCAAUGCAAGGAUAGAUAUCAUGUAUCUUCACAACAGGCAAAGAACUCUGGACAAAAGUUCAGCAAUGUCCAAAAAAGAUUUUGACAAGACGACUUCACAAGGAGGUUUCUAAUCAUCUCUAGAUAAAUGGUUUUAUGUGUCUCCCAACUCUAUCCACUCCUCAUGUACAUUGUAAAGAAUAAUUGUCUUGUUAGCGGCUACAUACCACCAUAUAAAAGAUUUUAAAGACAACUAUGUUUUUUCACAGGAUAGAGCAAAGAUAAAACAACUACGCCUUAGUCCCAAACAAGUUAGGGUCAGUUACAUGAAUCUUCACUUCUCCAUUUAAUCUUAAUUCAUGUCAUCAUCAUACCAAAUGAAAGAAAAGUGAAAAUAAGUUAUAUUCAAAUAAAUAAUAAUAAUAAUAAUAAUUGUUAAGAGUCUGACAACGGAAAAAGGAUGGACAAUUGGUCCCUUAUAUGAACUUUGACAAUACUCCCCUCAUGAGCUAGCUUUUGGGGUUGAGUUAGGUACAAGAUCCAUUCUUUACAUGGUAUCAGAAGGCAAGGUCAUCCCAAUUCUUUGUUCACCAAUGUUGGGCCCUCAAAUUAUAUUGUCCAUGCUCCACUUAACGAGGUCUGGGUGUGCGGAGGAGUGUUAAUAGUCCCACAUCGAAAAAAGGAUGGACAAUUGAUCUCUUUAUAUGGAUUUGGACAAUCCUCCUCUCAUGAGCUAGCUUUUGGGUUGAGUUAGGGCCAAGAUCCGGUCUUUACAAUAAUAAAGGAUCGUUUGGUUGGGAAUAAGUUAUCCUGGGAUAAUUAAUCUGGGGAUUAGCUAUCCCGGGAUUAAUAUCCCACCAUAUAUAAGAGAUAACUUAUCUCAUCACUAUAGUGUAAAUGGUGGGAUCAAUAAUCUUGGAACUAACUAAUACCUCCAACCAAACGGAGGAUUAAAUAAUCCUGCAUUUUAUACCACGAUUACUAUAACUUGUACCUCAAACCAAACGACCCCUAAUAGAAGUCCGAUAACAAGACUAAAACCUAUUCCCAACUAGUGGAUAGUAUCUAUAUGGAUUUUUUUCUCCAUCUUGCCCUAUAUUUAGCUAAGUUUGCAUGAUUCCAAGAAAUUAUACGUUUUUCGGAGAUAACUUCCUUCCAUGUGAUUUUAGGUCUACCUAGUCCCGUUUAAACAACUUCAAUUACCAUGUUUCACACCAAUGGAUCGGUGCAUUCGUAAAUUAACGCAAGACAUGACCAGACUAUCUCAAGUGAUUUCUCAUUUUAUCCUAAAUGUGUGCUACUUGUACCUUCUGUAAAAUGUGGUCAUUUGUUUAGAAAGGUAACACAUUUUCAUAUAUAAAGGUAUAUUGUGCAAGCUUUGAAGUCAAAAAAAAAAAAAAAAAGGGAGUCUUGUGCUUCUAUUUUGUGAUGUUUGCUAACAGUUUUCACCCUAAAGCAUAUAUUUGUUGGAAAAUCCUUUUUAAGAAAUGAAGAGCCUUAAUCCCCCACCCCCCCAACCCAAAAAAAAAGACAUGAAGAGCCUCGUACACCUAUUUUAUGAUGCUGGCUCAUGCCUUCCUUUCUGCAGAAGAUACUAUUUAAAAUCUUGAAAAAAAAACUUGCAAAGACACUAAGGAAACAUCACAUAUCAAUUUAACUCUUCUCACCAAAUCUUUGGCCAGACAAUUGUGAAGUAACAAAUGGGAUCUAUGUGACGUUUGCAUACGAUAUUAGAAAGAAAGAAUAGUUUUGUUUGGUUCUUCUUUAGAUCCUUCUUUGGUUUAUAAUGGUAACAUGUAGUUUUUGUUUCUUUUGCCUUAAGUGAACAUCAUAGCUUUACUAAAAGGUUGUCACACACCUUUUUUUCAACAAUAGAAGAACAAGAUGGCAUAAGGAGUUUAUUUUUUGCAUCACUCAACAUGUACAAGCAAGCACUUAUGCACAUUUUUCUAUAUAAAUAAAAUCCUCAAUCAGUUACCAGAAAGAAGAACUAGGAGAACAGAAAAUUUUGAACAUGAAAAUCUCUAUUUUUGAUGAGAAAGAUUUGUCACCUUGAAGUUUCUACAAGUUCAAAUGAAGCCUUCUAGGUAUAGGAAGAUCAGAAAAUCCAAUAAAUAUUCGUUUCUUAAGGCUUGUAAACCACCUUUAACUUUGAAUGUACAAACACAAUUAUAGUGUGAUCUUUAAGCACAAUAAAGAAGGAACAAUGCAGGAACUUCCAAAAUAGAGUUGCAUAGCACCCCAAAUGGAAAGUGUCUUUGGUUCAAUGGGUCCACUUUGUUUUCCCCUAGAGUAGUUAAGCAUUCAACUUCCCUUUGGAGUUGCCAUCACCCUUCCCCGCUUUUCUCUCAGUUCCCUGCCUCCUAAUUGCUAGAACUAUAAGGGGUCGUUUGGUUGGGAAUGUAGUUAUGCUAGAAUAAGUUAUACUGGGAUUAUUUUUUGUUGAGUGUUUGGUUUGUUGUAUUCAAAAUAAUAUGCAUGGUAUAAUUUCUAAGAAUAAAUUAAUUAAUUACCAAAAUACCCUCCAUCUUGUUUAACCCUUUUAUAUAUAUAUUUAUAUAUAUAUAUAUAUUUCUUUUUAAGCUUUAAAUAUUUAUUCUUAAAAAUAAAACUUUCAUCUUAUUUAGCUUAAUUUUUUUGUGUGUGCAUUUUCAUGAUUAUAUCAUGUGUAGUUUAAAAAUAAAACUUUCCUCUUAUUUAGCUUUAAUUUUUUUACGUGUGCCUUCCCAUGAUUAUACCGUGUGUGUUUAGAAAAAAAAUCUUACUACAUCUUAUUUAGUUUGAAAUAAAAACUUUCAACUUAAGUUUGUUAAAGUAAAAGAGGAUUUGUUGUUUAUGUCAUUUCAUUUAAAUACAUAUCACUCAUAUAAUAUAGAAUAUUAAAAUUCAUUUUAAUCAAUAUCAAUUUUUAAGUGAUUAAAAAAUUAUUUAAUCUAAAAUAUGUAAUUCAACAAUGAAGUCGACAUUUUUAUUAUUUUUUAGAGAAAUUAAAAUAUAUAAAUAAACAUAAUAAUUAUCCAAAUAAAUUUAACAUAUAAUAUAUUCAUAAAUAAAAUAUAUAUAUGUGUGAAAUGAAAAUCAUAGGGUUUGAGAGUAUUUUUGUCAUUUUAUAAUUUUAUACAAAGGAUAAAUUGUGUUGGGAUAGUAAUACCACCAUAUGUGUGGAUAACUUAUCCCGGUACUAUUUAUUUAUCCCGAAUAUUGGCAACCAAACGAUGGAUUAAAAAUUUUAUCCCGGAAUUAUUUACUUUAAUACCGCACACCAAACGACCCCUAAAAGUCUCACUUGAUUAAAUAGUGGAGUAACGCAAAUAAAUAAAAGAACUCAUUUAGAUGCUGAAGUUCAUUAAACCUGAGCAUUGAAGGGAUUCCUAGAAAAAUCACAUUUGAUUUCAGGCAUGCAAAUUUUACGAGGCCUUACUUUUCAUUUUGCAUAGCCAGAAGUGUGGCUAACUCAUCCAAGCUGACAACACCAUCACCAUUUCUGUCAGCUUGUUUGAAUAUCUCCUCUUUCUGACAAACAGAAUAAAGAUUGCUAAGCUAUGGAGUCUUCAUAAAGAAUACAAGAUGUACUUGGCUUAAUAAUUGCAAAAUUUGUAUCUAGAACUCUUUGCAGGUUUAGCUUCUUUUUAAAAUGCAAUUAUAUUUUGUUGAGAAAAGGUUAUUAGUGAAAUAACAGUAUGAACAGGAUGUGAUCUGAAUGAGAAAUCAAUUCCAAUAAUGUGUUGCAUGGGAGGCUUUAAAAGAACUACAAUGAGAGUUUAGGAUACUCUUCAGAUGCGAACCUUCUCAGCUGCCAGUUUAUUUCCAAACGCAUCAAUCAAAUCAGAGAACUCAGUCAAUGAAAGCUCUCCGUCUUCAUUACAGUCCUGAAAAGAGAAACAACACUCAAAUUCAUAAAUCAUCUCAUUACCAAACAGUAAUAAGAACAGAGAAGGAAAUCUGACAGUGUAGAUUAUCAAAAACUGAAAAUGAUUUACAUAUUGUAAGCACAUGACCUUUACAUUCUCUCUACCUUGUCUCUUUUAACAGAAAGAAAUGAGUGCAUUUUUGGUCGACCUGGUCAGAAAGAAACAAUACAACUUCUAAGGAGUGAAAGGUCCAGUGUGGAAAGUGAAACAGACAGAACAGGGGAUGGUCCACAUUGCACUACACAACAAAAAAAUAUCACUUUUGUUCCGAUAAAUGGAUGAUUUUUUGAUACUUAAGCACAACUUUUGUAAAAUUGAUCCUGUCUUGGUGUGACAUGGAAUAAUCUUGAUAAUUUUUUUAAAAAAGAGAGAAAAUAGAAAAGAUUAAACCAGUUCAUUUGAAUUAAGAAAUAAAAAAGAAAGAGUUGAAUGACGGGCACGCCUGUGUAGGUGAGACAGAGCUUCUAGCCAGCCUAUACUACAUGGUUCUUUAGAAGGAUCCACCAACAGAUCACUUUCAUCUAGAAUGACAACAUAGAUGGAGUUUUCACAUACCACUAUAGAUAAGAUGCGCUUAACAAAGGUUUUCUCUGUCUCAACGGGGUCCUGCCAAGAAAAUGUAAUCACAUAUCAGGAAUGACGACCCAUAGAAACCUACCAUAAGCAAUUAAAAGUAGAUGGCAACCCAGCAAAUACAAACCUCAAUGCAACACGAAAUAGACAUACGGCCAACAAUUGUGGAGGCGGAUGAUGGGUCUAAUAAGUCAAAAACCUCAGUAUCAGAACUGGAAUCCUGCAAGACCACUUAUUCUCUAAGAAUUGGGCUAAGGGUUGGUCCCAAAAAAAGGAAGAAAAAUCUUACUCAUGAUAGGAAUUUCGCCACAUCAAACUAUCCAAAAAUUGAGUUACUAUUCAGCAAAUAUAGAUUAACCACAAGAAAUAUGGGAUACAUUUGGGAGAAUAGUAUCAUUAAUUAGAUCCCUUUGACAACAGAAUAACUUUCUCAAAGUAGAGGAAAGAUGCAAAUAUUCCAAACUGCGGAAUGCAGUGCCAAACACCAUACCUACAUUUUUGAAAAGCCAAGGGGCUUCUGUUAAUGCUUACAAGUAAAAAACUUCUUAAAGCAUUAUCUAUGAAACUACAUCAAUGUCGAUAUAACGUCCUUGUUCUUGCACUGAUUAACAUCCUACUUUGGACAUAUGAGACUUGCAGGCUACUGACUUAUCCAAAUGCUUGAAGAAAGUACCUGCUGUUUGAAGUGGUAACUUCUAAAAUGCUACAAAAUCCAUGCAUAGUGAAUAAAGUGCCACAUCCAUAUUUUAUCUUUUGGUCAAACAAAAACAUAGCGUUGCUUUUAACAAGUUUUUGCAAAUUCUUAAUACUUGUCAUUAAAGUGCAUCUUUUGUCUACCUCUUAUCACAGCUAACAUUGUAAUGCGCAAAUACACAAUUGACAUAGGGCCUAUCACACAAAGGCUUAGAGUUCAGUAAACUUUACAGGGAAGGAUGAUUCAAAAUUUAUUCACAUUGUUAUGUGAGAACAAUUUGAAUGUGUCCUUGACAAGUGGAUUUGGCCUUCUUUAACAGAUGUUUUAAUUUCUCAAUGACAUAGUAAAUCUAUUAAAGCAAACAAAAUGAAAGCAGAAAUUUCAUUUCGGCAAACUGCAACAACAUACCAAGUGUUGGCCCACAAGUGGGAUCUAGGGAGGGUGGUGUGUCUGCAACCUUACCUCUACCUUGUGAAAGAAAGGGGGUUAUCUCUAAUAGACCCUCCGCUCAAGUAAAGCAUAUCAAAAUUAGUAAGACAAGGAGAUAUAGUAAUGACGAAACCAUAUAGAAAUAAUGGAAAAAGGGCAAUAGCAACAACAAAUAGUUGAUGACCAAAGCAAAGAAAACAACAUUUAGAAUUAAAAUUGAAGAAUACAAUAGUAGGAGAGUUGCCGAUUUUGUCAAACUGUAAAUUAAAACAAGAUGAUUCUUACAUACAAGUAAUAUCAAUUACUUGCACCUUAUAUUAAAAAAUGACUUAUCCAUAGUUAACAACAUAAACGUGACAAAUACAGUGCCAUUUGUUGCAGAUAUUUGCUCAAUCUCAAGAGCAACUCACCUGAGUAAGAAAUUCAAGUAGAUCUACUUCACAGUAACCGAUCAGAUUGUUCCUCGAAAGUCUGUUGGUCUGUACCAUAAAUAAAAUAAAUCAGUAGUGAGUAAUUUAUGAGGAUUUUCUCUUUCCUUUUAUAUUUUCUCUUUUGUAGCGACUCGGAGGAUAAAACCAGUACUGGCAUUUCCAAGUGCAACAUCAUGCAGAGAUGAAAAUGAAAUAACAAUAUCUUCCUCCUGAUAUCUUAAGGAACGGGAUUGGGAACAAAAAAUCAACAAGGAGUUUUCUGGUUCCACUCAUAUCAACAUAAAGAUGAGGUUUAAUCUUGCCCCCAAGAACUGUAUAUAAAUCCCAGGAAGCUACAUAAGUCAUGAAUGACUGGCAUGACAGAAAGCAUAUAUCCUAAUUUUUGCAUUGACCAAUAACAUUCUCAACAUGAACCAUGAUCACCAGAAAUUAUCAAGCUCCUCCAUUCACCUUUUUCUAACCUAAAAUGGUCAACCAUAACCAGCAAGAGAUACAAUCUAUUUAGACAACCACAAGUAUGACGAACCUCAAAAACAGAUAUUCUUGCAAGAUGUGCUCCGUUUCUUUCCAAAAGAAGCUUCCUUUCCUAUAGAAAUUAAGGUUGAAUAACAUCAGCAAAAGCAAUUGACACAGAUGGCUUAUUAAUAAUUUAAAGAAGAAACUAAAGAAGGUCAAAAUAGCUUCUAGAACUUGCCAUUAUCCUCUCAAGAAUUUGGAUGUGUUGGAAAUAUAAAAUGCCCCAUCAGGUAUAUACGAGCAUCAGAGGGGUUUACAAAAAUUGGGAUAAUUCACACAUAACUAGAUCAUUCCCUUAAAAGAAUUUGGUUGGGUGGUUAAAUUCUUUCACGUGGUAUCACAAUAAACUUAAGUAAGCUCGUGCAUUCACCAUCACCUGUAUGUUCAAGUUUCAUUUCACGCGUGUAUGCUAGCACAUUCAGAUAGUUGAUAGAGAUGUACAAUGACCUAACAGAUGUAGUUCAGGAGGAGGUACAAAGGUUUCCAAAGGAAUGUAUAAAGAUCUUGGCUUAUUUACUCAUAUCUUAUGAUUUUACUUGAUUGAUCAGGUUCUCUAGUAAAUAGCAUAACCCAGAAGGAAACACUCUAAUGCAAUGAGAUGGUAGAAGUAAGUCUGGUGUGUACUAAACAGAAUAAAGAUUCCCAGGAUUGCAGGGUCAGUGCAAGCCCACUCUAACCUGCCUAACUAGAUUUCAGUUAUCAUACUUUCAUACCUUGCCCGGGCUUGAUAAACAAAAGGCAAGUUAAACACAAGAAAGAUCAUCAACACUUACCUACGAGGAAACUUUUGCAUGUACAAGGACUAGAAUUUUUUUUUCUAUAAUCACCAUAAGCAUCUUAAAUAAGUAUGUGUGUUUAAUAAAUGUGGGGAAGCAACAAUAAUUGUGAUCAAAAAGGUUUAAGCAGUUAUUUGUGCAUUGACAAUUAAAAAUAUAUAUAUAUAUGAUUUCACAAGCAACUUAUAGUAAAUGUAGUACAAAAUAAAGUAUUUACUCACUGAGUUCCAGGUUGGCUUGUCAGUUCUGCAAAGAAAUACAUAGAACAAAAAGAAAAUCAUUAAUUUGUGAUGUAAAAGGUAGAGAACCUGAGCACAACCAUGCCCUUUUUUUCUUUUUCUACAUUAUAGAACGGCGGGAGAAAAUCAAGUGAAAAUGUGUCAAAUACAUCUCCUUGGCAAGAAUCUAUACACCCUCUUGCAGUUCUUAAUACAUAAACAUGCAGUAGCAGAUUGAUAAGAGUGCCAAAAAACAAGGAGAUGGUGUACAUCUGUGCAUAUCAUACUUGGCACAUAACCAUUUUCUGGAGAUAUAAUGAUCCAAAGCAAGCAAAAUUCCAAAGAUAACAAGAAUCUCAAUACAGCACAUCAAGAUAAUAAUGCUAUGAACUGUUGUAAGAUAAACAGAAGAUAAGAAGAAAUUCUCCAACUUUUUGCUCCAAAAAUACUUAUAAUGCGCAAGAGCUAUCCAGUUGCAACUCCAAAUAAACUAGCGGCAGUUUUCAUGUCUGUUACUAUUAGUGCAUUUUGAAGUAUCCAGGCAGGUAUAAAGAACCUAGUUAAGCUCUUUCAUUUACUCAACUGUCCAGCUCCCACGAAAUAAGACCCAUGGAUAAACUCAAAAUUUGUUCAUCGCUUGCAUGCUCACAUCUCAAUCGCAGUUUUGUUAAAUAAAACUGGUACAUCAUAGCUUGAACUCAUUCGUCUUUGUUUUGCUUCUUGAGAUCUAGAAUAAUUUAAGUAAAAGGCAGUUUCAUUUUCCCCGAAUUAUCCUCAAAUUCUUAAACUAAUUCUAAACAGCCUUUGAUUAUUAUAUCCACACCUAACAUACUGAGCAAAUAGCAUAAGCAAACCCAACCCCUAAAUGUAGUUGUGGACUACAAGAAGUGGCAGAAGUAAAUUCUCCAAUUAUUUUAUUUAUAUACAAAAUACAUGUUUUAUCUGUGUGUAUGUACUGCGAACUUUGUUGAAGACACAAUUCAAUACCAAGAAACUGUCUGUAGAAACAUGUACUUAACUGAUCGGACACGUGAGUGCGAAAAGUUUGUUCACCAAGAGAAAUACAAGCUAGCCAUUUGUCCUUGAAUUUCAUCUCAGCCUGAAACAAAGCAACCACAAGUUCAUCCAUGCGUGUAACUUAAUACACACAUUGUUACAUUUACCAGACUGUGUACAAAUUCUUGCAAGCUUUGUAGGAUUAGUUACAGAAAACUAAACUCUGCAUCUUUUCAAAGCUUAAAUAAACAUUCAAAUAGCACAGAAAUAACAAAAUACAAAUAUUCCAUCUGUAAGACUGAGUGAGAAAAAAAUUUGCAAAUAAGUCAGAGAAAAAUACACUCUGCGUCUUUUCAGAACAUAAAUAAACAUACAUAUGGCACACAAAAUAUUCAUAUGUUUUAAGUAAAAUUUUGCAAAAUUUGUAAAUUAGUUAGAGAAAGUUACACUUGGUAUCAUUGCAAAACUUAGAAUAUGUAUACAUGUGCAUUGUCACGCACAACAUGCAUAUACGUGUUAUUACCAGAUUAUUUAUACAAUUUUGUAAAAUUCAUAGAGAUCAUUUACAGAAAGUUACGCACUGACUGUUUUUCAGAACUUAAAAAACGCGCAAAUAUGAAGGAAUUCAGCAAAUAUUAAUAAGCCAGUAGCAAAAUUUGAAGGUAUUACCUACAGAAAGUUUAACUCGGUUUUCUUCAGUACUCUGUGUAGGUAAUUCCUUUAUACGAAUUCAAACACACAUAUACGUAUAACAUUUAGCAGAGUGAGUGCAAAUUCUAGUUAGAGAAAAAUACACUGAUGAUCCGGAAGANNNNNNNNNNNNNNNNNNNNNNNNNNNNNNNNNNNNNNNNNNNNNNNNNNNNNNNNNNNNNNNNNNNNNNNNNNNNNNNNNNNNNNNNNNNNNNNNNNNNNNNNNNNNNNNNNNNNNNNNNNNNNNNNNNNNNNNNNNNNNNNNNNNNNNNNNNNNNNAAAUCUUCUUCCUUAAGGAUCUUAGCGAUGUGAUUAUGUGAACCGGAGUUGGAACGACUGCGGCGGUGCAGACGAAGUCGUCGACGGAAUCUUCUCAGCCGCGACGGUUUGGAGUCGCCGUUGGUGGAAUCGCCGGAGGAGGAAUCCGGUCUGGAAUUUCCAUGACCCAUUCUAUGUGUAUCUGCAAUUGUCUAAUGAAGAAAGAUCGAAAAGUAGUUUAACAAACGGAAAUUUUAGUAAUAAGAAUGUGAAGAGAUGGUUGAAUUAGUGGAAUGGAAAUUUUGACUAGGACCACACUGCGUUGAGAGAGAGUGGAUGAAACUUCAUUUGGACUUUGUCUUUUUCUUGUUUGGUUGUUAUUGGCCAAAUAACGCCAUUUCCUUUUUUUCCUUUUUUUUUUUUUUUUGAUAAUUAUUACUACUACUACUUUCUAACACAAGUGGGAAUAUCUUUUCUUAAGUUUAAUUAUUCUUUUCAAGUUAUUUAAUUAAAGAGAUUAAUUUUAAUGUUAAUGCAUGUGCGAAGUAUAUAGUCUGAUUUGUGGAAAAGUUGCAAAUAAUUCCAGCUCGUAUGAUAGGGUGUGUUUAGAUAGAUUAAUGGUCAACCAUCUCUUAAUGAAUAAGUAAGAUCGCAACUUGAAUUAGUCUAAUGGCAUAAAUAAAAAUUAGAAAAAUUAGAGUUGGGGUAUAGAAGAACAAAUAGUAAUAUACACUCCACAUGUUUGUACAACGAAUAUAUUAAUUAUAAGUUUAGAUAUUGGACACUUUUAAUUUUUAUUUUAUUUUUCAAUGGAUUAUUGUCAAAUAAGAAAUUUUGACAUGUGAUAUGUUAUCAAAUGUUAAAUUGGUACAAAUCUCUUUCUCUCUAUAUAUAUGCAUUUUAUUUUUGCCCAUGAAAGAGGGAGGGGAUGUUAAGCGUUAAUAUGUUAGUUCUCGUAAGUAAAUUGAAGGUUAAAUACAUAUACAGACCCCUUAACUAUUCGAUUUUUCCUGCGUAGACACCCCAAAAUAUGUCAAUUGAGCCCAAUGCGUAGCGUUGAUAUGGUGUGGCAUGUGUAAUGCACUCUCCCAAGGGGGAGUGAGAAACCAUAAUUAAUUUAAAAUAAUUAAACAUACAAAGUUCAAUCAAUAAAAAAAAUACAGUAAAAGAUUUUAUUUUAUUUUUUUAAAAUAACCAUUAUCUUCCUCUCCAUAUCUUCUCUCCAUCAAUAGCUUCUUUAAAAACCAUUCACUUAUAAAUUGAGUGAGAAAACACAAUUAAUCAACAUAAUUAAACAUAAAAAACCAUCAAUCAAUAAAAAAAAAACACAUUAUAAAGAAAUUAAAAAAAUAAAAAUAGUCAUCAUCUUCUUCUCCAUAUCUUUUUCUCCAUUAAUGAUUUCUUUAAAAAUCAAUCAUAUAUAAAUUGAGUCAGAAACCAUAAUUAAUGGCUUCUCCGUAUCUUCUUCUCCAUUAAUGACUUUUUAAAAAAACACAUUGAAGAAAUUAAAAAAAAAUACAAGAUACAAUUUUAUUUUUUUUUAACUUUCUGUGUUCAAUCCGCAAAGGAGGCUGGGGGGAGGGGGGUUGUUCAAUCGACGAAGGGGGUGGUGGUGUUUGGAAGAGAAAGGUUGUUGGGGNNNNNNNNNNNNNNNNNNNNNNNNNNNNNNNNNNNNNNNNNNNNNNNNNNNNNNNNNNNNNNNNNNNNNNNNNNNNNNNNNNNNNNNNNNNNNNNNNNNNNNNNNNNNNNNNNNNNNNNNNNNNNNNNNNNNNNNNNNNNNNNNNNNNNNNNNNNNNNNNNNNNNNNNNNNNNNNNNNNNNNNNNNNNNNNNNNNNNNNNNNNNNNNNNNNNNNNNNNNNNNNNNNNNNNNNNNNNNNNNNNNNNNNUAUUAGUUUAUUUAUUUUUAAUUUAAAUUUAAGUUUAUUAAAAAAUUAUUUUUAUAAUUAUUUUAAAUUAAAAUUUCACGUGUCGUUAUUUAAUUCGCUACUUCGCCAUAUCAUCAGCGUGUGUAUUACAUGUAUUUUAUAUUUUUUGUUACGUCAUCAAAUUGGGCUCAAUUGAAACUAUUUGUGAAGGAGUAAAGAGUUCAAUAUGUACCUAGCUUAAUUGAGGUGCCUAUACAUGAAAAGUGAAAUAGUUGAGGGGUAUGUAUAUAUAUAUAUAUAUAUAUUCCGUCUAAAUUGAAAGAUUUGACAUCUACCAUGUGUAAUGCUUGUUAGGAGUAUUGUCAAUGUGGUGAGACUAGAAUCAUGGGGCCUCUAAUUAAGCUAGUCAAAUGCACAUUAAUUACCAGCUAAAUUGGUUACUGGUCCACCAAUAAUUCAGACAAAUGUUCUUCUUCUUAAUACUCAUUACCCCAGCUAAUUUUCUCUACAAUAAUGUGUAUAUGUUGAAGGGGAAAAAAAACAUUAACAUCGAUUCUCCAAAAUUGUAUUUUACAAUUAUAAUUAGUAGGAAAAUAGGAUAAGGUCUUUUGGUCUCAUUCGAAAGAAGAAAGAAAAACAGGAGCACAAAUUGAUUGUGUCAGAAAAGAGAAUGAGAAGUUCGUUACAGACGGGACAGUAAAGAAAGUUGGGAGCAGAGAAAAAUACAAGCCACAAAGCAUAAAUUGGGGUCCAUUUGUUUCUUGUAUUGUACUAGGAAGAGGUUUUAGCCAAUCUCUCCAUGAUCAAUUUUUACAUUUUUACACAAUUAUUCUUUUUGUUUAUUUACGCACCUUAAUUUAUUCGAUUGUUUCUAAAAGCUUAUAGGAGAUCGUAUGACAAUGUAAUGUGUGUUAUAAAUUAAAAAAGAAAAAAAUAUUUGAAUUUCUUACAACUUUAACCUACCGAUCAUAUUCUUAACGAAUCAAGAUAAAACUUUCAAGAUUUGAAUCCUAAAAUAAAUAAAUUAAAAAAUUACCCCAUCGCAAGCAUUGACUUCCAACCCACUCUCAAGGGGAUCUGAUAUGUCGAUCUCCAAAUAGUUCUGCUUUGUCUUCCUCUUCUCUUUUACCAUCUCGAUUCGAGUCUUGCUGUACCACAAGAAUGUAAAUAAAUUUUAUAACGAAGGAGUUGUAAACCUCAUCCUAGAUAGCGUAGUUCUCAUUAGAUUACUACCAUUUGAAGUAGAACUUGUUUUUCAACCAUGACAUGUUGAUUUUCUUGUAGAAGCUAGAAAAUAAGAACAUCAAAAUGAAAGCUAUCACCAAUUUGAACAUGCUAUAGGGGUUUGAUCCUAUCGAAAAUGCAACUGAAUAAGUCACGAUAGGUAUCAAAUUAGAACCAAGUAAAGGACAAUAUAAGUUGAUUUAUUUUGAUAAAGGGGAAAAUGAACCUUUGUGGAGGCCCAACAACUGAGAAAGCAUCUUGGGUCGAGUCUAAGAGAAGUUCUUGUUUGUCCAGCACAUAAAUUCCAUGUUCUUUUUUGUAUUUUUUUAAAAGAAAAAUGGCUUAAUUCAUCUUCGUUAAAUAAAUAUUUUCUAUGUCGACUAACUACAGUCUAUCUACCUCUAUGUGAUAGUGACAAGAUUUAUGGUACCCUCUAUUCUUCUCAGACUCUAUCUGUAAGAUUUUACUGACAUAUGCUGUUGUAUGUCAACUAAUUUGAUCACGUGAAGUACGCAUGCCUUACAAAUAUAUUAAGUUUUCUUUUUGUGACAUAAAUUGUCCUUUUUUUGACAAAAAAAAAUAUAUAUUAUUGUCAUAGGAUACUUCAUGCACGAAUUUUUUGGUGGGUGUGUGAUUGCAACUAGUGAUCGUGGUAAAAAUAAUGUCCCACUUAGAACAAGUAAAGAACAUAUCCAAAAUGACAACUAAUACCACAAAUCUACUUUUAUGGAAAUAAAUAUUAUUAACAGAAUUAGGAAACUUUAAACUAGAAAAACAUGUAAAAAAUAUUACUCCCUUCAUUUCAAAAUAAAUGAAUUAUUGAGUUACUCACAUUUUCUUUCAAUAUUUAAAAUAAAUAAAUUGUUCAUUUUUCAAGAGACAUGUUAAAAAUUUCUUUCAAUUUUACCCUUUCAUUUAAUGAGGUUUUUAAGUACUUCACAUUUUAUAGGAUAGUAAUUUAAGAACAAUUAAGAGAAAAAUAAUGAAAAGUAACCUACAAUUUAUGACUUAAAAGAUUUUUCUUAAAGAGUGUGCCGUACCUCGACAAUUCAAUUAUUUUUUAAUUGAGGGAGUAACAAAAUUUUUUAGUAGGAGAAGUUUCCAAACCUCUUAACAAAACAUAAGCCUAUAGUAGCACUGCUUUCAGCCCUAUUUUAGGGCGUGAAAUUCAGCCUUUUGGGCUUGAUUUCUUCAGCAACUUUGGGCAUGCAAAUCAGCUUUUCUUGGGCUCCUUUGGGCCUCCAUGUGGUAGCUACAUGGGCUCUCAAUUGGGGCUUCAUGUUGGGCCAAAUCUCACUCAUUUUAGCUUUGGACUUGAAUCAUGAAAUAUCUAGGAAAAAUUACAUGAUAAGGCCAUUCUUAAGACUUAACUACCUAGAUAAUAGUAGUUCAUUCUUCUCCACAAUUUUUGAACUCGGUCUUGGACUCUUCUUCCACUAAAGGUAUAUUCUUAUGUCUCAUUUUUGUACAAUUCUUCCAUGAUAAGCAUCUUCUUGAUUUCUCACUGAAAUUCAUCAACUUUAUGGAGAUAUGCCAUCGUAGAUGCUAUCAAAACUCCAAAUUUAGGUUAGAUUUUGAACCAUGGUCGUGUAAACUAUUUGUUGGUACGUUUGGGAUUAGUAAUUUCAGGAUAAGUUGCAUUAAUUCACUUUGUUGUUGGUAAUGGCCUUGGUGAAUGUCUUAUCGUUCUUUCAGGACUUGACUCUUAAAUCUUAAUGGGAUGUUGCCUCCAUCUCCAACUCUUUCUGUGGUUAGUCAACUUCGAAUAUGAUGUAAAACCAUAUAUAUACAACACGAAUGAAAUAUUGAUAUGAACUUCAAGAAACGUUGGUUUAAAGAUUUUAUCGCUACAACUUUGAAUGUAUUUUCUUUUUAAAUAACUUUAAAAGAUAUUUGCCUAAUACUUUAUUCGAUACUAAGUGGUAGCCAUUAAUAAAUAGUAAGUAACUUGUUGUAAUAGAUUAAAUCGUAUUCGAUGGAUGCGACCAAUAAUAUGCCUCAGCAAGUUUGCAAUGCUCCAAAUUUGACUUGAGCAUCUAAAUUUAGGUCAAUUGCACUAAUAGUGUGAAAACAUUAUUACAUAUUGUUGGUAUACAAAGACUUAAAUCCUUGCUUAAAAUAUAUUUCGGAAGAGUUUCAAGAAAUCAAUAAGUUGCAAUAAAGCAAAUUAGUGUCAUUAUCCCAUGAAUUAAGGUAAGCGUGCAGAUAAUUCUACUUUCAAUUUCAUUGGAAAUGCAAUGCACCAAGUUUGACAUAUAUUAAUCUAAUUAAGGUCACCCAUAAAAAGGAGUAAUUAUAAUGAACAAAAGGCCCAACAUUUCACUUUGGAGGCCAAGAUUUUACCACAAGUGGUAUCUCCACCACCGUGGGCACAAUUAUAACUUUCAUGAAUGUGCCCAUUUUCAUAUGUUUACUAUAAACUAGUUAUAUUUCGUACUUUCGAUCUAACAAGUUAGCUAGUGGUGUUUGACUCAAAGGCUUAUUUUCAUGCUUUGACCUUGGAAUUGAUAUCUAUGGGAUGCAUAUAUUAUAAGCAUAAUUAGCUAGCUUUACUCAAAAGCUACAUUUGGUCCCAUCAAUCAUUUCUUUGUGUUAGUUUCUCCCUGCCAAAUUCAUCUAAGUUCAUCAUAUCCUACCUAUACUAUACAUUAAAGAAGUGCUUAAAAAGAAAGGGAGUUAACAAGGGAGGAAGUUUGUUUUCAUAUGCAGCAAUAUAUAAAUAAAUACAUGUAACUUCCAAUCACUCUUUCUUUCUUCCAUUGAUGUCUUUAUCAGAUAAAACCAAACAAAAAAAGAACUUCAAGAACAAGUUGAGAUAGGGCCAUGAAGAGCAGCAUGUUUUUGUGCAAUCAUAAUGGCUUUCAAUUUGAUUAGGUCAUACCCAAACCAAGCAAAGUUCCAAAGAAAGCAAUUUAUAUUGGUGAAACUCAUAACGUCAACAUAUUGAGAUGAUGGAGUUGCCUUUGUUCACAAGAAAGUAACUUAACUUGUUUUAAAAAGUGUGUACCUACACAUGCAAACUCCCACCUCCCACUAAACAACAACAACCAACUUGUGCAAACUCUAAAAACGACACAUUCUUCAAGUUUAACUGAAUUCAUUAUACAUUUUAUGAAAUACGUACAUACACAUACAAACACAGACACGUGCAAAACAUAUAUACACAUAGUAAAAUUUUUUUACUCGCUGAUUCUAGAUUCAAGAUUCGCCAUCUGAACCUAGCGUAAAGUGGGAUUUUUUCUAAAUUUUUUUUUUUUUUGGGUGUGAGGUGGAGGGGAGUUGGGGAUGGGGUGCGGAUUUGCUUGCUUGUUGAUCUCUCUUUAUGUCAAAACAUGUGCAGUUGUUUGUAAAUGCAGUCUUGUAAUGUAUGGGUGAGAUGAUUAGAGAUGUUCAGUGCUUACGAGCUAAUUAAGCAAUGAAAUGAUUUAAUUAUAUGUACUUCCGAUGGGAUUUUGAUAAGAACCAAAGAAUUAGUACACGUGGUGAGGAGGACAAAACCUUUAAUUAUUCUGACAUACUUAAGAAUUAUUUUUCUCAAUAAGACAAGCUAACAACCGUGUAGUGUCUCGAUCUUCAAAUUUAAUUUGUCUGAUGAUAAAAAAUCUAAUGCAUGGAAAUUAAUAACCUCUUAAAGUGUUAAAAUCAGUACAUAAUAAUAUAUUGGAUACUAAUCCUUUCUCGGUAAAACUUUUGACUGGUAUGCAAAUAAAUAAAAUGGCCCCAUGAAUUUGCUUUAUAUAUAGUAUUUAACUUUGGUAGAUUUGAGUCAAAAAUAAAAAGAAGUAGAGACAUUGAAAUCUUUUGUUCACAAGAUUAGGCUUUAAUGUUUGGUUAACAUAUAACAAGGGAACGCUCAUCACGUUUUAACAGUAAUUAGGACCAUAAAAAGCACUUGGAAUUAAUCCCAAUUGUAAAAAGGAGUAAUUACUAGUAUUUAGAAUCCUUAAAAAGUAAGCUUUGAAUUCUAAGGUCAGUUUGCCAUUUCACAUUUCACAAUCACAAAAGCACUUUAAUUUGAUUUUGACAAUUGAAUUUGAGCCCCUUCGUCCUUUCAAUUGAUACUGGAAUCAAAAAGGUUGAAAAGAAGUCUUUUUCUAUUUGCAAAUUGUCAAGAAUAGAACCUUAAUUAUUCGAGAGUUAUCUUCAAACAAAUGGUGGAGUACCACAAUUAAUUAAUUACUACCUCUAUUUCAGUUUAAUUGUUAUGAUUUAAUUUUGUUUCACACGACUAUUAAAAAAUAAAAAAUUUAAGUUAUAGUUUAUAAAGUAACUCAUAUUUAGUAAGAGUUCAUUGAUUGUUUUCCUCCAAAUAAUUCUUAUUAAUUAAUAUUAAUGGUAUAAUUAAAAACAGAUGUCAACUUUAGUCUUGAAAUCCUUAAGAGACAAUUAAUUAUAUUGGGACAAUAUGUCAAGCUUAAGCGACCGUUAGUUUAGGACAGAGCGAGUAGCAGAAUAUUCGAUAUACUUUAAUUGCUACGCACUUUUUCAAAUAUGAAACACUUCUUGUUACUCAACUAAUUAUCUUUUCACUAGUAGUAUUUAUUUGAUAAACAAGUUUGACUAGUAUUUCAUAUCUUACGCUUUUUCUAUUAAAUGGUGGAAAAUAAAAUAAAAUAAAAUAGGAUGAGAAGAGUAUCACUUUCUAAAGGAAAUUAGUAGAACCACUUCCUUUAAUUUGAUGCACUUUUCUACUUUUCUUUUAUACAUUCACCAUUGAGAUUUCCAUCUUUAUAAACAUUAUUAUUACUAAUUUCUUUUCUUACUAUUGUAUUGUCUUUGUCACCUUUCAACUUCAAUAAUCUUCGUUCACACUCCACAAAAAGUCGAUUUUCAUACAAAAUCACUAGGUGUUUUCUGUGGAAAAUACUUUCCUUCCCCAAGGAUAUAAUCAAUUAACAUUAUUAUCUCCUUUUCUUUUUAUUUCUUUCAAGAAAUGACACAUUAGUCGAUAUAUUAUGCAAAUUAGGCGUAAUUAUAGCAUUUGCAAUUGACUAAUUGACGCAAUUACCUCGUGCAAAUCUAACUAAUUUGAUGUAGUAUCAAAUAUAUUGGACCUAAUAAAAUCAACAAUUCAUGACUGAUACAACAUAUAUGUCGUUUUUAUAGUGUUUUUUUUUUCAUUUGUCAAGUUGCAUGUGGUGAUUAUUUUAGAAUGUACUAUAUAAUGCCUUCAUAUGGGAACCUUCACGUGUGUGUGUGUGUGAUUUGUGAAAUUACAAGGGGGGAUGGGAAUGCUUACAUAAGCAUGAUAUGAUGCUUACAUAAUCAACCACCACAAAAUCAUAAAAGAAAAAAGAAAAAUAACAGAAUAAAAAACAGAAAAUGAAAUUAAAAAAAAAAAAUGUUCCUUAACUUGGUGACACAAGACAACUACCAAAUACCCAUCAUAGCACACAAAAGCUAAAAGGGCUACUGAAAGAGUAUAUACUUGAGCAGUAGUAGCUAGAACUAACACACAUAUAUCAAAAGUGAAGGAACAAGAAAAGAAUGCUUUGUUUUCUCCUCUUUUGUUUUUGGCCUUAAUCCAAUAGUUCCUUCACGUGACAACUUCCAUCAUAUGUAUCAUUCUCCAUUCUCAAAGUUCAAAUUUUUAUGUACGCACUCAAUUUAAGCUACAAGUGAAAAUAAUUAUUCAAAAAAUAAGAUAAUCAACCUAUUACAGGAAGUAAGAUGAUACUCUAUGAAGUAUAUACUAUAUACUAUAUUCAUUAUCAACGUAAACAAACUAAAUCCUAUAAAUUUUAGUGUCGUUUAUUCUAUGUUAUUAAGUGGAUGUUUCUCAAUAUUAAUUCUUGACGUAACACCCAUAUCAUAGCAUUCUAAGUUAUCAAACAGAUAUAUGAAUACACAUCGUGCCGGUGCUUUAUCAUACUCAAAAAGCAGCAAAGAAUUUGAUGACAUACCCCAUAUAAAAAAUUGCUCAUAAUAUAUAAAUAUAUCUAAUGUAAACAUUAAUUUCAUGACUAAGAUUUUUAGCUUAAUCUCGACUAGAAGAAAGCUUACAAAAACCAAACACAUAAUCAGAUUGUUUGCAACAAAUUUUACAGUGAUGAAUAAUAAAUUACAAUUACAAAUAAAACAAUAAGAAACAAGAAUAUUUUAUUAAUAACGAAUAUGGGUACAAUUCUGUCCUCCCUUGAUUGAUAUCUCAUGAUUUUUUCCAUAAUUCGAGGGCCGUAGCGUAUUUCUCGAACAUAGGAAUAUGGAUCUCCGUAAUUCGAGGACCGUUAGUGGCUUAUUCUCGAACAUAGGAUGAUCUCUUUAUUAAUACCCCAUAAUUUUGUGGGAUAUUGGAGAUCGCGAUCUUUUUACGAAUACCCAUCAGCUUAUGGAAUAUUCAAGAUGUCUGUUUCAAGGAACAUGUUACCCUUUAAGUAGGCGAGAUUUAAGUUGAAGUAGUCUUCUAGAACUCUAACAGAAUUUGAAUUCUUAUUAAAGAGUGCACAAAUUUUAGAUGUCUACACAGAUAUAGUAGUGAAGGAGGAGAAAACAAAUGAAUGAAACACCAUCUCCAAAAAACAUUAACUUCAAGACAAGCAAUAUAGUUAUAGGUAUACAGCCAUCGAGUGGACAAAUUUUAGAAGCAACAGAACGUACGUAGGGCCAUAACUCAUAUGGAGUGUGGAUAAAUUGCAGUGCAUGUGGUUGCCCUUCGCAGAUCAUCUCUUGAUUUUCUGUUCCACAUGGCAUGAUAUAGAGCUACCUAAGUACACAUCACAUUUCAACCUUGAUCUUUUUUUUAAUUUUUUGCUAUUGUUGGUGUCUACAUGGUAAUAGUACUUUUUAUUUAAACAAUAAAAAAAAUGUAUUGUACCUUUCAAAUACCAAUCAUAAAAUAGAAAAUCCAAUAUGGGAAAACUUUCUUCCAUAUAUCGACAUUGCAUAGUGAUGAUCUUGAUUUGUUACAUACAUUGUUUUCAUUUACUAUGAAAUUAAAGUAGCUAGCAGAGCUAAUCAAGUUGGUGGCAGUUUUGCAUGCUACAAAUUAACAAUACUAAAUAGAAAUGUAAUUAAGGUUAAUUAGAUCCUAGCUUAUUGGAUCUAAUUAAUUACACAUACAAUUAAUAAUGACGUAGAUCCAACUAGCUAGCUAGUGCGGCAAACUAAUUUCAUCAAGAUCAUCUAGUGAUAGAAAAACUUCAUCCAAGCAUGAUAGCUCUGUGCCAUUAUCGUCGUCAUCAUUAUCACAAUUGCGCUCGUAUACACGACAUAUUACCCAACCGCUAUAGUCCUGGAAAUAACAUAUUAUAAAAAAGAAUACGUUAAGAAAAAGUUGGUUCACGAGCCAUAAUACAUAGCAACAACAAACAUGUCUAGCGUAAUCCCACUAAGUGGUGUUUGGGGUGGGUAGAAUACUCUUCGUAGUCCGUACCACUACCUUAGAGGUGAGGUAGAGAGGCUGUUUCUGAUCGACCAUCGGUCCAAUAGCCAUAACAUAUAUAGUUUAAUUUUCAUAAAUCAAGGUGAAUAUAUACUUACGAUUUUGGAACGGCUUUUUCUCCUAGAAGAUGAACGGCUACUUGCAGAAGCAGAAGAAGAGUCAGAAAGACUAAAUUCUUGCAUAACCCAAUUGGUUCUGGCACCUUCAGGUUUCUCACCAAGGUAAAAAGCAUAGUAUUUCUUCAUGCCAAUAUUACUGUCACUUGAACUUGAGAAUAUUGGUUCAUCAACUCCUAAUGAUUUCCAGUAUCCGUUUUCAGUGAUUCUACUUUGUGUCCUCCGGCUAUAGAAAUACCAUUUGUUGCCUUCUGCCAUUGCUUUUCCUGUCCAAAAAAUCAUACAAGCGAAUAUAUAUUAUUAAGUGAUCAAUAAAGCAUGUGUCUCGAUCUCUAAAACAGUUCAAAUUUUUAAAUAAGAUGAUCAUAAAGUGAAGUCAAUAAGUGCAUAUAUGUACUCGCGCUAUCUGACGAGAUAUAAUUUAUAAGCUUUCAGAUGAAUGAUCACAACUGAGAAUAACAUAAGAGAUGAUAUGAGGUGGAGAAAUGAAAGUAGAGAAAAUAUAUAGUAUACCAUCCAAGUCCCAAGGAUCAUAAGGGUAAAGAUCAAGAUCAGGAAUGACAUCAGGAUGACAAGGUAAAAGAGCAACCUUGCGAUGGAGAAAAUGAACAACUAACUCUUCAUCUGUUGGGUAGAACCGAAAGCCAGGUGGCAGGUUGACAUUACUAUCCCCCAUCAAUAUGUAGUUUUUGUUAACUAUAUGAAGAAGAAGAAGAAUAUAUUAGUACAAUUGUAUGUAGUAGAGGAGGAGGUAGCAAUUAAGGACAAAGUAAUGGUAUAAAAGAUAUGGAAGUAAGAUAUUUAUAGACAAGCAUAAUGGAGAGAGAGAAUAUUAAAAGGGAUUGACGUGAGAAAUAAGGUGCUUUAGGGGAUCAUCAACACCACCACCACCAUACUUUCAUUAAUUUCCCAAUUCUGUGUGUGUGUGUUGCUUCAAAGAAGGUUUUACUUUCUUUGAAGGAAUAAAUAAUUAAUGCUAGUAUAAUAUAUAGUCUGAUGAUUUGGCUGGCGGCUCUCUUUGCUCCAAGGCGGCGGGUGCCUCCUACACCUAUUUAUCUGAAUAUUUGGUUCCAAAUCAUACAUAAUGGGACCUGCUUCUGUUCGACUAUGACAUCUAUACUAACUAAAAAAAAAUUAAGAGUUAAUAGGAAAAACCAAAUUACUUUAAACAUCCCAUUUUUUAAGUUUUAUAUCCAAAUUAUCGUUAUCACUUCUAUAAGUCUUCUAUCUGAGCUAUAUAUCGUUAUUAAUUUCUUAAAACAUCUCUUAAAACUUGAAUAAUUAAUAGCUUGAGAGAAGUAUCAUGCUGAAACUAGUUUAGAAUACAAUAAGUUUGAUACAAAUUUUGUAUGUUUAUUAAGAAAACCAUUAAUAUGUACACUCAAUAAACUUCAGAAUCAUAAACUUAAUUUCAAAUCAUGAUAUUAUCACAUGAAAAAGUAUGUGAAAGCUAAUUACGCAUUUAUCACUUCUCAAAUGUUUGUUAAACCUCGGGCUAGGCCUAUAUGGUAGGACAUGGCUUCAUAAACAAGGUGAUUAUAUUGUACUUACAAGAUGAUCUGUAUAUAUUAUGUGCGUUUUAUUACUAUUGGAAGAUCUAAAGUUUAUGUGAUAUGUAUGUAUCAUUAUAUAUUAAUGAAAUAUUAAUUCGGAAAUUAAAGGCUCGAUGUAAUUUUAUAAGAUCAAUCUUUUUAAAUUUAAAACAAUAUAAUAUGUUACAACUUGAGUUUGACUUGCAGAUACAACUUGUUGAGUUCUUACUUUUUUUCAGGUACACCCCCUGCCCCUGGUUGCCAAUGGAACAGUGAUGGAUUUGCCUACAACAUCUUCAACGUUCAUUUGUGGAAAUAAUUAUGGGAUUUCAUAUAUUAUUAUAUUCUUUAUACGAGUCAAAAAUGGUUGAUUUUUGAACGAAGUCUCUAUGUGGUGAUCAUGUAAAUAGUGUCCGGAAAUUUUACUUUUUUGGAAAAAUUCACACAUAAAAUUAGUCACUUAGAUGAGAUAAAAUAAUUUUGUGAUUUGUGAUCUUAUUGAUAUAUAACGGAUAACUGAUAUUUCUCUCGCGAAAAAGUCGUAGUGCAGCUAAGUAAUUUUCUAAAUUAGUAUUGUAUUAUAUGUUGAAUUGUUAUUUUUUUUUUUUGAACUUUUUCUUAUGUUUACUUUUUUUAUAUUUUAACUAUGUUUAUGAAAAAUUUGGCUUCACUGUUUUUGUUGUUAGCUAUGAGAGCUUUCCACCAUAAACUUACUAGGAGAUGUGAUUGUGACUUUUGAGUAAUUACCAUUAGCAUUUACUAGUGUUUAUUGACAUUGGAGAUAUAUCAGUAGCAGUAGCAGGAUGAAAAUGAUGGGCAAUUCUUGGAUCAGAACAAAAACUGGGGUCACAUUUGAUGGUUAAAUAUAUCUCGUCUACUAAAUUUUACAAUGGACAAAAUUGGGGUGGCUUCUUUUUUACUUUGGUCCCUAAAAUAGAUGUGUACCUAUACUAUAGUAGGCUAUUAGCUACUCUAUACUUAUUGGGAAAAUGUGGCUCAUCAUCACACUUCACGCUUAUAUCAUUCUUCCUCCUCAUUCCAUCCACGUGUCAUUUAGAGAUCCAGAGUACAUAUUAUUGGGACUGAUCAUAAGUAUAAUUUAUCUCUUGAAAUAAUUGAGUUCUUACUUCUUAAGUUCUCCCUUAUUAGGAGAAAAAAAACAAUCUCAUUGUUAUUGAGGAGGUUUUUGGAUAGGUUAACUUACAACCAUUACUAUGAUCUUGGUCCCACUAAUUAAUCUCAAAUCUUUAUCUCAUUUACAUUUGAGCCAUUCAUUUUGGAUAAACAUGAUUAUAAUGGGAUAAGUAAGUAACCAACAUUUAUAAUUUCACCAACCAAUGGUAUCACCAAAUUAAAAGAACAUGAUCAAUAAGAAUUAAGCCUUUUUAUGACCUCCAACUUGUUAGUAAUUUCUUCUCUGAUUAUUGUUAAUAAUUAGUGCAUAAGAGACUAAAUAUCAGGUUCAUGGACUUAUCCAACAAAUCGAUAACUUUCUUGUAAGAAUAAUGCACAAAAUUUUGUGCCAAAGAAUAUUUUUUUCUUUGUGGUGCGCCCAUGCCACAAAUACAAUAUAGGUACUGUGCAAGCCAUUAUUAUUGGAUUCUUCUGAUAGACAAGUUUGUGCUUUCAAAGAAUGUGUCCAUGGGCAUAAAUAUAUUUAUAUGUAUAUGUAUAUAUAGCUAGAGCUGCUGUGAGUUAUGAUGGCAGUAAUAAUGAGAAAAAGACUAGGAAGUUCAAACAAGAUAGUGACCUCAAGGCAUUAGCAGAAUCCUCUCUUUUUUUCACUUGUAAAAUUACUGUCACUGGAAAAAAACGUGUACCUCAUAAAAUGCCCCUUUGUUUUCGUCAUGGUCUAUUUGGUUUAAAUCCAAUUAAUUGGAAGCUGAUCAAUCUCCUGACUUCAUUUUUGUGAUAAUUGUAUAAGAUGUCUCUUUCACCACUUUGGGAUAUUGCAACUUGCUUAGACCACGGUUGAUGUAAUAGCCGCUUGUUAAUCCAAAAUCUAAAAGCACGAAACGCCGAUUAAAAUUGUAGUGGAGUGAUAAAUAUUUCUUCAUCUAUAAUUCGAGGUCUCGCAUUCAAGUUUUGGUAUAGAGUUGUCUCUAUUAGGGAGCGUGUUACUAAUCACUAUUGAAAUUUUCCGACGCAAAUUCAAAUUUAAUCUAAUCUCGAUCAAGAAUAAACAGAAAUCGAAGUUAUCUUUGACACUACUAAAGCGAUUUUGUUUUACUCACCUACCAAAUAGAUUUAGCACAACUAACAAGCAACUUUAGUAUAGAUAAUCCAAAGAAACCCAAUGUUGGUACAAAUCAACUGUUUUCGUGUUAUAAUAAUUGUACUUACCCUAUAAAUAUUGUGUCUUUUCUCGAUAAUUAUCUGAACAUGACUUAAUGGUUACACUAUAAGUCCUUGUCUAAAUCUUUGUAGGACACAAAGGAUAAUGCACCAUCUAGUUUGAACAAUUAAUCGUUUUGAUAAAUUAGAUUUAUUUUAAAGUAUUUAACUAGAAAAACAAAACAAAAUAUUUAUUACUGUUUCUUUUAUCAAAAAAUUAACCUUUUCGGCUUGAAUUUGUGGAAUGUUAUUAAGUGGGACACUUACAUGAUGAUUUUAAAGUUUAAGCAUAUAGAAGUACUUAUUAUUUGACUAAGACUAAGAAAUAUUAUUUUCGAAUAGUGAUAAGUAAUACGGACAGCAAACAAUAAUUAUCUACAACAAUUGACAUCAAUUUGUGUGGGAAAAAAAUUGGCUUAAAUCAUUGUCAGUCACUUAAAUUUAUCCCGAAAAUUCACUUAGACCCCUCAACUAAGGCUUGUACCUAUCAGAUUCCUAAAGUGCUAAAUUUGGUACUUAUCAGACACAAAAUGCUGAUUUGGCAAGGAGAGUGCGCGUGAAUAGUGUCUCAAAUGAUUUUUUUUUUUUUUAAAUCACAUUUAUUUAGUACAAUAAUAAAUUUUUAAUUAAAAAAAGAAAAAGAAAAACAGUGGAAGCCAUGAACUUUAGCCGUGGAAAACUGUUCAAAUUGUUAAUACAUGAACUUUCCGACGAAAGUUCCGGCUAUGAUGGAAAACUUUAACAGUGGAAAACAAUCUUGUUAACAUAGAAGAAUGGCUGGCGAUAUUAACAUUAACAAUGUAUUAACAAUUUGAUUUAGGUGGAAAACUUUAGCAGUGAAAAACAAUCUUUUUUUUAGAAAUCAAAUUGUUAAUACAUGAACUUCUUUUCUUUUUCUUUUGAUUAAACUUUUCAGAAAAGCUUAGUGACCAAGAGCAUAAACAAGUUUCGCCGGAUUACUGAGUUACUAAGUUUUGAAAUGCAAAUUCUUAAAAUUGAAUUUCUGAUUUAUAUUUUUUGUUCUUCUGGUCGCCAUUGAUUUCGUCUUCAGUGGCAACUUAGGAUGACGAAGGGAAGUUGAUGGAGGAGGGAGGGGCGGGGUGGGGUAGAUCAAUUGUCAUUUGUGGGUGGGUGGGUGUGACGACAUGGGGGGUUAUGGUGAAGAAGACAACUACUAGGGGGUGGUUUUUUUUUUUGAAUUAAAAAAUUAUUAUUAAAUAGAUAUUUAAAUAGAAAAAUAGAAAAAAUUAAAAAUUCUACGUAUAAUUUUUUUUUUGCCACAAUUUUUUUUUAAUUGAUUAAUUUUGUCACGUCAAGCGAGUGUAUUACACACACUCUAUGUUUGUUAUUGAUUACAUAAAAAAUAUUUGAUUGGAUCAAAAUUUAAGAUGUUAGGAAUAUGAUAAGUAUAUAUUUUAGUUGAGGGUCUAAAUUAAUUUUCAAAAUAAGUUUGAGGAUCUACCAAUGUCUUAAGCCAAAAAAAAAUUCAUAAUUGCAAAGAUUAAUGAAAAGUGAACUUGCACUCAAAAGUCAUUGUUAUAUGUAUAUUUGUGUGUUAAAAAGUAAGAAAGAGCCGUAAUAGAGUUUGAAGUGACUGAAUCUCUAGUUGUGAAGUGUGAACAAGUGAUGACUACAUUGUUGUGUCAUUUCUUUGCUUUUUUUAAAAAAAAUAAUUUUUAAUUUUAUUUUUCUUUGUGUAAUUUGGAUAUAUCAUAUAUAUUUUGUGGAGGGCCACAUUUUAUUUUUUUCCAGUGUUAGUGGCAAGAAUCAAAACUCAUGUUUAUCCACGAAAGUUCAUAAUGUGACCAGAGGCGGAGCUAGCCUAUUAAAGAGGGUUUGAACGAAUCCUUUUUGACAGAAAUUUAUAUUAUUAAUAUGCGAUUAAAAUAUUUUUUGUUUAUAAAUUCUAGAUGUUGAACCCCCUUCAAUGAAUUUUUCUUAAAACUUUAAAUCCCUUAACAAAAAUUCUAGCUCCGCCUUUAAAUGCAACGUACUUCACUUUUUGCCUAACAAUUUGGUCAUCACUUGCAUUCUUAAGAUAACGAAUUACUUAAUGGAGCUCUGGAUUUGGAUAUAAGAAUAUCUGCUAUGCGUCCAAUAAUAGAAACCAUUGGAUUAGGUUAGAUAGAUUAGAUAAAAAAGAGUGAGAAUUUAAUGGUUCUACUUUUGGUGUGUGGGGGCGUGGGGGUGGGAGUGGGGGUGGGGGAAGAGAGACCAAACAACUACAAUUACUAUUUGUUGAGUUUUGGGAAUUGUGUGCUAUUGUUUUUUUUGUAAUCGUAUUUUCUAGAUCAAUUUGGGUGUAUUUUGAUUAAUUUUAUGAGGUAGUAGGUUUUUAUUAGGUAUAGUUAAUUAAAAUUUGAAUUUAAGACUUUAUGAUUCUCACCUACGUUUUAACCUCUAAGCCACUUUGGGUGCAUACAAUUGUGCUAUUUUUAUGACAAUAGACAGGUAAAAUUUUGGGUUCCAGCUUAAUUUAAGUAAAGUUACAUAAAUCUCAAUUCUUUUGGAGCUAAUUAUUUUUUAUCGCAAUUUUUCAAAAAUUAUUAAAAAAAUCCUAAUUAGUCCAUAGAUACAUCACAUUCUUUCGAAUAUAUCAAUUAAUUUUAUACGAAUACAUCUCAUUCUUUCGAUUCAUCAAUUAAUUUUACAUGAAUACAUCAUAUUCUUCUAGAAACAUCACUUAGUUUCACAUAAAUACAUCACAUUUUUAAGUGAUGUAUCUAAACUUUUAAGUAAAAUUAGAAAUUUAUGUAAAUUAUUCCAAAAAAUUAAAAUUUUAAAUAAUCAUGAUAAAUGAAGUUAUAAUAUAAUAUUUUUUUUUCUUAAUUUAAAUACAAUUAAACAGUCCAUUUUGAGGGGAAAUAAUCCCUACCAAUAUCAACUCCAACACGUUUAAGAAUGAGAAAAUAUUUAUCACCUCAAAUUUUUAUUUAAUGUAAUAUUUUUAAGGAUCAUUUGGUAGAGUGUAUAAGAAUAAUGCAGAAUAUAGUGUAUUAGUAAUGCUUGUAUUAGUUAUGCUGAUAUCGUUUCUUAUACAUUAUUUGGUUUGAUGUAUUAGAAAUAAUAUAUCUACAUAAUUUAUAUAAAAGAAAUGUUUGUUUAUAAAAAUACCCUUCUUUGACUUAUUACACUUUUUCUGCAAUAAAGUUUUUUGUCAUCUCAAACAUAAUCAGUAUUGUUGAACUAGUAUAUAGAGGUUUAAGAUUAAUUGCAAGACUUUCAUCUUUACGCAUGAAAUAUUACGCCGACGAAUUAACAUAGUCGAAACAAAAAUAAAAUAUAAGAUGUAGAAUUAAGGAAUAGUCUCAAGAAUUUUUUUUAAUUUUUUUAAAGACCCUAGAAGCAAAGUAAAGAUAUGUUGCAGUUAUUUAAAUCAACUAUUCAUUGUUGUAAAUUAAAAUGAUGGAAAAAGGAUUGUAAAAUCUUUUGAGAAGAUUUACCGUUGCAAAUUAAAAUGGUGGGAGAAGGAAUUAUGAAAUAUUUAAGAGAAAAAUUGAGGAGUAUUAAGGUCAUUUAAUAAAUUAAUGCAUGUCUUUAAAGUCUUUGUAUUACUAAUACAUAGGAAAUAAUGUGUAUCACUAAUACACACCUCAAUAUAGAAUAAUGUGUAUAACUAAUUCUUGCAUUAGUUAUACAUAGGCAAAAAGAUGUAACAAAUAAGAUACUAGUAACACACACAUUAACUAAUGUAGGGAUUAUAUUUUUUCAAUACACUCUAUCAAACUAUCUUUUUUUAAGUAUCUGAAUCUUUGAAGGGAAAGUAAAGACAAAGGGAAAAGGAACAAAAAAGAACAAUUGCAUAGGGAGCCAUGUGGAUAAUAAGCCAACUCAAGAUGGAACUGCAGCUACCAUUCAUCAUCUUAUCUUCAGUACAUCCACUAAUUUGCUCAUAAAUCAUGGGCCAUACCAGCACUAACUACUUGGGCUUUCCCUUUCCAUGGGCCUAUGGCCGAUCCAGCCAAUUCUGAAAUGGGCUUCAGGGUAGGCCGGAAUGUAUAUCGAUGUGAUGAUACAAGUAGGUAUACAGCUAGCAAUAAGCCUCUCAGAACUCAACACACUAAUUCCUUCAUGAAUUAAACAACAGCUUUAUUUUGAAACCCAAAAGCAGCCGUCUACUAGUGGCUAUUUUUCAAUUACAAGUGUUGUUUUGUGAAUUUUUCCCUCUUCUGGCAUUGGUCACUGUUAUGAACCAUUUUGGCUGAGUCCAGAAUGCAACAAGUCUUACGUCAUAUGGCUGCUAAAAAAAUGUGAUCAAAUAAUUCCUUGGGCAAGGAGUCAUGUGUAGUGCACAAGAUCAUACAAAUGCGGAAGUUAACAUUGCAAUUUGCGGACGCUUAUAACCUCGGCAAAUUGCAAUUUCAAUCUGCCACAAUUUACCACUUUUUUUUGUAGUAUUACUUUAGUAAUUUGUUGUCUUUUUUAUUCUUCUACUAUCUUCUUUCUUGUACUUCGAUUAUCGCAGUAUUUUGUUGUAGUAUUAGUCAUAUCUUUUUUUCGAUCUGCUUUAAAUAAAUUGUUUUUCCUUGAGUCGAUGGUCUAUCGAAAAUAACAUUUACCUCCCAAGACAAGGAUAAGGAUUGCAUACAUUCUACUCUCCAAGAUCGUACUCGUGAAAUUGCAUUGGAUAUGUUGUUGUACAUGGGGGGUAUAUGUGAUGUGAAAUUCAUGCCUUGUCUGGUGGUUUUUAGGACAAAAAUAAUGAGCAUGCCAUCCACAGAGAGGCCACAAGAUCUUCAUUAUCUUAAUUCCAGAGUUUUAGCAAAGUCACUACAAACUUUGAAGACUCCACUAAUCAAACACUUAAGUUUGCUUCCAUAAAGUAUACCAAUGUCCUUGUAUCUGUCAAACAAACAAGUUUACUUUUUAUUUUGUAAAAAGUUAAAAUUAAUCUUAGCCUAACUCACACUCAAAAGCUAGCUCAUGAGGAGGAGGAUUGUCCAAGCCUUAUAAAGAAACCACCCAUCUCAUUGACAAUCAAUGUGAGACUUUUUUCUCAAUCUUUAACACCUCACCUCAUGUCUAGUCCUAGUUAACUGGGCGUGGACAAUCUCCUCGAAUCUAAAUCGGGAGCCCAACAUUGGGUGAGAAUGGGCCCUUCUCUGAUACCGUGAUAAAAUGUGAGCUUGAAAAGCUCAACUCUGCAACAAUGGUGAACUCUUAACAGAAGAGAAUAGAAAAGAAGCUGGAAACUGUAAUUUGUAUUGAGAAAAGUAUCUAAUCUACCCUCUCUUGUACAUCAACCCUCUAUAUAUAGAAGUGUAGUGAAGAAGCAGAAGAAGAAAGAAAAAUAUUUCGAUGACAGCUGGCAAUACAGUUGUUCGUUACCACAUCUACACUAACUUCUAUGCUCACUACUUAACUACGAAUGAUCAGUCACAGGAUUAGUAACUAACUGACAAACUAGGACAGUCCAUAAAAUGUAAUAGUACUCAUAGAUGAAAGAGAAGUUUUCGAAUAAUAUAUGAGGAUUGUUGUACAGGAAAGCACUUGCAUCAACACAGAUAUGAGUCAUAUAUUAUACUUUCUUAUUGUAUUAUAAAUAUGGAGUGUGCUCUAGCUAAGAAAGCAAAAUAUUAAAGUAUUCCAGGAAAGGUGCCAUCCACAUAGUGGCCACAAGCUCUUUCAUUGAAGAAUUCAGAAGGAAGAAAUAGAGUUGAUUCAUUAAAGCCAAAAAGCUCUAAUAUAAUCUUACUGUUGUUUAACAUGUGAUGUCCUGUGGUUUUAGGAUACAAAUAAUAUAUCUUUCAAUUAAAAACAAGCAGAACAGUACUGCAUCAAACAACAACCUAGUGCAGCUUUUGCUAAUUUUAACAACAUUAAACAUCAUGCAUCCACAUUUUUUAUUUCAAUGUCAUACAAGGCAUAAUUACAUUACAUUAGCUGAUCCGCCAAGAAAGCAACUACUAGCAACUAGCCAAUAGAGGAAAAAAAAGGUCCAUCUAAAUAUUAAAUACCCACCAAAUGGAGGUGGUUUUAUGAAGAGAGAUUUUGAAGGAAAAAUAAGGAAUAUACAAAAUAACUAUUACAAGUGACAACAUCAUAUCCUAAGUAUUUAACAGAACACUUGCAGAGGAGUCUCACAAAACUGAUACAAACAUUUAUACACAGUUAAUUCUAAAGGAAAAACUGAAUAGUAGUUCACGAAAGUACAAAUCGCAAAUCUAUUGUCUGCCAAGAGCAGAGUGAACAGCUUCACAUUAUUGCAUUUUUCAGGUUUCCCCCAAGCAAAGUCAUGAGGCCACCACCAUGAACUCUGCCCUCUGGAACAACAUACUCAAAGUUGUUGUUUGUGUUGCGUCUUCCAAUCCCAAGGUCGGUGCUUCUGUCAUCCGGCUUCUCUGAACAAGUUAAUGAGGCCUUCAUUGACAAGGGUACCAAUACCUGUGGUGGUAUAAGUUGCUGUCUUUCAGCUGGCGUAUCGAGUGAAUGAACCGAAUCUGAGACCAUGCUCACCAUAGAUGAAGAACGAUUGUUCUCAAAAGAGCUCUUUGCAUGAGAGGCAGCAGGGACCAGUCCAUGGAAAAGUCCUGGUCCGAUCAUGCCUCCUUUAUUUGUAUUCUUCCCAUUUAACAAGCUGCUGUGAGCAGCACAUAGCCCUCCCCUGCCCCUGGCAAACUUCUCGCAUUUCCCCUCUCCCCAGCUACAACGCUUACCACCACCAUGAGCCUUGCAAAAGUCGGUGCUUCCUUGAGCACUCUUUUCACAGUUCUCAAACUUGCAGCGUUUCCCCCCUCCAUGCCUAACACAACAAUCAGUACGCCCUCUAGCACUCUUGGUGCAUCCUGGAACAGCACACCUCUUCCCACCGCCAUGGGCAACACAAAAGUUUGUGCCACCGUGUACGCUUUUGGGGCAGAUACCACCACCAUCAAAGAGACACCGCUUUCCACCACCAUGUGCUUUGCAAAGAGGCGUACUCCCUUCAGCUCCUUUGGUGCAGCCAGCAAAUAUGCAACGCUUUCCACCACCAUGUGCUUUGCAGAACAAAGUGCUCCCCUGUGCGCCCUUUGAACAACUAGGGAAUUGGCAACGGCGUCCACCACCAUGUGAAAUGCACAAGCCAACUUUCCCCUCAGCACUUCGAGUGCAUCCUUCCAUAUUGCACCUCUUUCCUCCACCAUGCUUGAUGCAAAGGCCUGACUUGCCACGUGCUGCUCUAGUGCAACCUCCAGCAAAGCCACAACGCCUUCCACCACCAUGUGCUAUGCAGUAGUCAGUCUUUCCUUCAGCACUUUUAGUGCAUCCCAAGUGCUCGCACCUCUUCCCUCCUCCAUGGGCCUUGCAGUAUGCAGUCCUACUUUCAGCACCUUUGUUGCAUCCAGGUUUCUGGCAUCUCUGUCCCCCGCCAUGCCCAAUGCAAAGACCUGUCGCUCCUCGAGCUCCUUUGGAGCACCCUGGAAACUUGCAUCUCUUGGGAUUGGUUAUUUUGCGUGAGGAUGUAGCCAUUGUCGUUGGUUCAGAGAGGUUACUCAUGGAGUAGUCAGAGAUACAAGAAGGUUCAGAGCUCAGCUCAGGGAGGUGGAAAUGGGAUUUUGCACCCUGCUCUAAAACUUCCUUAUUUUGGAAGGAUCGUUGGCUGUUCUCAAUUCUUGGAGCCAGAAGAAGUGAAGGCAUGUAACCACCCGACUUCUUGGCUGAUGUGGAACCUUCGUCCAGGAUAGGGAUCGCAGGUCUUUUACCAUCUGGAGAUAGCUGAUUGAUAUGAAGAGGAGCACCGGCAGAACUCUGAGUGAUAGCCGAAAAAUCAAGUGCAUCGGAAAUUUCAUUGGUGCUCCCUGAGAGGCCAAGUUUGAGGAUAGAAUCAGUCUCAGAUAAUACCCCGUGAUUCAACAAGGCUGUAAACCCUUUAUCUUUAUUAGAUCCACAAGGGUAAUAGUCGUCCGAACAAAUUGUAGGCGUUGGCCCCAAACCAAGCACCAAUUUACACCCGUCAUCAACAGCAUUCUGUUGCAUAAUAUGGCUUCUGCUGUUGGUUCCACUGCUAACAAAUCUCACACACUCAUUUCCUCCAUAACCAAAGCAAUCUAAUCUUAAUGUUGUAUCACUCCUUGGGAGCUCAACAUCUGGAACACGGUACAUACUGCUCUUAUUAGGAUCAAAGGAUGUUAUCAUACUACACUAGGAAAAAGUUUACCUGAAAAAUAAAAUGAACUAAACAAUCUUAUCACAAAUUAAUAGAGAAACUCAUAAAUCGAAACAAAGCAAGCGAGUAAAUUAAAUCCUAGUGAGCAACUCCUCCACUCACAAACCCUGAUGUGUCUGCUCGAUCCAUUUUAUCUAAUCUUGGAGAGGGACAUCAAGGGCUGUAAAUAAGACCAGGACAGGUUUCAGGAUUAGAAACUGAUGACAGAAGGUACCAGAAGAGAAUAACAAAUCAUGUCUCUCAGUACAAAUCUUAGUUUAAUAACCUGGAAAAAAAGAAAAAGAAAACAGCACGGCAGAAUUCCUCAAUGGUUAAAUAUGGGAAACGGGAAGGCUUUCUUGGCUCAAGCAUAAUAUUAACAAUCACAAGCGAUAUUUCUGCAUUAUCUACUUCUCUUUAUUUAACAAACCAAGGACAAGUUGCACUUUACAUAAAUCAAUGUUAACAAUAAAAAGCUUAGCUUUCACCUUCGAAAGUUAGUCAGGAGAAGAACUUUUUCCACAGAGUAAGUUGGUUAGAAUCGGCAUAAUUUUAAUGGCGUAGAAACUUACUCUGAUUACAUUAUACGACAAACAGAGGACCUUAAUCUACUUAUUGGGAAGUCAUCAGCUAGGAUAUUAGGUGCUUCCUUUUUCCAAGUGAAAUUCCAAUUUCUCAUGCCUUUGACUAAAGAUCACUACACUAGAGAGGAGAAGUAGAAGCUUCAAACGAAUGAUAUCUACACAAAAAUAGUUCAAGAAUCGUAACCGAAGAUAAGUAAAGAUUAUUAUAUAAAACACCAAUUUCUUGAAAUACAAUCAAGAUUUCUAAAAAUACUGUCCUUAUUGCCUCUUUUCAUUUUUUUGUUUCCUUUUUCCAGUUUACUCAAACCCUGUAUAUGUAUUAAGAAAUCUACUAAUUAUGUAAAAAUACUAAAUUCAGUUGGUUUAGUGGCAUCUCGAACCUAUAAAGUUCAAAUCUUGGAUCCGGCUCUAAGUUGGGGUUGACCUUUAACUUCACGUAUUAGCAACCCCACACUAAUACACUAUCCUAUUUUGAACCCAACAACAACAAACACAGAAUAAUCCACAAGUAGGAUCUGGGGAGGCUAGAUGUUAGCAGACCUUAUCCCGUAGCUUCCUAUUUCUAACCAAACAAAAAUGAAAGAUACUCCACUCUCUGAUCAAUAAAUUAUAAAUCUGAUAUAUUACAUCUUACACAACAUUUAUAUCAAUUCAGUCUGCAGUUAUUUUGAUACCAUUGGAAAGAAGUUGAGGUGUAUAAGGAAAGUGCCACAACCCAACAUAAACAAGGAAGCAAAUUGUUCAACAAUCAUUCUUGAAACUCUCUUUAUGACCUUGUCAAAUACAAAUUUUGCUCAAGUACAAACUGUCAAAAACUAACCAACUACAAAACGGGAUCGAAACUCCAAAAAUAUUGAAACAAAAAAAAAGAACAAGAGAUUCAAAACUUUGGCCUAAGAGUAACAACAUAAUCAUGUUAAGCAAAAAAGUACUUUAACAAAACACAACAAAUACAAUAAAAAAGUUAUCAAUUAAAUAGUUUUGGGAUUAAUUACACAGCAAAAGAUAAAGAAAAAAAAAACAAAUCUUUCAUAAUUACGAGAUAAAUAAAAUAAUUUGCUGUUCGUGUAAAAAACACAAAAAACAGGAAACUAUAUCUGUAUCUUUAAGUACUUGAGAAAGCGAAAAAAAAAAAAAAACAGAACAAGGGAGAGCUACUAUAAACAGAAAUGUGAGAAAACACAGCAUUUAUGAGCUAAAUGAAAACAGACCGACACGGAAUUAUUAUCAAUAAAACAAAAAGAACUAAAUUACAGGUACCCAAAUUGAGAAAUGAAUAAAGGAACAAAGAGAUUGAAAGAAUGAAGAAAUGAAGAAAAUACCCUUUGGGGAGGAGAUUCCCAUUAGAGCAAAUUAAGCUGACAAUUUCAAGAAUCAAAUUGAAGGAAGCCACCCUCAGAAUAUAGUAUUCUUAUUAUUCUAGAAAGAGAAGUGAACCUUUUUUGUGCUCCUACAAAGUGGAGUAUAAAGAUAAAUAAUAAAGACAACAAAUAGAGAGAGGAAGAGAGAACAAUUAUUAGGUAAUACUACUUUUUUUUUGAUAAAUAAAAUUUGAUAGUAUGUGCUUCCGUUCAUCUCUUAUAGUGUGAUGAUCAAGCGUACACCCAAGAACUUCUUGUUGGUUUUCAUUUUACAUCUUUGCCCCUCAUCAUCAUCUUUAAUUAACCAGCAACAACAACACAUCUAGUAUAAUUCCACAAACAACUUAUCUCGAUUUAAAAGAUAAAAGACAAACAAUUCAGUAAAAAGAAGUAAUACAAGUAUAAGAAAUUACAAAUAAUAACAAUAACAACGUAGCAAUACAACAAUACGAUAAUAAAAUAACAUGAUAAUUAAAGUACAACAUAUAAAUAACAAUCAAAAUUGAAGGACCAAAACUAUGAGAGCAGUACUAAUAUGGACAGAUAACAAAACAACACACUAUUACUUAGUGACCUUUAAAAAAAUGAAAUGUUCCAUACAAAUAUACAUAUUGAUUCUAAUAUAGAAAAUGGUCAAAACUCAGUCAACCUUUAUUCCAAAUCUCAAUUACACACCUAUAUUUUGUGAGGAUUUUUAAACUAUUUUAAAGUGGAAUAUUUACAUUCUCAAAAAUUAAAGCCCAGAGAUUAUUUCAAGCAGUGAGCUGCACUCGCUGCCACAUAAUAUUACUUUUUUUAAUAUAAAAAAUUAAUUAUUUUUUUUAUUAUAUUUUUUCUUUUGUAUUCUUUUUUAGCUUCCUUUUCAAUUUCAUUACUUUUUUUUAAUUUAUUUCAUGUUCUUCCACAAUAAUGAUUCUCCAUUCUUUUGUUCUUCUUUUUUGUUUUCCUUUCUCUUCAUUUGAUUUUCUUCAAUCUCAAACCUUUGUUAAAUAGUAAAUUCAAAGUCGACUAUUAAACUCAAAGUUUAGGAAAAAAAAAUUACUUCAAGAACGAAAAUUUGCACUGCUGCACACAUUUGCUUCAAGAACAAAAUUUUUUAUUUCUGUAUUUGUUAUGUAAGUUCAAUUGCAAACUCGUUGUUCAAUUGGAACUCAAGAAUUACUAUUUUUUUCAAGAAAUGUGAUGUUGAGAAAGCACGCAAAUUGUUCGACGAAAUGCCUCAAAAAGAAUGGAGGAACUGUAUGAUUUCUAGUUAUGUAAGAAAUGGGAUAUUAGAUUAUACUCAACAAAUGUUUGAUACAAUGACGAGCAGAAAUCUCGUUUUUCAAUCCUGUUCCUUUUUCUUUCCUUUUUUUUUUUUUUAUUUCUCAACUAUGAAAAUUGAUGUUGAAUUUACGAUUGUGAAAAAAAUUGGUGUUGAUUUUGAUUAUGUUGUUGAUUUGAUUGUUUCAAUUUCAAGAAAUGUGGAUUUGAAUGAUGAUUUAUGGUUUGAGAUUGAAAAUUCAAUCGAUGUAAAUUUAAAAGAUUUCAAGAUUCCACAAAAUGUGCAUAGAGCAUUGUUGGAAGUUUAUAUUUCAUUUCAUGAGAACGAGGAUUCUCGGUAUGGUAAGUUGGUUAAUGAAUAUGUAAGUUUGAAUAAUCUUAGUGUUUCGAGGAAUGAAGCUUUUAGGGAGGUGAUUGUUAGUUUGGAUGAAAUUGUAUUUGGUAUAGUCUAGUCAUUUAUUUAUAAUAUUUACUCUAAAUUGAUUUGUUCUCGCUCUCUUUAAAGAGAGUGAAAUACACUUUCUUAUCAUAUCAGUAUUCAGAAAGUAAUAAUUUCAUAAAAUAUAAAUAUAUAAUUAAAAUUCGAAGUAAAUGUUGAGGGAGUAUUUGAUCAUUUUCUCAUUCUAACAUGAAAUUUUAGUUAAAAGCGAAUAUAUCUCAAAUUAUUUUCAUUUGUUUGUUUAUUUGGGUUGGUGAUGAUGCCCUUUACCGUCAAUAGCAAACCAGUUGUAUGAACGGUUUAAAGCUUACGGCCCCAUUGAUAUGAACGUCGUAUACUUUUAUGUGACUGCGACAUUCCGUAACUUUACCAUUUUAUCCUCAAUGAAGUUGACAAAAUGGACAAGAAUCUAAGAGUAAAAAUGUCAUUUAAAUUUUUUUUAAUAAUUUGUAGGCCAUAUUUCAGAUGACAUAACCAAUGUCAGCGGAAAUAAGUGGCCAAUGUUAAAUUGUCCUGUCAUAGCCCGGCCCCCCCCCACCCCGCACGCUCAACACCCCGCAACCCCACUCGCUCGAAAAAAAAAAGAGAGAAAGAAAACAGAAAGAGUGAGCUAUUAACCGAAAAAAUCUAAAUAAACAGUAGGUGGGCAUACAGAGGGUACAGUUUAUAGUUAUAGUUAGCUGCUUCUGACGUAGGCAACCUGUUUGGUACUUUUCUACUCCCUCCGUUCAUUUUAAUUGAUCCUCUUUUUAAAAAUAUUUAUUUCAAUUUAGUUAUCUCUUUUGAUGAAAUCAAAAGAAUUUUAUUAUGUUCUUCUAAUACUAUCCUUAACAUUAAAUGACUAAAUAAAAUAUAUUUACUCAAAUUUAUAUUUUCAAAGCGUAAUUAAUAAGACUAAUUUGAUAAAAUAAAUCCCCUAAUUAAUAUUUUCUUAAUGAGUGUGUCAAGUCUAUAGGGGCCAAUUAAUAUGAAACGGAGGGAGUAUUUCAUUUUUCGUCUUUGUAACAUGUUGUUAACUGAAAUUGAUGUAAUUAUUGAAUAGUAAAUAUUUCUUUCGUUCUAUGUGUUAUUAUUUGAUUGGACAUAAAAUUUAAGAAAUAAGGAAAGAAUUGUAAUAUUUAUCAUAUUGUUCUUUAUUAAAAAAUGUGUUAAGUAUUAUUUUUUUUUAAUUAAAUGAGAUCAAUAAAGAUAAAAAUGAAAUUUUAUUUUUAAAUAGUUACCAAAUAAAUAAAGAUCAUAUUUUUUUUUGACAGACCAAAAAAACUUAUGACGCAAAAAAUGAGACGGGCGAGUAUUCAUUUAGUAAUUAUAUAGUUUAGUAAUGAUUAAAUGCUUGUUUGUUAUAGUGCAAUUAACAAAAAAUUAUGAUGCUCCCUUCGUAAACUUCAAGAUUGAUAAUUUUUUAAACUUUAUAAAAUCAUCACUCAUUUUUUAAACUCUGUACACAAUCAAAAAAUAAUGCAUAAAAUGAAACGGAAGGAAUAAUAAUUUUUUGUAUAUGAUCAAAAAAUUAUUUAAUAAAAGUAAUCUAAUUUUUUUUAAAAAACUUAUAUAAAUAAGUGUUCUCAUAAAGUUUUAACGGCUCAGGUCAGUACCAACGUAAGUAGUACGUAUUUUGUUUACUAAUGAGAGGCCUAAUUAGUAGGUGCCAAAAUAGUUUAUAAAGGACUAGUGACCAAAUUAUUAUGUAUGACGUCAAUAGCACAAAUAAUUAAAAAGUUAGAGCACGAGGCUUCCUCACUCCCCAUUCGCUACAUCCAGACGUUUCCAAAUUGGAUACUUCCACCCAUUAAUUUUUUUCUUUUUCUUUUUUACAAUUUUAUUAUUCACUUCAGUUUUCAUCCUUUAAUUAGUUUUACCUGAUAUCUAUCAUCUUUUAUGAGCAAUUUAAUUUGCACAUUUUAGCUAAUUUUACAAAAUAUCUAUCAUCUCUUAUAAAUAAUAAAUAUUAAUUUUAAAUUUUUAUGAUACUUAAUCUAAGUCAUUGAACAUUAGAUCACACUUCUAAGUGCUCCUCCCAUUCAUUUUAAUUGUCAUGUUUAUUAGGAAUAAUCAGCUUAAAUUAAUAAUUAUUUUAAAUGAUUAAGAUAUGAUUAAUUAAUUAUCUAUUUUUAUUCUUAUUCCUAUUCGAUAAAUUUCAACAAAGAAAAUUACAAUCAAAAGAUACUCCUUCUAGUUUAAUUGCACAUGCCUCGCGCGGAUAACGUUUAAUUAUUUAAAAUUAAAUGAUUUUGUUUAUUGCGCAGAUUUUUAAUAAAGCAUAAAAAUUCAAAUCACUUUUCAAAAAUCUUUCACGCUUUAAACUAAUAAUGUAAACAUAAACAUAGACACAUAUAUGUUUUACUUGUUCCAAGUGAUUGAUAGAUCAUCACUUUUGUGUUUACGUACCUCUCUCCCUUGUUGCCACAGGUUAAGAGAGACGCACCAAUUUAAACCAUAUUUGUGUUACGAUUAUUAUUAUUUUUCUAUAUUUAAAAUCUUUCCUUAUUCUUAAAGUCAAAUCUUUAUAAAAUUAUUGAUUACAUUCUUAUCACGUAUUUAAGAUUUUUUGAAAUCUGGUACUUCUUAAAUUUUUCUUAUUCUAAUAGUUUUACAUUUAUUUUUAGAUUUUUCAAAUCUUCUUAAAAUCAAAUUUAGUUGAUUUAGAAUUCUUAAACUAAUGAAAAAAGUAUCGAUUGUCAUUAAUUUUGAUGAUUUCUAUUAAGGAAAGGUUUUAUCAUAACUAUAUUUAAUUAAUUUUCAACUCUUAAAUUAGGAAUAAACAUUGUAAUUCUGGUGACUUCUAAUAAGAAUUUUUUUUACCAUAAAUAUAUUUAAUUAAUUUUAAACUCUUAAAUAUUAGAAAAAAUAAUGAAAAGUCGAUUUUGUCUAAAGCAAGGACUUUUAACGAAAUACAAAAAGUUCAAACAAUAUUUUUAAGUCUUUCACACUUUUAAUAUAUUAUAGAUUAUAGAUAUAGAUAUAAAUAUAGAUUAUAGAUAGAUUAUAGAUUAAUAUAGCUAUGGAUAAGUGAUAUUUUAAUUUCUAUUAUUCCUUAAUAAGUGUUAUUUUAAAAAAAUUUGCACUUUUUUUUAAUGCAUAGAUGUGUCUAAGGGAAAAUAGCUACUACUUAUUUAGAAAGAGAGAAAGUAAUACUUCCUUCAUUCCAAUAUAAAUGAAUUAUUGAACUAUUUUUUAAUGUUUAAAAUAAAUGAAUUGUUCAUUUAUUGAGGAAUAUUUUAAAAUUUAUUUUAUUUAAUCUUUUUUUUAAUGAGAUUUUUAAGUAUUUUACAUUUUUUAUGAGAAUAAUUAAAAAAAAAAUAAAAAAUAAUAGUAAAAAAAAUCUACAAUUUAUGUUUUAAAUUUUUUUCUUAAUAAUAUGAUAUAUUUUAAUAAUUUAAUUAUUUUAAAAUAGAGGGAGUAUUAGAUUAAAAUUAAAGAAUCCUCCCAACCCUCAGUUAUUGGGGAUUCCAAGAAGCUCCAUAAACUUGCGUGGGCAUUCAUCCACAUUUUCGUUAAUUCUUAUCCAAAUUUGACCAAUAAUAUUCUAUAUAUCUCCCCAUAUGUUUGUGACAUAUUUAUUCUCACGCUGUCACUUUUUAACAUGAUAUAAAUAAUGAUUGAUAUAGUAAUUUUAUUAUAUUAUUUUUAUUAAUAAAUAUUUAAUAUAAUAAAUAUUAAAAAAUAAUUUUAAAAAUAAAUAAGUAAUGUUGAAGAUAAAAUAUAAAAAUAAAAUUAUUAUUUUUUAAUUUGUUAAAAUAAAAAAUAAAAAUUAAAUUAAAAAAAUAAUGACAACUAAAUUUGAACAUAGAACGUACAUGCAUUCAAGAUUCAAUAUAAAUCACGUCCGCUAUGGCUACUUAUUUGAGAACCUUAUUAAUUACCUGUGACCAUAAACUUACAAGAUAGAACCUUUUUUGGAAUUACCUGUAACUAUUUACUUACAAGAUGGGAGCGCUAUAUUAAUCUACCAGUUUCAGUUGAUAUUAUUAAGUAAUUUUUUGAAUAAAUGUUUCAGAAACUUCAAAAUUAUAGUGAACCAUAUCGAAGGAAUAUUUACAUGUGUUUAUAUAAAAUUUGGUUGUCCAUACCAGAAAAUCUAAUUCCUGUAUAACUUUAGGUAACGUAUGAUAUAUUGAUGCCAUCAAAUUUUGCGAUACCAGAAUUUAGGUUUAAAUGAUAUUAUAGGCUUGCAUGCCGCCACAUAAGUAGCAGAAAAUGCAGGCUUUACAUAAUGAUGGUGGUGCAAAAAGUUAUAGCAAUUUUGGGCAUGUCAUCAAUAAACAUAAAAAUUAGAAACAAGUGGCCGGCAUGUUACUAGGUGUCUUUUACCCUUAUCUAUAUAUAUAAUCAAUAAUCUCUCUGUACAUGUAAUAUAAUAUAUAUAUAAUAUAUUAAAAAUGUGAAAAUUCUUAAAAAAGUGAUUUAACUUUUUAUCCUUCGUUAAAAAAACUCUUCUUUAGACAAAAUUAUCUUUUUAUUAUUUUUAAUUCAUUAUUUAAUUAUUUUUAUUAUAUUAACUAGACCUCCUAAAAUAUGUGAAAUUCCUAAAAUAUAUGGUAGGAGAAUUAAUUAAUAUUUUUCUUUCUACUAUACUUCCUAAAAUAUAUGGGAAAAAUUUAUUUUCCUAAUGAUUUGUUCGUGUUUGUAAUGUCACCUAAAUUUUCCUACAUUUAUGAAAAAUGUUGGUUUUCUAAUGUAGGCAAACUACUAAAUUUUCUUAAGUCUAUGGGAAAGAUUGAUUUUUCAAGGUAGGAAAAUUGUUGUAUAAAAAAAUAAUUAUUAAAAUAUAUGAAUAUAUGGAAUAUUUUUAAGAUAUUAAUCAAGUACUAUAUAUUAUUUCAAUUUUUAAGUAAUAUUUUCAUCUACAAGUUGUUUGCUUAGAUGUUUUUCUUUCUACUGUCCAGUUAGAAAAAUACUCCAAAAAUAGGAUCCUAGUAAGGAAAUACUUCUAUAAAUAUUGAGAUUACGUUAAACUAGAGAACAAGCCGGUUUGCCUAUUGGGAGAAUAUGAUUGAUGCUCAUCUAACUUGAUUCGACUGCAUAUCUAAAUUGGUGGAUGCUUGAUUUUCUAACCUUCAACUUGUUCACUAUUUUUGUCAGCAUAAUAGAAUUCAACAUGUGUGUAUAUAUAUAUCUUCUUUGUUUUCAUUCACAAUCAUUCUUUAGGGUUAAAGUUUUCGCUCAAACAAGAAUUAGUUGGAUCAAAAUCGAAGCUUUGUGAUCACUAUUAUAUUUUUUUAUAGUUUACAAGUCAUAGAUGAAUGUCGAUUGACUUUGAAGAAUUUCUUGUGUAAAGGAUAGGUUUAAUUGCAUUAUCGUAAUAUCUCUAUUAGUUUGUUAUUCUGUGAUAGUUUACAGUUCAUAGAUGAAUCUCGAUCGGGUUUGAGAAUUUUUUAUGUGUAAAAUUUAAGUUUAGUUUUAUUGUUUUGAUAUCACUUUUAUCGUAUUAUUUUGUUACAGUUUACAGGUGAUAGAUAAAUGUUGGUCGACCUUGAGAAUUUUUUUAGGUAAAGGUUAGGUUUAGUUGUAUUAUUUUGUUAUCUUUUACAUGUGGUAGAUGAGUAUCGGAGGACUUUGAGAAAAUUUUUGUAUGUAAAGAUUAAAUUUAAUUGUGUUAUUUUGAUGUCUCUAUCAUUGUAUUGUUUUGUUGCAAUUUACAGAUGAUAGAUGAAUAUCGAUAAACUUUUAAAAAUAUUUUUGGUAAACAUUAGGUUUAAUAAAUAAAUUCUCCAUCUUCACAUAAUAAAAAAAUAUUAAAUUUAAUUAUUAUAUUCAUCUUUAUUAUUUAAACGAAUAUUCUAUUUAAUUUAAUGUUUAAACUCAUUAAAGUGAGGUGCACGCGUCUUUACCCCAACCAAAUAUCAUUCACUUACUUGCCCCCCCGGGCAUCCGUCCCUUUUUUUUUUAGAGUCACUCUAUAUUUAUCUCCACGAAGAAAAUGCAUUGAUCCUAAUUAUUUUGAUCCGUACAUGAGUAGAUAUUUCUUGAAAAAAAGAAAUUGACAUAUUACUGUGUUUUUGGUUUGAUCAUUAAAUUAAUCCCACAAAAUUACAUAUAUCUUUCGUAACCAACCUAAAUUUUGAGAAAAUCUCAGAAGUACUAUGUUGUCAACCACAUAUAUUCAUUAUGGUGGUCUCAUGGAAUUAAUGGGGUAAAAAAUGUUAAUUCUAGAUUACUAAAAUUCGUGAACAAACGUAUGAUAGCGUACUGAAUUAGUCAAUGAACUAUAAUUCUGAAGAAUUAUAAUCUGUAGAAAUAAUGUUUUUCAAUGCCCUUUCCCCUGGCUUAAAGGGUAAACUCAUAUACUAAUAAAAACUCAAUAAUAUUGAAAAUAUUGAUUAUUGAUCCUACAACUACAUGGAAAAAAAAAGAGGCUAAUUCAAUUGGAGUAAACAUCAAACUAUAAAAAAUUCUCAUGGUACAAUGUUAUCUCUUUUCUUUCUUUUUCCUCUGAUCAUUGAAUUUCAUUUAAAAUUAAAUAAAUUAUAAGAUUUCAAUAAUUCUUCCUCCUUCCUCCCCGGAGAGUUGACAUUUCUAGUGCUUCCCACAAACAACUGAUACACUUGUUUAAUGUGUACGUUUGACUACAAAAUACCAACACGUUUAUAUUUAUUACUAAAUGUAUAAUAGAGCAAAGUUAAAACAAGUGGAUCUUUAAUUCUAAUUCAACUCUAGAAACUAACUCAAGAGGUGAUAAUUAUCAUUCCAUAUUAAAGAGACAUCAUUUUGUAAAGGAUUUCUGUGGGACUCUUCACGACAUAGACUGGAAAUCUAGUUCGUGAGUGAUUUAAUAUCCGAGUCUGAUCCAACAUCGGAAAUCAAAUGAAAAUUGGGAUGGGUUCUGAUAUGGUACCCCUUCCAUGUCCAAUAUUGACAUUUGGUGCAUGGAUAAUUUAAUAUUGGGGCAUGACUUCAUAAAUGAAAAUUAGGAAGGUCUUGAUAUGAUACUGUGUUAAAAAAAAAAAAAAAAAAAAAAAAAAAAAAAAAAAAAAAUGUGAUGUAUUAAAGUGCUUAGGAACUUAGUCACUAUUUACCUCAAUCCUAAAAAUUUACUCAAGUGAUGAGGAUCGCUAAAGUCACGAUAAAGAUUACCAUAUUUCCUUUGAGGGGAUAAUGUGGAACUCUUCGCAAAUACCUACUUUAAUACUACAACUAGGUAUAUAUAUAUGUUUUAAAUUCUGAAUUUAAUUGUACAUAUUUUAUUCGUUUUUGUAAUUAUUGAAUUGUGGCAUGCCGUCAGCAAAAUGUUUUAAGGCAAAAACAAACCAAUUUUGUGGUGGGUGGGAGGUGGGGCUUAAUUCAAACAACGAAAAAUGAUUUUUUUUUUCUUAGGUAAGCAUCGAGUCCCCACACUCAUUCGCCUUCAUUUCUGAUUCCAUAUCAAUGGAUUCUUGAUUUUAGUUGAUAAUACCUAACAUCCCUAUGCAAUCCAGACCUCAAAAUAAAAGCCAAAUAACUACCCGAAUUUUUUUCCCUUUCAUUAUCAUGAACUAAGUCCACUUUUUUUUGUAAUAUUUGGGUGAAAUUAAAUUAGUAUUCUUUUCUUUUUUUAAAAAGAAUAUAAUAUACGAGAUUUUCUAAUUUGUCAUUCAGUGCUCAUUUGACACAUUCAUUAUUCAUGAUUGCAGUGUACACGUAAAAUUUGUGGGAUUCUAACGUACCCACGAGAUCGAUGAACCUCUAUCACGUACUGUGUCAAUUUGAUCCUCGUGGAUUUGUGAACAACUAAAAUGGAUAUAUCAUUUAUGUUUCAUCUUAGAUAAAUGUUUUAAAAAAAGAGGUAGGGGUUGAGAGAGGAAGAUGACUUCUUUCUCUUGUACUUUAGUCUUUAGAGGCUUUAAUUUCUUGGGGGUACAUCUGAAGUUAGAAAAAAGAUAAUUAUAGUAUAACUGGGUUCAUUAAUUAUUCGUGACGUCGGAGCACAUUUGGUCAAAACCCCUAGUACUAUUAACGAUUCAAAGACCUAAUAUAACAAUAAGUAAUAAAUCAACAAUAUGAUCGUAAUAUUAAUUACUACAAUCUUCUGAUUGGGUAGAUUCCUAAAUAUUAGAAUAUUCAAUGAAUAUACAAACCAAAAACCAGACACAAUAUAAUUUUUACCCUCAACUUGUGGAAUAUUCAAUGAUGACGCAAACCAAAAUUAGAGUCGAUUUUCUCUGACUCACCAAAACUUGAAAAAGACAUCAUGAUAUUUUUUUAAAUAAAAACAAUCCUUAUUUUAUUGAAACAAUGCUUGUGAAACCCUAAAUCAACUAACCUAUUUGAUUGAUAAUCAAAAUAGCUAGGAGUUCAAAAAUACACUUCACAUCAGCAUUUAACUAUGAAAGGGACCAAUAUCAUAACCCCAGUUCCCAACACUAUUUCAAAUGAGAAAAAAUAAAUAUUAGCAUAAUAUUGCCUGACCUACUUUUUCUUUUUAGUCUGAAUGACCCUUUUUCUUUUUUUUGUAAUACUUUAAUUUCAACUUCCUACAUGACAUGUUUAGGACCACAAGAUUAAAGGACAUUUUGAUACAUUUGACACAACUUUAAUUUAAGGCUACAAGAUUUAAAAGUCUUCUUUAUUUUCUUAAACUUUAUGCCAAGUCAAAAUAAGUCAUUCUUUUAAAAAUGGUGGGACUAGACUAUGUAUGGUCCUCACAUUAAAGGAAAAUAAUUUAUGUUUCAUCAUGUUAUACUACUGUGGAUGAUGGAGGGACUAUAUAUGUGACAUAAUUGUGUGUGGAAAUAAUUUAAAUGAGGUGGCUUAUACAUAAGUCGGGAGUUGUUUAAGAUAAUGGGAUUACUUAUUUACUUACAUGAAUUGCAAUUUUGAGCCAUGAGAUAAACCAAGCGUUUACUAAACAAUGAAAGUGAUUUCACAACAUAAAAUGGUGGUUUGCAAGUUUGCAGCUAAAAAAAAUGAGGUUUUUUCAUUUACCGAUGGAUGAAAAGACGUCGUGCACGGGUCGGAUGGAAAAAAGUACUUCCUCUCAUAGUCAUUGAAAAUACCCUUAAUGGCUUUUAUUUUUCACUGAUUCCACGUUAGUUCGAACUCUAUUUAUAUAUUUCGGACAAUCUUCACCUUUUGAGUUAAGGUUCAGAGUUCAUUUUUUCAUAUUAUGUUACUAGAACCCAAGUCAUUCAUAGCUUACCCUGAUAUCGGCUUGCCGACUUAUAUUAUUAAUUGUCCAGAGAACUUCAGAUGUCCCCUCACGAUAAUGAGCCAAUUAAAGUGAAGGAGCUCAACCCUUCUUGCCUUUCAUUUUAAUGUGUCAUCACACACAUUGUUUCAUCAGCUGGAAGAAAAAUGUGAAAAUAUACUGAAACAUGAGAGGGGUGAAAAAUUCUAUCUCGUGUCCAUGUCUCCAAUUCAAUUUAAUUAACUUUAUAAAGAGAGCCACAUUGUUGGGCGUACACAUCAAUAUCUAUCGAUCUAUUACAUCUAUUUACUGCUAUUCUAGAUCGACUUUCCAGCUAUUUUAUUUUGAUCUCUGCUAAUUUAUUUACAAUAAAAACAAAAACAAACCCUAUGAAAUCUAGAUCACAAGUGGGAUCUGACAAGUAGUGUGAAUGGGAAUUUACAAAUACCUACUUUCCUUUGAAUUUACUCAUAUAAAUAAGACAAAUUACUAACAUACUUAUGAUACUUAAUUCUGAUAAAGAUUUCGUAGAAUCCAACAAAAAAAAAAAAAAAAAAAAAGUACAUUAAUUGAAAAAGAUUUCACCAAAUGAAAGAAGCUAAGAGAUAAACAAUCUCCUUAAUAUGGCUAGACAAUCCUCUUAAGUUUUUAAGAGAUAAGGAUGGAUACUUUAAAAGUGACAAGGAGAAUUGCUUCAAUUGGUCUGUUUUGCCCAUCUUAAUACAAUUAUGAAUCACAGGGCAUGGGUAACUUCGUCAUUAAUUAAAAUGAUGUUGAUCAUAUAAUUGGACUCCAGAUUCGUGUGACAUAAGCUAUGUUCAAAUUAUCGUCUUGUGACCAGAAGAGGAUGAAGAAAUAAUGCUCCCAUGCAAAAAAUUUGAGACCUAACUUAGGGAAAAUAAUUAGAAUAAAUGUACAGAUAAGAUAAUAGUGAGAUAUUUUAAUUUAGCGGCUUGUGUCGUUAGAAGCCCUACCAAUUUAGUACGUCAUAAAUAAUGAAUGAUUGAUUUAAUUGAAAAUAAUUGAUUAGAUUUACCAAAACUUAGAAAAAUCGACUGUGUGAUAAUUGCAAUAGAGGCUCAAAUUGCUGAGGUAGGGGAAAAUUAUUGAUUUUAUUGUUGAACAUAUCAUAUCAAAUGAUUGAGACGACUCUACUCAACGUACACCCUAUUUGCUGCAUCCAAUUCAAUGUUGGUAAACUAUUUUACUGCAUGCCACCUUUCGAUAUCUCAUUGGUUAAUUUUUGCCAUCUUUCCAUAUCUCACAGGUUAAUUUCCCCUCAAUUUAUGGUCAUUCCCAUCUUUCCCUCCAUGGACUCACUCACCAUAGACAUAGAGUCGUUGGAGUUGAAACGCAGGUGCCAAUAAAAAAUGGAGGAAAAAUGAAUAGGACUUAUCUGGUCUGGUUUAUAUCACCUGUGUGGUUUGCAAGUUAUUACAUAAUAGAGGUUUAUUCAGUGCGACAAAGACUGUGACAGAAAUUGUAGCGACUACAGGUUGUCCUAAGAUUCCCAAAAAAGAAAAAGAAAAUUUGAAGAUAAGUUCAUUUUAAAUAAUGGGAAUUUUCAAUUUUCUCCUCUAUUGUUGAUGGGAAAGGAAGAACAGUGUGCUUAUAUUUAGAAGCACAUUUUCUAGUUAAUAAAGAGAGUUGAAAAGAAAGUCCCCUCACGCCGUCGUUGUUGUUGCUCGGUUUGACUAAUUAAGAAUUUAUUGAGAUUCUAAUUAGUUUGUUUGAAUCUUAGAAUCUCUAAUUAAAGGUAAAAGAAUUCUAUAUGUGUCACUACGAAUAGAAAAAUUGGACGAAUUUCCUAUUUUGAUCUUUAUAGUUAGCAUAGAUAUCAAGAUAAAAAUAUUUUUUUUGAUUUUUAUUUAAAGUCAUUGAUGCAUAUGGAUGCCCAUUUAUUAGUUUUUGUUUCUAAAAUAUGUAAACUAAGGAGGAAGGAUUUGAAAAUUGGAGUAUUAAAUAUGAUUGAACUUUCUUUAUGCGAAUACGUUUUCGAAUAUACAAGAAGUAUAUGUGUACUUAUCAUUAUCUGUUUACUAAUUGCCACAAACAUGAUAAGUGUAUUGGGUAGCUUAAUUAUUAAUUAAGAUAAAUCUCAAUCAUCAUUCAUAUCUUGAUUGCCAAUUAAUUUGACUCUUUGUAAGGUACAUAUUAUAUGCCAAUGAUAGGACGAUAUGUCACCAAAUGAAUACAUUAUUAGUAAGAUCAUUAUCUAGCUUAAGUCUUUAAAAAAAUUCUAUAUCAUGAAUAUUAAUUCUAUUGCUUAUGAUUUUAAUGGCAGCUAGUAUGUUUUUACUUCCAAAUUCAAAUUAAAAUAUGACCAGCGAAUUAACUAUACUAUCAUUUUAAGAUCCUUUAACCCUACCUUUUGCACUUAGGGAAGCUAAUUAUUUAACAAAUUUUUAGUUAUCAGUACUGCUGCGUAUGCAUCCACAAUCUAAUAUUAAUAGCUGAAAAGAAAAAAAAAUAGUUACAUCAAAUGUGUAUAGAUACACUUAAUGGCAUGCGAUAUUUUUAUAAAAAAAACGCAUGGACUUGCUUUGAGCUAUGUGCUCAUACACAAAAUAAAAAAAAAAAAUAGUAGUAGUAGUUUUUACUUUUUGUGUAGAUACGAUCCUAUUAUAUUACAUCAUGACAGGGACAAUCUGGUGCAUUAAAGUUUUUCAUUUCGAAAAGAGUCGAACCAUAAGGGUCUAUUGUAUGUAUCGUUAUUCUACAUUUCUGCAAGAGACUGUUUCUAUAUCUUGAGCCCGUGACCUCUAGAUCACAUGACAAUAAUUUUACCAGAUACUUUAAAACUCCCUUAAUUUGAUUGUAUCACAUUAUGUUAAGAUCAAUAUAUUUCGGAUGAUUUAACUAUCUCAACCGAAACAUCAAUUGUGACGAUAUGAAUUUAGUAAGAGGGAAAAAUGUCAUAUCUAAUGUUUCAUAAAAAGCAAAGUAAAAUCCAUGGAUAUUGGCCGAUCGACCACAAUGAAAAGCUAAAAACUGUUGAAAUAAUAUUAUUUAGUACCCUUUCCCUUGGCUUAAAGGGUAUAGCUAUUAAUAAAUUCAAUAAUACACGAGAAAUCCACUAAGAAGAAAAGGGGAAAAUCAAUUUAGAGUAAAUAUUAUAAAUAAUUAACACUUGUUUAUCCAAACUCCAAAGAGUUGACAUUGUAAGGGAGCAUAAGGUUCUAGUGCUUCCCACAAACGUAACAUUUUAUUUAAUUUUUCCAGGCUCAAUUAAACAGAUGCUUUAUAUUAUAAUAAAUGACAUGUCGUCAGCAUGCUAUUACAGGUGAAUUAAUUAACUUAGAAUUUAUCCUUUUUUUUUAGCAACUCAAAUUUGACAUAAACAAAGUGCUUUAAUACUAGUAAAAUAAUGUAUAUAAAAAUUAAGCGUUCGAUAGAUUUAACGAGAAAUAAGAUUUAUUAUGUAAGCAGUGGUCCCCACGGAAAAAAAUGCAUCUCCGAUUCUAUACCAAUGGAUUCUUGAUCAUAGCUUAUAUCUAAUCUACCCCACACUCAACAAAAUAUAUAAAAAAAAAAGAAUUUAUUUAUUUUUGAUGAAAAAUGGAAGACACUUUUGGUACUAUUAUUUGAGGUUUUCUGUUUACAACAUGGAAUUUCUAUCUAAACAAUUUUUGGGAAAUGAUAAUUAUGAAACAAAAAAAAAGUUUAUCUUUCGAUCACUACUUCUUUUUCUUUUUUAUUAAUAUGUCAAGAGUAUGAUAGACUAGGGAUAUUGAGCAUUAGUCAUUAGAUGACAAUUCGCAUCGUCAUUAAUUUAAGAAAUAGUUAACAUAUUUCCUAUUGAAAUAUGAUCCAUACAAGGAAAAACGUUUGUUAGCGACAUUCUGAAAAUGUCUGUGUUGAAAUAUGACUUUCAAUUAAGUUUCAAAUUAGUGAAUGUUGUCAAAGAGAGUGACAAUGUCAUACACAAAAGGGAAAGGCUCAUAUAAUAAGAUAAGCAAAUUGAGCUUUUGCACAUUUUCGUUAAUCAGUCAUGCCAAGAUUUCUACGUAUUUCAUCCUAAUUAAAAACUUCUUUGGUGGUAACUUACAGCUUUCAACUAUAAAUUUUUUACACUUUUCAUAACAAAUAUAAGUUUGUCAUAAAUCUUAUAAUUUGCGGGCGAAAAAGAUCGUAGUAAAUUUAAUUUAAUUUAAUUUAGCAGCUAAAUACUAAAUUGUUUUUAUACUUUUUAUGAUCCAUAAUUUAGGAUUGAUGAAAACUUUUUGUAAGUAAUAUUUUUAUGACGAAAUUUAACUUUAAAUGACAAAAUGUCACAGAAAAGAAAUUCACAUAGACGAAAUUAUUGCUUACUAGAUUGGUUAAAAAUUAAAAUCAUACAUAGGACCAUCAAAUUAUUGAUGUCGUCCGUUUGUCGUGCACAACCAUGUGUCACCCUCAGAGGUAUAGCAAUUGAAAACCCCAAAACAAUGGAGUACUAAUAUAAAUAUUUAAUUGCCACCAUAAAAAAUAAACUACUCGUAUAUAUAGUAUUAGUCAUUAAAAUAUUGUGAUUGGCAAUUUCGAAAUUGUGGGAUCUUCAAGAAAAUGCGAACGUAAGCAAGAGACGACUUUAUUUGGCAGAUUGAAGAAUAUUCAAUAUGGAUUUAUGUAUAUUCAAGAAUCUUAAUUAUUAUUUGUAAUAAUUUGGUGGGAAGCUGUGGAUAGGCUGUGUAAGCCCCAUCAUUUUCUAAUCCAACUAACACUACUCAUUAAAUAAAAAAAAAUAAUUAGGACUUAAUAAUGCAGCUGACGUUAGCAAUCCAAGUGGGCAAUACAUGUAGUAAAACAAUUCAUAAUAUUUGAUUUCCAUGGACAAGUAAAAAUAAAAAGGUACUUCCUCCCUCCCCUACAAUUGUCUAAUACUCUAUUCGUUUCUAAAUAAUAAUAUUUUGUUGUCCCUAUUAAAAAAAAAAAAUUCAUACUACUUCUCAUUUUCGAAAAUCAAUAUAUACAGUGUUUUAUUUCAACUUUUUACCCCUUAGCCAUGUAUAGAAAGAUAUUAAUAUGAUGAAAAGAGAGAAGUAAUUCACACAGUUGAGUACGUGAGUUGCAUCACCCUCUAGUUAAUACUUUUCAUAAUAAGCGUGCAAACUAAAAAUGUGAUAAUUAUUUAGAAAUAAAGGAAGUAAAUAUCUAAGGUUUUUUAGAAGAAAUUAAAUACAAAGAUGUAAUUCACCAAAUUUCCCUUGUAUAUUUGCUCAUUUUUAGAGCUAAAACAAUACGUAAAUUGGGACGGAAAGAGUAGUUAAUUAAAGGUAAUUGUGUUUUCUUGUUAAGGUUGAGUGGUCCUCAAAUUAAGUGAUCCACUUUUGUGAAACAAAAACAAUGUCUAAUUUUAACUGUAGAUGAUGGGAUCUAAGUGACAUAAUCUUUUUUCACUUAGAAUAAUAAACUUCAAGAUACUGGUAUUUCAAAGUGUCAUUAAUUAACUAUGAAAAUGGUUAUCAUCAUCACAACUCACAAGGUGGUAUAAUUAAAAACGCCAAAAUAAGGUUAACAACAUCAUCUUCUUGUUGAUUUCUUGCAGGUCCCUUUAAUGACUUUGAUUUAUCCGUGAGUUAGUGUAAAGUUAGGUGGCCUUUCCUAUAUGAUGGAAAACAUCAGAUGAAUGACCUAAUAACUUUUUUUUGAUUUUUUUUUCAUUCGGUGUUCAGUAUUCAUAUUAGAGCUCGACAAAUCGAACUCGCGCGUGAAAGUCUCAAGUGGGUAAAGUCUCCCUACCAAAGACGACUUCAUAUCGGCCCAGGGCUCGAACGAGCCUCUGAUUAAGGAUGAAGGAACACUUACUACUCCACCACUACCUUUGCAAUAUAUAAUUUUUUUUCGGCUUUAAUGGCACUUAAUUUUUUCUCUAAUAACUCUUCUGAAUGGAAAUAAGCUGUUAAAGUAAUAUUAUAAAAAGGAAAAGGAAAAGAAUGAGGUAGUAGUGAGGCUAGAAGCACAGGAGGUAGGGAAGAGGGAUAAGUUCAAGUAUCUCGGGUCCGUGAUCCAGAGUAACGGUGAGAUUGACGAGGAUGUCUCGCACCGUAUUGGGGCGGGAUGGAUGAAGUGGAAACUCGCAUCGGGGGUGCUGUGUGAUAAGAAGGUGCCGCCCAAGCUUAAAGGCAAAUUCUAUAGGGUGGUAGUCCGUCCGGCCUUGCUGUAUGGAGCGGAGUGUUGGCCAGUUAAGAACUCCCACAUCCAAAAAAUGAAGGUGGCAGAAAUGCGGAUGUUGCGCUGGAUGUGUGGACUGACCCGAGGGGAUAGAGUUCGGAAUGAGACUAUCCGGGAGAAGGUUGGUGUGACUUCAGUGGAGUGUAAGAUGCGGGAAGCACGAUUGAGAUGGUUCGGACACGUGAAGAGGAGGGGCACGGAUGCCCCGGUCCGUAGGUGUGAGAGGCUAGCGUUGGAUGGUUUUAGACGGGGUAGGGGUAGACCGAAGAAGUACUGGGGUGAGGUGAUUAGGCGGGACAUGGAACAGUUACAGCUCACCGAGGACAUGACCCUAGAUAGGAAGGUCUGGAAGAUGCGAAUUACGGCAGAGGAUUAGGGCCAGUUCGGGUCGCUAGUGUAGGGAAUUAAUUGGUGGGGGUGUAUUCCUGUUAUGAUUCUGUAUUCAGUGUUUCGUGUUCCGUGUUCCAUGUUUAUUACGAAUCUGGGUGCUUUCCUCUGCUUUAUAUUCCUGCAAUCCUGCUUUACUCUGUUUUAUAUUCCCUAUGGGUGCCGUAUCUAUGUUAUGUCAUCUGCUGCUGUGCUGUACUAUGUGUUUGUGUGAUAUCUCGUGACUUGAGCCGGGGGUCUUUCGGAAACAGCCUUUCUACUUCAUCAGAGGUAGAGGUAUGGACUGCGUACAUCUUACCCCCCCAGACCCCACUAAGUGGGAAUACACUGGGUUUGUUGUUGUUGUUGUUGUUGUUGAAAAGGAAAAGAAUGAACAGAUAGGAUUUCAUUAAACUUUAUAAAGUGAAAAUACAGCCAAUUAAUCUGAUAUUUAACAUAACAUGAUAGCUUAUAUAUGUACCUAAAUAUUUGUAUUCACUACUAAAAAAAUCGGCAAAACCGACCAUAAUUUGUGGUCAGAUGGUCGGUUUUUUAUGUUUUAAAAAUUUUUUAUUUUAAAAAAAAUACGACCACAAAUGGUCGGUUUUAUAUUUUAAAAAAUCAAAAUAAUUAUUAAAAUAAUUUUAAUAAUAAUAAUUAUUUAUUUAACAAAUAAAAAUUUUUUAAAAAUAAGAAAACCGACCACAAGUGGUUGGUUUUCUUUAAAAAAAUUUAGUUAAAAAAUAUUUAUAAAAAUCGACCACGAGUGGUCAGUUUUUUAAAAUUCUUUUUCAAUUUAUUUUUAAAAAUACCAACCAUAAGUGGUCGGUUUUUAUUAAAAAAUAAUUAAAAAAUACUUUUAAAAAUCCGACCACAAGUGGUCGGUUUUCUAACUAAAAUUAAAAAAUAAUUUUAAAAAACCGACCACUUGUGGACGGUUUUUGAAGUAAAAAAAAUAAAAAUUAAAUAAUUUUAAGAAAAAAUUAUAAUUAUAUAUAUAGUCAAAACCAAAUAUAUUAAGCAAAUCCAAUAUAAUUAAUCGAUUACUAAUCUAAGUAUGUAUAAGAAACAAAUCACAUUAUAUUAUUGGAUAAUAUAGCUUGUAUACGUAUGUGAUCUAUAUAGUACGUAUUUUGAACUUGAUAUAGUCGAUAGUGUGUAUAUGUGUGUGUAUGUAUAUGUAUAUAUAUAACAUAUACAUAUUAUAUAGCGAUAGUAUAUUAAUGACAUAAGAUAAAUCAACCGAUAAUUUAUUUGAGUAUGUGUGAAAUACAAUGGGGUAGUAAAAUCGGGUAUGUGAUGUAUAUAGUACGUAUAUGAAAUACAUCACAUUAUAUUAUUGGAUAAGAUACUCAUGUACGUAUGUGAUGUAUAUAGUACGUAUUGAUAUAGUUGAUAAUGUGUAUAUAUAUGUGUGUGUGUGUGUGUAUGUAUAUAUAGGUAUAUAUAUAUAUUAAUGACAUAAGAUAAACCAACAGAUAAUUCAACUGAGUUUCUGUGAAAUACGUUGUAUAUUAUUAUGGGGUAGUAAAAUGGGGUAUGUGAUGUAUAUAGUACGUACUUGAAUGUUGAUAGCCAAUUGAAUAUAUUUAUACAUACGUAUAUCUAGUGUAGUGAUGAAAUAGAUAUACUUUUUUUGUGUCAAUAUAAUGUAGACACACGUAUAUUGUUGACGUUGUAAUAACAUAAGACAAAUAUUACGAGGUAUACGGAGAGGGGAGGGGAGGAAAGAAGUAGGGGAAGGAGACAGAAAACUGAAUCAUGAAACUGGCAUAUACUUACCAUUUGCUUUGAAUUUUGAACGACCGCCAAAUUUUGGCGGUGAAUUUAAGUUUUUUCGCUUAAAAAUUUUGUAUAUGAGUAUAUGUGAAAUACGUUGAAUAUUAUUAUGGGGUAGAAAAAUCGUGUAUGUGAUACUUAUAUCUCGUAUAGUGACAUAUGCAGUAAUCGAAAGUUCGAUAACUGAAUCUACAUAUCAAAAUAUUUUGAAUAAUACAUUGAUAUCAUACUAUUGAAGAAAUAGAUAUACUAUUUUUUGUCAAUGUAGAUACGCGUAUAUUGUUGAAGUUGUAAUAAUGUAAGACGUCGAUAAAUUAUUUGAUUAGCACGUAUAUNNNNNNNNNNNNNNNNNNNNNNNNAUUUAUAUAUAUACACAUUGUAUUAAAUUAAUUGGAUAUUGUUAUAAAUAUUAUAGCACUUAUUAAAAAAAUAAUUAAUUAAAAAUUAAAUUAAAUUUAUUAAUUUAUUUUAAUUUAUUAAUUAAUUUAUUAAUUGUAGUUCAUUCAAAAUUUAUUUUAUCAAAAAAAUUGUAAAAACCGACCACAUGUGGUCGAUUUUCAAAAAUAUUUUCUGAAAACCGACCACAUGCAUGUAGUCGGUUUCCAAAAAUAUUUUAGAAAACCAACCAUACGUGGUCGAUUUUUACAAUUUUAAUUAAAAAAAAUAAAAACAAUUAAUAACCCGACCCGACCC
rnacentral:lncRNA from 1 species